AAGUCAUAUCUUUAUUCACUUAAGAAAUUAGAAAAGUAAUAUUGAUAGGAAAACUUAUUGCAUAUCAUAUCUUCCUUAUUACAUGAAAACUAUUCAUGGGAAAUGUGUUCAAUCAUGGGCAAUGGGCUCUGCAUACAAUAUAGUCAUCGUAGCAUGGACCAGUAUAUGCAAAAUAGUUGCAGCAGUACUGUCGUGUCCGUGGCCACUUCAACUUCGUCUCUCUCACACAGUCGGGGUCAUCAUUAGGCCGUAUAGCCGUUGUGCUACUCCCCUUGUCGUCAAUGCUUUGUCCUGAAGUGAAAAAUGAAAUAAACUUAUAUCAUCUCGACAUGAAGGUAAUUUCAUUUUGCAUAUGAACAUGCAGAUAAACGCCUAUGUACAAAACCACUCCAGAUCUUUACAAGGGGUGAGUACUCAAGGUUGACAAAAUGAACUUUAAACAAAAGGACGACCAUUGAAAUUUCAUGAAAUAAUUAUUUAUAAUUGUUCAUUACCUUGGACGGGUGAAGAAACCAGGCAACUUAGAAGAACCAUGGAAAGUAAGAUGAAAAGUUGGGCAUUGUGCUUGAUGUGCUUCCCCAUUUUGUGAGCAAUUCACUGGGUUUUGAUAUUUAUCCAUUACUUGCUCAGGUCCAUAUAUAUAGCAGAAUUGUAACUAGUAUUGUAAUUACUCAUCAUUAACAAACACUAAUCGAAUGGGCUAUCCAAAAUUUUGUAUUUUUCAUUGCCAAACAUAGCUAAUGACUUUAUUACCUAGUGUUAAAAGGUUGUAGCUAAAGAUAGGGAAGUCUUAAAUGUCAUGUUUAGUAUUAAAUGUUGUAGCUAAAGAUAUGGAAGCUUUAAAUGUUGUAGCUAAAGAUUGGGUUAGUUUUCCUGUUGUAGCUAAAGAUUUCUUCUUUUAAAUGCGGCGGAUAAACAUUGGCUAUUUCUAAAUGCCAUAGAUAAGCAUAGCUUGUUCUUUUCUAUAUUUAUUUUAAAUGGUUGAAAGUUAUAUAACAUAGGCUUCCAAACUCUAUUGUUUAAGGGUGCAGUUGGACCACCAUUGACUUGGGAAUAAGGAUCUUUAAAUGAACUAAAAGGAAUUGAGAACUAAAAUUCAAUUUUGUUAACUCUUUCGUUGUCGAUCAAGAAUUACAACUAAGAAUGUAGCAAAAAACAAAUAGAGUGCCAACAACAUUUUCACCAUCUAAUUCUGAAGAAAACAAAAGGAGAGGCAAAUUAAGCUACUUCUAACGAAAAUGCCAAAACAUGUAGGUAUCCGUUGGUGAGCUAAAUUGAAUUGAGCCCUAAAAAUAAUUUUUUUUUUAGAUGGGAAUGAAAAUAAAUUGGCAGAAGGAAAUUGGUGCUAUGGUCGCAUUGAGUUUGAUACUAUAGAUACAUCAAUCAAGUUCUUAUGUUCCGGGUUUACCUUCCUGGAUUGCUCAAAAUCCCAAAGUUGUGAGCCUAUGAUAUAUAUCAACAUUUACAUCACACAAUCUCAUAUCUUGCUUCAUCCUAUUGUAACAGAUCCAUGCUCAUGAAAAGGAAGCAAUGCAUGAGCUACAAAACAUAUAAGAUGGAACUUUCCAAAAGCAUAUCACAGGUACGAUAACUCUGACAUGCAAAAGUUGUUACUCGUUUUCGAGAUCAUAGCUACAUAUGGAAAGAUAUACUGUUUUAACACUCUUAAAAAACAGAACAUUUUCUGAAAAAAUCAUUAACCAUUUAUAAGAUUGUGAACAUUGUUUGAAUACACGAUUUUUUUUAAAUCACGAACAUUUUGGAAUCCAUGAGAGUUGAACAUUUCCCAAAUAGUUUUCAGAUUAUGAAGGAUUUUUGAAUACUUUUAAAUUUUCUAAAAAUUCAUGAUCAUUUUUAAAAGUGUGAACACAAAGGAUCCUUAUAACAAAUUCUAUGGGAAAUUUCAGUCAUAGAAGGAUGGCAAAUUCCAAUGGCACACAACAAGUUUAUGUCAAAAUUAAACGGAAACACGAAAGUUGUCCUGCUUGGCAACUAAAGUUGGCAUCCUCGCGUCACUAAAAUUGCCAUAAAAAAAUUUGGAGUUGCCAUGUGCUGGUAACUGACUGUGGCACUUAUCAGGGUACUAAAAAUGUUAGAAGGGAGAGAGAGGUUGGUCGAAUCGUUUUGAUAUAUAUUGCUUGAGCCUCGUGGGCAUAUAUAUAGGAGUACAAUCAUCUACUUGGAGUACAAGACAAGCUAGAACAAAUCCUAGUCUAUCUCGUCUUUCUUAAUAAACAUUAUACUCAACAUCCCCCCGCAGUCACAACGGUAGCGACGCAGACGGUGAGACUGGAGAAGAAUCUGAAGGCAAGCCGACGGACACCCCCCCCUCCCCCAUAGUCGUAACGAUCGACGCAUCGCGGAGUCGUGACUGGAGUGGCAACCGGCGAGGUUGCUCAAGCAAGGCGGAAGCCCUUUGUGCCGUUUGUCGAUGUAGCCGAGAGCGUGGGUGGUGGAGCCGUGGUCGAGGUAGCCGUUUGAAGAAUGUCGUGGUCGAUGUCGAGUCGGGGUUGCCGGUGUCAAGGAUGUCGCCGUGGAGCCGCGGACGCAAGGGGGCGCCGAGUUAGCAUGGGCGCAAUGGUGUCGAAGUAGUGGUGCACCGGGAAGAAGAUGUUAUUGACGAUGCGUCGCGGAGGAUUUGCCAAGCCUGGGGACACAUCGUUGACGAAGGCACGCACCGGUGUUGCCGGCACCGGGCAUUCGUAGACGGAAGAAGACGAAGUUGAUGAAGCGUCGCACCAGGCUUGCCAGGCCCGGGGACACUGAAGGAAAUAUGCCCUAGAGGCAAUAAUAAAGUUAUUAUUUAUUUCCUUAUAUCAUGAUAAAUGUUUAUUAUUCAUGCUAGAAUUGUAUUAACCGGAAACAUAAUACAUGUGUGAAUACAUAGACAAACAAUAUGUCACUAGUAUGCCUCUACUUGACUAGCUCGUUAAUCAAAGAUGGUUAAGUUUCCUAGCCAUAGACAUGAGUUGUCAUUUGAUUAACGGGAUCACAUCAUUAGGAGAAUGAUGUGAUUGACUUGACCCAUUCCGUUAGCUUAGCACUCGAUCGUUUAGUAUGUUGCUAUUGCUUUCUUCAUGACUUAUACAUGUUCCUAUGACUAUGAGAUUAUGCAACUCCCGUUUGCCGGAGAAACACUUUGUGUGCUACCAAACAUUACAACGUAACUGGGUGAUUAUAAAGGAGCUCUACAGGUGUCUCCAAAGGUACAUGUUGGGUUGGCGUAUUUCGAGAUUAGGAUUUGUCACUCCGAUUGUCAGAGACGUAUCUCUGGGCCCUCUCGGUAAUGCACAUCACUCAAGCCUUGCAAGCAUUGUAACUAAUGAGUUAGUUGCGGGAUGAUGUAUUACAGAACGAGUAAAGAGACUUGCCAGUAACGAGAUUGAACUAGGUAUUGAGAUACCGACGAUCGAAUCUCGGGCAAGUAACAUACCGAUGACAAAGGGAACAACGUAUGUUGUUAUGCGGUCUGACCGAUAAAGAUCUUCGUAGAUAAUGUGGGAGCCAAUAUGAGCAUCCAGGUUCCGCUAUUGGCUAUUGACCGGAGACGUGUCUCGGUCAUGUCUACAUAGUUCUCUAACCCGUAGGGUUCGCACGCUUAAGGUUUCGAUGACAGUUAUAUUAUGAGUUUAUGAGUUUUGAUGUACCGAAGGAGUUCGAAGUCCCGGAUGAGAUCGGGGACAUGACGAGGAGUCUUGAAAUGGUCGAGACGUAAAGAUCGAUAUAUUGGACGACUAUAUUCGGACAUCGGAAAGCUUCCGAGUGAUUCGGGUAUUUUCGGGGGUACCGGGGAGUUACGGGAAUACGAGGAAGAAGCAAUGGGCCUCAUGGGCCAAGUGGUGGAAGAGAGGAGGCAGGGCGCGCGGCCCCCUAGCCCAAACCGAAUUGGACUAGGGGGCCAGCCCCCCUUUCCUCCUUUUCCUCCCUCUCCUUCCUUCUCCUUCUCCUUCCCUUCCUUCCCCUCUCCUACUUGGACUAGGAAAGAGGGGGGAAUCCUACUUGGAGUAGGAUUGCCCCCCUUGGGCGCGCCUCCUCCCCUUGGCCGCCUCUCCCCCCUUUUGCUCCUUUAUAUACAGGGGCAGGGGGCACCCCAUAGACACAACAAUUUAUCCUUGAGAUAUCUUAGCCGUGUGCGGUGCCCCCUCCACCAUAAUCCUCGAUAAUAUUGUAGCGGUGCUUAGGCGAAGCCCUGCGACGGUAGAACAUCAAGAUCGUCACCACGCCGUCGUGCUGACGGAACUCUUCCCCGACACUUUGCUGGAUCGGAGUCCGGGGAUCGUCAUCGAGCUGAACGUGUGCUAGAACUCGGAGGUGUCGUAGUUUCGGUGCUUGAUCGGUCGGGUCGCGAAGACGUACGACUACAUCAACUGCGUUGUCAUAACGCUUCCACUUUUGGUCUACGAGGGUACGUGGACAACACUCUCCCCUCUCGUUGCUAUGCAUCACCAUGAUCUUUCGUGUGUGUAGGAAAUUUUUUGAAAUUACUACGUUCCCCAACAGUGGCAUCCGAGCCUAGGUUUUAUGUGUUGAUGUUAUAUGCACGAGUAGAACACAAGUGAGUUGUGGGCGAUAUAAGUCAUACUGCUUACCAGCAUGUCAUACUUUGGUUCGGCGGUAUUGUUGGAUGAAGCGUCCCUGACCGACAUUACACGUACGCUUACGCGAGACUGGUUCUAUCGACGUGCUUUGUACAUAGGUGGCUGGUGGGUGUCAGUUUCUCCAACUUUAGUUGAACCGAGUGUGGCUAUGCCCGGUCCUUGCGAAGGUUAAAACAACACCAACUUGACAAACUAUCGUUGUGAUUUUGAUGCGUAGGUAAAAUUGGUUCUUGCUAAACCCGUAGCAGCCACGUAAAACUUGCAACAACAAAGUAGAGGACGUCUAACUUGUUUUUGAAGGGCAUGUUGUGAUGUGAUAUGGUCAAGACGUGAUGAGUUAUAAGUUGUUGUAUAUGAUGAUCAUGUUUUGUUGAAGUUAUCGGCAACUGGCAAAAGCCUUAUGGUCGUCUCUUUAUUGCAUAAGAUGCAAGUGCCAAAUAAUUGUUUUACUUUAUCGCUAUGCGAUAGCAAUAGUUGCAAGAGCAAUAGUUGGCGAGAUGUCCAUGUGACGACACAUUGAUAUAGAUCAAGAUGAUGGAGAUCAUGGUGUCAUGUCGGUGACGAUAGAGAUCAUGACAGUACUUUGGAGAUGGAGAUCAAAGGCGCAAUAUGAUGAUGGCCAUAUCAUGUCACAUAUUUUGAUUACAUAUGAUGUUUAUCUUUUAUACAUCUUAUUUUGCUUAGUUUGACGGUAGCAUUUUAAGAUGAUCUCUCACUAAUUAUCAAGAAGUGUUCAACCUGAGUAUGCACCGUUGUGAAAAGCUCUUCGUGCUGAGACACCACGUGAUGAUCGGGUGUGAUAGGCCCUACGUUCAAAUAUAACGGGUACAAAACAGUUGCACACGCGGAAUACUCAGGUUAAACUUGACGAGCCUAACAUAUACAGAUAUGGCCUCGAAACACGGAGACCGAAAGGUCGAACGUGAAUCAUAUAGUAGAUAUGAUCAACAUAGUGAUGUUCACCAUUGAAACUACUCCAUCUCACGUGAUGAUCGGACAUGGUUUAGUUGAUUUGGAUCAUGUAAUCACUUAGAGGAUUAGAGGCAUGUCUAUCUAAGUGGGAGUUCUUAAGUAAUAUGAUUAAUUGAACUUUAAUUUAUCAUGAACUUAGUCCUAGUAGUAUUAGCAUAUCUAUGUUGUAGAUCAAUUGCUCGCGAUAUUGCUCCCUGUUUUAUUUUUGAUAUGUUCCUAGAGAAAACUAAGUUGAAAAAUGUUAGUAGCAAUGAUGCGGAUUGGAUCCGUGAUCUGAGGUUUAUCCUCAUUGCUGCACAGAAGAAUUAUGUCCUUGAUGCAUCGCUAGGUGACAGACCUAUUGCAGGAGCAGAUGCAGACAUUAUGAACGUUUUGCUAGCUCAAUAUGAUGACUACUUGAUAGUUUAAUGCACCAUGCUUAAACGGCUUAGAAUCGGGACUUCAAAGACGUUUUGAACGUUAUGGACCAUAUGAGAUGUUCCAGGAGUUGAAGUUAAUAUUUCAAGCAAAUACCCGAGUUGAGAGAUAUGAAGUCUCCAACAAGUUCUAUAGCUAAAAGAUGGAGGAGAAUAGCUCAAGGAGUGAGCAUGUGCUCCGAUUGUCUGGGUACUACAAUCGCUUGAAUCAAGUGGGAGUUAAUCUUCCAGAUAAAAUAGUGAUUGAUAGUAUUCUCUAGUCACCAUCACCAAGUUAUUAGAACUUCGUGAUGAACUAUAAGAUGCAAGGGAUGACGAAAAUAAUUCCCAAGCUCUUCGCGAUGCUAAAAUCGGCGAAGGUAGAAAUCAAGAAAAACAUCAAGUGUUGAUGGUUGACAAGACCACUAGUUUCAAGAGAAAGGGCAAAGGGAAGAAGGGGAACUUCAAGAAGAACGGCAAGCAAGUUGCUGCUCAAGUGAAGAAGCCCAAGUCUGGUCCUAAGCCUGAGACUAAGUGCUUCUACUGCAAAGGGACUGGUCACUGGAAGCGGAACUGCCCCAAGUAUUUGGCGGAUAAGAAGGAUGGCAAAGUGAACAAAGGUAUAUUUGAUAUACAGAUUAUUGAUGUGUAUUUUACUAGUGUUCGUAGCAACCCCUCGGUAUUUGAUACUGGUUCAGUUGCUAAAGAGUAGUAACUUGAAAUGGGAGUUGCAUAAUGAACAGAAACUAGUUAUGGAUAAAGUGACGAUGUGUAUUGGAAGUGGUUCCAAGAUUGAUAUGAUCAUCAUCGCACACUCCCUAUACUUUCGGGAUCAGUGUUGAACCUAAAUAAGUGUUAUUUGGUGUUUGCGUUGAGCAUGAAUAUGAUUUGAUCAUGUUUAUUGCAAUACGGUUAUUCAUUUAAGUUAGAGAAUAAUUGUUGUUCUCUUUACAUGAAUAAAACCUUAUAUGGUUGCACACCCAAUGAAAAUGGUUUGUUGGAUCUUGAUCGUAGUGAUACAUAUUCAUAAUAUUGAAAACAAAAGAUGCAAAGUUAAUAAUGAUAGUGCAAAUUAUUUGUGGCACUGCCGUUUAGGUCAUAAUGGUGUAAAGCGCAUGAAGAAACUCCAUGCGGAUGGGCUUUUGGAAUCACUUGAUUAUGAAUCACUUGAUGCUUGCGAACCAUGCCUUAUGGGCAAGAUGACUAAGGCUCCGUUCUCCAGAACAAUGGAGCGAGCAACCGACUUAUUGGAAAUAAUACAUACUGAUGUAUGCAAUCCGAUGAGUGUUGAGGCUCACGGCAAGUAUCAUUAUUUUCUGAUCUUCACAGAUGAUUUGAGCAAAUAUGGGUAUAUCUGCUUGAUGAAACAUAAGUCUGAAACAUUUGAAAAGUUCAAAGAAUUUCAAAGUGAAGUGGAAAAUCAUCGUGACAAGAAAAUAAAGUUUUUACGAUCUGAUCGUGGAGACAAAUAUUUGAGUUACAAAUUUGGUCUUCAAUUAAAACAAUGUGGAAUAGUUUCGCAAAUUCGUGCCACCUGGAACACCACAGCAUAAUGGUGUGUCCGAACGUCAUAACCGUACUUUAUUGGAUAUAGUGCAAUCUAUGAUGUCUCUUACCGAUCUACCACUAUCGUUUUGGGGUUAUGCAUUAGAGACAGCUGCAUUCACAUUAAAAAGAGGCACCAUCUAAGUCCGUUGAGACGACACAAUAUGAACUGUGGUUUGGCAAGAAACCAAAGUUGUCGUUUCUUAAAAUUUGGGGUUGCAAUGCUUAUGUGAAAAAGUUUCAUCCUGAUAAGCUCAAACCCAAAAACGGAGAAAUGUGUCUUCAUAGGAUACCCAAAGGAGACAGUUGGAUACACCUUCUAUCACAGAUCCGAAGGCAAGACAUUCGUUGCUGACAAUGGAUACUGUCUAGAGAAGGAGUUUCUCUCGAAAGAAGUGAGUGGGAGGAAAGUAGAACUUGAUAAGGUAAUUGUACCUUCUCCCUUAUUAGAAAGUAGUUCAUCACAGAAAUCUGUUCCUGUGACUACUACACCAAUUUGUGAGGAAGCUAAUGAUGAUGAUCAUGUAACUUUAGAUCAAGUUACUACUGAAUCUCGUAGGUAAACCAGAGUGAGAUCCACACCAGAGUGGUACGGUAAUCCUGUUCUGGAAGUCAUGUUACUAGAACAUGACGAACUUGCGAACUAUGAGGAAGCGAUGAUGAGCCCAGAUUCCGCAAAGUGGCUUGAGGCCAUGAAAUCUGAGAUGGGAUCCAUGUAUGAGAACAAAGUAUGGACUUUGGUUGACUUGCCCGAUGAUCGGCAAGCAAUUGAGAAUAAAUGGAUCUUCAAGAAGAAGACUGACACUGACGGUAAUGUUACUGUCUACAAAGCUCGACUUGUUGCGAAAGGUUUUCGACAAGUUCAAGGUGUUGACUACGAUGAGAUUUUCUCACUCAUAGCGAUGCUUAAAGUCUGUCCGAAUCAUGUUAGCAAUUGCCGCAUUUUAUGAAAUUUGGCAAAUGGAUAAACAAAACUGCAUUCCUUAAUGGAAUUAUUAAAGAAGAGUUGUAUAUGAUGCAACCAGAAGGUUUUGUCUAUCCUAAAGGUGCUAACAAAAUAUUCAACCUCCAGCGAUCCAUCUAUGGACUGGUGCAAGCAUCUCGGAGUUGGAAUAUACGCUUUGAUAAGUUGAUCAAAGCAUAUAGUUUUAUACAGACUUACGGUGAAGUCUGUAUUUACAAGAAAGUGAGUGGGAGCAUUACAGCAUUUCUGAUAAGUAUAUGUGAAUGACAUAUUGUUGAUCGGAAAUAAUGUAGAAUUAUUCUGCAAAACAUAAAGGAGUGUUUGAAAGGAGUUUUUCAAAGAAAGACCUCAGUGAAGCUGCUUACAUAUUGAGCAUCAAGAUCUAUAGAGAUAGAUCAAGAUGCUUGAUAAGUUUUUUCAAUGAGUACAUACCUUGACAAGAUUUUUAAGUAGUUCAAAAUGGAACAGUCAAAGAAAGAGUUCUUGCCUGUGUUACAAGGUGUGAAAUUGAGUAAGACUCAAAACCCGACCACGGCAGAAGAUAGAAAGAGAAUGAAAGUCAUUCCCUAUGCCUUGGCCAUAGGUUCUAUAAAGUAUGCCAUGCCGUGUAACAGAUCUAUUGUAUACCCUACACUAAUUUUGGCAAGGGAGUACAAUAGUGAUCUAGGAGUAAGAUCACUGGACAGCGGUCAAUAUUAUCCUUAGUGGAAUAAGGAUAUGUUUCUCGAUUAUGGAGGUGACAAAAGGUUCGUCGUAAAGCGUUACGUCGAUGCAAGCUUUGACACCCAUCAAGAUGACUCUAAGUCUCGAUCCAGAUACAUAUUGAAAAGUGGGAGCAAUUAGCUAGAGUAGCUCCUUGCAGAGCAUUGUUGACGUAGAAAUUUGCAAAAUACUUACGGAUCUGAAUGUGGCAGACCCGUUGACUAAACUUCUCUCAUAAGCAAAACAUGAUCACACCGUAGUACUCUUCGGGUAUUAAUCACAUAGCGAUGUGAACUAGAUUAUUGACUCUAGUAAACCCUUUGGGUGUUGGUCACAUGACGAUGUGAACUAUUGGUGUUAAAUCGCAUGGCGAUGUGAACUAGAUUAUUGACUCUAGUGCAAGUGGGAGACUGAAGGAAAUAUGCCCUAGAGGCAAUAAUAAAGUUAUUAUUUAUUUCCUUAUAUCAUGAUAAAUGUUUAUUAUUCAUGCUAGAAUUGUAUUAACUGGAAACAUAAUACAUAUGUGAAUACAUAGACAAACAGUAUGUCACUAGUAUGCCUCUACUUGACUAGCUCGUUGAUCAAAGAUGGUUAAGUUUCCUAGCCAUAGACAUGAGUUUUCAUUUGAUUAACGGGAUCACAUCAUUAGGACAAUGAUGCGAUUGACUUGACCAAUUCCGUUAGCUUAGCACUCGAUCGUUUAGUAUGUUGCUAUUGCUUUCUUCAUGACUUAUACAUGUUCCUAUGACUAUGAGAUUAUGCAACUCCCGUUUGUCAGAGGAACACUUUGUGUGCUACCAAACGUCACAAUGUAACUGGGUGAUUAUAAAGGAGCUCUACAGGUGCCUCCAAAGGUACAUGUUGGGUUGGCGUAUUUCGAGAUUAGGAUUUGUCACUCCGAUUGUCGGAGAGGUAUCUCUGGGCCCUCUCGGUAAUGCACAUCACUCAAGCCUUGCAAGCAUUGUAACUAAUGAGUUAGUUGCGGGAUGAUUGUCAGGACCCCGAUUCUAAGCCACAUCGAUCUAGCCGGUAACACCUCAUAUCACUUUGCGGCCUCACACACGGUAUCCCACGGGUGUCGCCUUACCCUGGCCCGGGACCGUUUGCGCCUUUUGGCUCGCGUAUAUGACAAUGUCGCUAGCAUCCAUAUGACCGAGAACCCGGGCCGACAUGGCUAGUCGUGAACCCAAAGCGGCACAGACCUAUGGAGACAGGCAUACAUGAAUCACAUCGAACAUGUCGGUCAUCAAUGAGUGAUUCCGGGCUGUAGCACUGGGCUAACAGGACUCCGGGGAUCCCGGGCUGUAGCAGGCUAGACAGGACUCCGGAGAUCACCGCGUGACAUUUCCCCGAAGGGACAGACAUAGGGACGAAGUGAAACACAUGCCGGCCAGUCAAGUGUCCUGAACAGUAGUGCUGGGCUAGCAGGACUCCGGUGAACCGGGCUGUAGCGGACUACUAUGGCUCGAGGAGCACUAGACUACAUUUCCCCAUAAGAAGGGCUGCGAAGGGCAAACAACUAGAUUGUCGGAUCCCACUCAUACCAAGCAUUUCAAUCAUACACACAAUAUGCCCGAUAUGAGUACAUACAACAUGGCAUCACAACAAAACUCUACAACUCAAGUACUUUAUUUGAAGGCUCUAGGGAGCCAUACAUAACAUAUUCAUACAGAUAGGGGUCACAUGACCCGACACUCAAGUCAUACAGUCAUACAAGCAAAUGCGGAAGCAACUAGUCUGAGUACAGACUCUAGAAAGAAAGAAGGCUUCUCGAAGCCUGUCUAUCUACAUAGGGCCCUCCAUGGCCUGGAUCACCACCUAGGUGGCUAGUCACUCGUCGACGUCAAGGUCUACGUAAAACCCAUCGGAGGGGGCAGUGUUGUCGUCUAAAAACAAUAAAUAAGCAAACAUGAGUACAAAGGUACUCAGCAAGUCUUACAUCAGAACCUACUAUACAUGCUCAUUCUCAAGAAGGUGGUGGGGUUUAUGCAGCAAGCCAGCUUUGACUCUUGGCUAAGCUAUCCUACGGAACCUUUUAGCAAAAUAGUUUUCGCACUCGAGUCCACUACUCACCAUCACAAUACUCCAUCGUGGAUCCUCCCUCGUAUCCUGCGAGAGGGCCAUCCUCAGUACUCACACUUAUCUUGAGUCUUUUAGUAGUAUCCAUUAACUUGUCUAUGAACUGUAUAGGCAACCAAGUAGUCCUUUACCGCGGACGCGGCUAUUCGAAUAGUUUUAUACCCUGCAGGGGUGUACUUCGUCAUACACGCUUUCACCGCUUACCGCCGUCUACACGACAUGUACUCGGCAACCUUCAAGCGGAAGCCCAGCGAGGGUGUCGGCCACGGCCUACCUAAACACCUAAGCCCCUAGUCCAGGUUAUCGCCUAUCCAGGUUCCAUCCGCAGGGAGUCCGGCCGAGGUUUCCACAUACGGCCCCGAACGAUGUGAACAGGGUUCCCGGGACACCAAACGGGUGACUCGGUACACCGUGCCACGGUGUAUCUACCGCAACAUAGCCCACCCCUAGGGUCAGCGCUACGCACGGCCGCCAACACAUAUCCUACAAACACCAGAAACUAUUUGCAACUCCUGGACAGAGUACUAGGGUGGCUAAGAAGCCGAGAGGGUCCAUUUGUUUCGGGCCCAAUGUACGGUAGUAACUGCAUCUUAAAUCACACAUACAGAUCUCAGUUCUUAUGGACGGCCUCAAUGAAACAACCCACCAUGUACUCCUGCAUGGCCUCUCAUCGAUACCUUUACCAAAAACAUGUUCAACACAUCCCACAUAUUACUGGCACAAGCAUUUCACUCUAGCCCAUCACCCAGAUGAACCAGACCUGACACAACUCUAAGCAUAGCAGGCAUAGCAAGGUAGGAAUCACAAAACAUGGCUCAAUCAACUCCUACACAUGCUAGUGGGUUUCAUCUAGUUACUGUGGCAAUGACAGGUCAUGCAGAGGAUAAGGGUUCAACUACCGUAGCACACAGCAGUUUGAAACGCGUUGUCUUAAUGCAGUAAACAAGAGCAGGAGCGAGAACAUGGGUUGUAUCGGAAUGAUCAAUGGUUGCUUGCCUGAUGGAGUGGUAACGGGCUACUGCCCUUCAGUUGGAUACUCGUGAAUAUCCUCGGAGGCAGAACCUACCACGAAGAACACAACCGAGCACAAUCAACACAUGACGAUAUGCAACAACAUGAUGCAUGCUAUGACAUGGCAAUAUGGAUGUGUCUUGGCCUAAUGCAAGCUAAAACAGAAGGGUAAUUGCUUAUUUGAACCAAAGGUUCAAGUGUUAGCUCAUUUAACUUGAUCAUAUUAGUGCAUCACCUUAUAUUGCAUAAACAGCAGGUUUAACUUGUUCUGACAUGCAUGAAACCAGUACCAAUGGAUAGCUUGGAUUUUUCUGAUAAUUUUACAUAUAUAAUUUGUCUCAUUUGGAGUUAUGGUUGAAUUUCUAUGAAUUUUUGAAGUUUAGGCAAUUUUCUGGAAUUUUCUAUAUAAAAUUAAAUCCAGAAAGGAGUUAUUGCGUCAGCCUUGCGUCAGCAUGACGUCAGCAAGUCAACAGGCCCGGUACAGGUCAAACCUGACCUGUGGGACCCGUGUGUCAGUGGCUCAUUUAGUUAAUUAACUAAUUAAAUUUAGAUUAGCACUAAACAGGUUUAAUUAGCAGGGGGGCCCGCUUGUCAUUGACUCAGGGGAGUCAACUGGGCCCACCUAGUCAAUGGUCAGGGUCAACACUCGCCGGCGUCUAGCCGCCGGCGAGGCCAGACGCGGCGGAGGAAGUGCAUUUGCACGUUCCGGCCACUAAACGGGAGGCGGAGAGCAUCUACGGGCUCCUGGGAACGAGCCGCAGCUCUUGGUGGUGAGGGUUGAGCUCGGGGUGGCCGGAGACGUCGCCGGCGACGACUUUGGCGGUCGCCGGAGUUCGGGCGCCGAUGAAAACGGCGCCACCGUGCACGGGAGGAUCAACGGGUAGCACCUACGCGUACUGCAGGCUCCCGCAAAGCCAACGGGCAUAUGCACGGGGCCGAUUGGCCACCGGAGCCUCGUCGGCGACGAGCUCGUGCGGCGGUGUGCUUCGGGCGUCAUGGGGAGUGGUGCUACAAUGAGCGCUAGGCCGUGGGGUUAGGGGGAAACGACGGAGGAGCUCACUGGGAGGUCGAAGCGCAGCUCAGUGGGCCUGGGGACGACCUAGACGGCGCGAAUCGAAGACGAGGUCGCCGGCGGCCGGAGGUUGAAGAAGAGCUCGAAGUCGACGCUGCAGGGCUUCCGGCGGGGCGUGGUUCGGUGAGGGGGUCGAGGACGACGUUGCGGAGCUCGUGGGCACAAUCGAGGGGCGAGGGGGUGGCUGUGGCCGUGGUGGUUCUCGUCGGCGGCGACGGCCGCAUUCUGUGGAAGUGAGGGGGAGCCAGAGGAGGGGAUGAGCACGGGGGGAGGAGGAAUGAGAGGGCCAGGGGGUGCGUGGCCGUCUCCGCGGCAUUGGGAGGGAGUCCGGGAAGCAUGAGGUGGCGCGCAGCGGGGGAGGUGGCGCGCGCGCGUGCCGGCGAGCGUCGGGCACACGCCCGCGUCCUUCUGUCCGAGGAGGGGGACGACAGGAGGCAGCGGGGGUGGGCUGGGCCGCCAGCUGGAGAUGGGCCAGGUAAGUGGCCCAGUGGCCUUUCCCUUUUUAUUAUUUUUUUUGUGUUUUUCUAUUUCUGUUAUUUUGUUUUUAUUUAGUUUAAAUACUAAAUCAUUUUAUGAAAUCCUGAAAAUAUUUAUGGACACUUACUGAAAUAUUUCAGUGGCCCAAAAAAUAGUUCCAACAUUAUUUGAGCAUUUGAAUUAUUUAAUAGCAUUUAAAUGCCCAAAUUCAAAUACUUAUGAUUUAAAUCAAUGCCCCUUUUGUUGACGUAAAAUUAUGUGCACCAUUUUUCCCAAGGGUUCUAACCCAAGGCAAGGAGGGUGAACAUUUUUGAAGGGCAUUUCAGGUUCAUUGAAUUUAUUUUUAGUAAACCCUAGUUGAUUUCAGGGGGGUGCUGGGGGUUCUGCUUUCCCCAUUUCAAUUUUCUGAUGAAGGUAAACAUGAUGCACACUCUAAUGCAUAAUCUAGCUAGGGUGUGACAAUGAUGUAUUACAGAACGAGUAAAGAGACUUGCCAGUAACGAGAUUGAACUAGGUAUUGAGAUACCGACGAUCGAAUCUCGGGCAAGUAACAUACUGAUGACAAAGGGAACAACGUAUGUUGUUAUGCGGUCUGACCGAUAAAGAUCUUCAUAGAAUAUGUGGAAGCCAAUAUGAGCAUCCAGGUUCCGCUAUUGGUUAUUGACCGGAGACGUUUCUCGCUCAUUCUACAUAGUUCUCGAACCCGUAGGGUCCGCACGCUUAAGGUUUCGAUGACAGUUAUAUUAUGAGUUUAUGAGUUUUGUUGUACCGAAGGAGUUCGGAGUCCCGGAUGAGAUCGGGGACAUGAUGAGGAGUCUCGAAAUGGUCGAGACGUAAAGAUCGAUAUAUUGGACGACUAUAUUCAGACAUCGGAAUGGUUCCGAGUGAUUCGGGUAUUUUUGGGGGUACCGGGGAGUUACGGGAAUACGAGGAAGAAGCAAUGGGCCUCAUGGGCCAAGUGGUGGAAGAGAGGAGGCAGGGCGCGCGACCCCCCUAGCCCAAACCGAAUUGGACUAGGGGGCCGGCCCCCCUUUCCUCCUUUUCCUCCCUCUCCUUCCUUCUCCUUCUCCUUCCCUUCCUUCCCCUCUCCUACUUGGACUAGGAAAGAGGGGGGGGGGAUCCUACUUGGAGUAGGAUUGCCCCCCUUGGGCGCGCCUCCUCCCCUUGGCCGCCUCUCCCCCCUUUUGCUCCUUUAUAUACGGGGGCAGGGGGCACCCCAUAGACACAACAAUUGAUCCUUGAGAUCUCUUAGCUGUGUGCGGUGCCCCCCUUCACCAUAAUCCUCGAUAAUAUUGUAGCGGUGCUUAGGCGAAGCCCUGCGACGGUAGAACAUCAAGAUCGUCACCACGUCGUCGUGCUGACGGAACUCUUCCCCGACACUUUGCUGGAUUGGAGUCCGGGGAUCGUCAUCGAGCUGGACGUGUGCUAGAACUCGGAGGUGCCGUAGUUUCGGUGCUUGAUCGGUCGGGUCGCGAAGACGUACGACUACAUCAACUGCGUUGUCAUAACGCUUCCGCUUUCGGUCUACGAGGGUACGUGGACAACACUCUCCCCUCUCGUUGCUAUGCAUCACCAUGAUCUUGCGUGUGCGUAGGAAUUUUUUUGAAAUUACUACGUUCCCCAACAGACAUGUCAUGGACAAAGGCACACAACGGUGUUGCCAGCACCGGGCAUGCGUUGACUGGGACCUGCACGAGCUGUACGCCAUGUCAAAGAAGUCGGAGAGGUCAGCAGAGAAGGACUCAACGAUGGUUGCGGCGCCAAUCGGCGCGAGGCAGAUGUCGCCCACGGUUGCCGGAGUAGACGAACUGGUCGUGGUAGAUGACGGCGACGCUGGUGACGGGCUGGUGCUGGACAAAGACGAAGGAGGUGGACGGGCGGCGGCGGCGGCUAGGUUAGGAACGCGGCAGCGAUGCUCGAAGUAGGCGAAGAACCCUGACAUCGUGACGAAGAUCGGCGCGGACGGUGGCGUUCCCGCGCCAAGGGAGGCGGCGCGGCGCAUACCAUGGGAAGUCGACGCACGGGGACGACGAAGUGGACCGCGGGCCGCCGCGCUUCGGCCUGACGAGGCGACGCGGUGGCGGCGGGCAUGUCGGGGCGACGGCGGGAAGACCUCGGGGCGGCGGCAGGGACCGCGGGCCGCGGCGCGACAGCCCGAAGGGGCGGCGCAGCGGAGGAGCGCGGGUCGGUGCAACCGCGGUGACGGCCUCGGGACGGUGGCGUGGACCGCGUGCCACGCUCGCUACGGCCCGAUGGGGCGACGCAGUGGCGGCGCGAAGGUCGGUGCGGCCACGGGGACGACCUGUAGCGGACGACCUCGGGGCAGCGAUGGACCGCGGGCUGUAGCACUACGGCCCGAAGGGGCGACGCAGCGGUGACGCGGGUCGGUGCAGCAGGGAGAAGAACCACGGGGCGGCGGCACUACGGCCCGACGGGGCAACACAACGGCAGCCCGAUGCUCGAUCGGUGGAGAGGCGCGCUGAACUCGGGGACGAUCUUCACGGGGCUUGCGAAGGCGCGCGCAACCAACGGGCCAGGUCGGUCGCACUGCAUAGCUGAGGCGGAUCGCGGCGGCGGGCGGGUGAUCAAUCCGAUUGCGUGCGAGGUCGUGGACGCCACUCGGUGGAGGCGGGGUGGCGGCGGAGUCCGAGAUGAAGCCGGCGACGGCGGGCGGCAGGGCGGCUAUGAUUGGCCGCCGCAUGGCGCGAGGCCGCCGGGGUCNNNNNNNNNNNNNNNNNNNNNNNNNNNNNNNNNNNNNNNNNNNNNNNNNNNNNNNNNNNNNNNNNNNNNNNNNNNNNNNNNNNNNNNNNNNNNNNNNNNNNNNNNNNNNNNNNNNNNNNNNNNNNNNNNNNNNNNNNNNNNNNNNNNNNNNNNNNNNNNNNNNNNNNNNNNNNNNNNNNNNNNNNNNNNNNNNNNNNNNNNNNNNNNNNNNNNNNNNNNNNNNNNNNNNNNNNNNNNNNNNNNNNNNNNNNNNNNNNNNNNNNNNNNNNNNNNNNNNNNNNNNNNNNNNNNNNNNNNNNNNNNNNNNNNNNNNNNNNNNNNNNNNNNNNNNNNNNNNNNNNNNNNNNNNNNNNNNNNNNNNNNNNNNNNNNNNNNNNNNNNNNNNNNNNNNNNNNNNNNNNNNNNNNNNGCGCGGACGGCGGCUGGCCCUGACGGGCCGCCUCGGCGCUGUGGCCGCCACGUCGGAGGAGAGGCCGGCUGGUCGCGCCGGGGUCGGAGUAGAGGCGCUCGAGGUCGAUGGCGGCGGUGGACGACGCAAACCGAUCAAGUAGAGAUCGGAAAACCAAAAAGAAUCCGCGCGAUCAAGAUGACCUGCGGGAGAGAGAAAAACCCCGGAGCAAGGCUCGGGGAAAAGACUCUCUAGGGCAGCCGGUCAACACGACCGGCGGACGAACCCUAGGUACGGGCGGGGCGGCCCCCGGCGGCGGUCAUGGAGGCCGACCGCACCAGGGGCGGCGCGCGGGUGCGGAAGCGGCGGCGGCUAGGGUUUAGGAUCGACUUGCGAUAGAUACCAUGUUAGAAGGGAGAGAGAGGUUGGUCGAAUCGUUUUGAUAUAUAUUGCUUGAGCCUCGUGGGCAUAUAUAUAGGAGUACAAUCAUCUACUUGGAGUACAAGACAAGCUAGAACAAAUCCUAAUCUAUCUCGUCUUUCCUAAUAAAUAUUAUACUCAACAAAAAAUAAGUACCACUUCAAAUUUUUGAAGUGACUUUUCUUAAGUUUUGUUGACCCAAGUAAUUGCUUAUUUCCAGGAUAUGACUCAACAUUGAUUUUAUCAUGCAAUUAAACUAAAAACUUAUUCUAUUGUCUCAUGUUUACCUUCCUAGCCUUAAUUACUUCCCAUGGCACACGGAUCCCUAAAUGGCAUCAUAUAUAUAGGAAACUUUAUGUUCUGCGAGAAUUUAAGUUUCUAGCUAUAGCUUUUUGGGAGUUUGAAAGCUAAGCUAUGACAUUUUGUACCACCAUCCUUGCUACGGCCGCUAUUUGGCAUAGCUCGCCAUCAGGUAUAGCCUAUAACUGAAGUUGUUUCAUUGUACUGUAUAUGGUUUAAAAACCUGCAAUCAAUUAUACUCGUAAAUUUAAUCCAAAAUGACAAUGUAUAUAACUAAAUAACAUGAAAAAAGUGGAAACACUAAAGGUAGUGUCACGAUCUUUAUUUGGCGGUUGCUUUACGUUGGAGCUUCGGCCUGGGUGGCGAUUGCUUCACGGCGACUCGUACCAAAGCUCACGUUGUCGCUGCCAUGCAAGAAAAUAAUCAUAUAUCCACAUGUUAUUUAAUUAAAACCGCUAUUGUAAAUAGCAUCCAUGAUUUAUCCCACAUGGCACUUUGCCUCAUUUUUUAUUUUCUUGUAUUGUUUCUCUUUCUUUUUUCUACUUUUUCUGCAUUUUUCGAGGUAUUUGGGCUUGCAGUGCCUAACGGGCCUAACAUGUCUACAGUGCCGAACGUGCUGUUGGGCUGGCCCGUGUUAUCAGGGGUGGCGUGGGCUGGGGCUCGCGGCACGGCACGGCCCGUGUAGCUGGCGUGCCGGGCCGGCCCAUCUGGCCAGGUUUUCUUCAGAUCCGCCUCCCCUGCCGGCCACUCUACACCGGCGAUUCGCCGGAAGAAAAUCCACCCCCAAAAUCUCCCUGGCGGCGCGGAGCACGGACGGCCGAAGCUGCCGCUGCUGCUUCUCGGUGCCGUGGCAGGCAUCGUCGCCGGCGCGGGGGGUUCGGUUCGGACGAGGAAGUAGUGGCACGGCGCCGGGGAUGGUGGGGGGAAAGCGGAGAGCCGGCGGGGGUGGCGGCGGCGACGCCGGUGACGCCGGUGACACCGGCAUGGAGCAACUUACUCACAGUGAGCGACUGCUGUUAGAUGACUACUUAAUCUAUCUGAAUUACCGCAUAAAGGAAGCCCCAAUUGCUUUCUUGCCAUGGCUGCCAUUGCUUUGCUUUGCCGGCCACUCAAGGAAGGAACCAGCUGCUCUUCCCCCCACCUAAAGGAAAAUUAAGAUGCGGAAUAAUGGCUUUCUUGCCAAGGAGCCCAAGCUAAGUACCCCCACCUAACCAAGGCAACACACACACACAUACUGUUGAUUAACCAAUCCUUGGCCUGGGCCUGAGAACAAGAAACAGAGACCAUGGCCAUCGUGCUGGAUGCCUUCGCGUCCUAUGUCGCUGACAUGCUCAAGCAGGUGGUGGAGGACGAGGUGGGGAUGCUGCUCGGCGUCACCGGCCAGAUCGACAAGAUGGGCGUCAAGCUUGGGGACCUCAAGAAAUUCCUGGCCGAUGCCGAGAGGAGACGCAUCACCGACACCAGCGUGCAGGGCUGGGUGACCGAGCUCAAGCGCGCCAUGUACGACGCCACCGACAUCCUCGACAUCUGCCAGCUCAAGGCCAUGGAUCACCAUGCAGCAUCACGCAUGGGGUGCUGCAACCCGUUGCUCUUCUGCUUGCGGAACCCCCUCUCCGCCCAUGAAAUCGGCACCCGCAUCAGGGCGCUCAACCAGAAGCUCGACGACAUCAAGGAGCGAAGCGCUGCCUUCGGCUUCGACCUUUGUUCGUACGAGGACUCUAGCAGCAAGGUACAUUCCUCUCGCUUGUCUACCAGCCGCGAGACGUCGUGGGAGCUCGACCGGUCAGGUGUGGUCGGGGAGAAGAUCAAAGAAGACACAAGGGCACUUGUAGAAAUCAUGGUGAGAAGACCUGAGGUAGAAACCAGCAAUGCAGACAACAACAGAGUCAUGGCUUUUGCCAUUGUGGGUGUUGGUGGGAUCGGCAAGACCACCCUCGCUCGGAAGGUCUUCAACGAUGAAGCCAUAAAUGCCAAUUUCGACACCAAGAUAUGGUUGAGUGUCAACCAGGGCUUCGACAAGGUUGAGCUUCUUAGGACAGCCAUCACUCUUGCCGGGGGAAAGCACCGUAGUGAAAAAGCGUUGGCAGUGCUUUGGCCAAUCCUUAGUGAUGCCUUGACAGGGAAGAAGAUAUUCCUGAUAAUGGAUGACGUGUGGAGCCAUGAAGCAUGGGGUGAUGUGCUUGAAACACCCCUUGUUAAUGAUGUGGCCCGAGGUAGCCGUGUCCUCAUCACUACUAGAGAUACAAGAGUUGCCCGAGGGGUGAAAGCUGUGCUUCCCUACCACCACGUCGACAAAUUAGAUGAUGAAGAUGCCUGGUCAUUGCUCAGGAAACAGGUUCGUUGUAAACUCGAUGCAUCUUCAAUAAUUACGAGCUAGCUGCUUAACUCCCUAUUUGGACAUGAGAUAAUAAUAAUAAUAAUAAUAAUAAUAAUAAUAAUAAUAAUAAUAGGGCAUACUCCUGUGUAUUUUUCACUAAAGUUACUAUAAGACAGACGCAUACAACAUAUGCACACCACACACACACACACACGAUGGCACAAUGUUUUAAUCAAAUCUAGCUUGAUGAGAGUGAACAGCUUCUCUCCCACAACGCUUGGCAAUUUAAUUUCAGUACCUUGGUUGACAGCGAAUCCCCACUUGCCGAUCUAUUGACCUGACAAUUUAAUUUAAAUAAUUUUUAAAUAAAACAAAAUUGGGGCUAGCCAAGAAAAAGUCGUUUAUUUUAUUUAAAGUUACACCUCUUCUUAUUAUCUCUAUUGGUUUAAACUGCUUGCAGGUAAUUUCAAGUGAGACAGAUAGACCUGAAGUUGAUAUGCUUAAGGAUAUUGGAUUGCAAAUUGCUGUAAAAUGUGGUGGUUUGCCUCUUGCUGUCAAAGUAAUGGGAGGACUGUUGUGUCAGAAGGAUAAACAACGCCAUGAAUGGAAUAUGGUUCUGAAUGAUUCUAUAUGGUCGGCAUCUGAAAUGCCUGAAGAGCUAAACUAUUCAAUAUAUUUAAGCUAUGAAGAUUUACCUCCUUCCAUCAAGCAGUGCUUUCUAUACUACUCCCUUCUCCCUAAAAGUGCAGUGUGGUAUAAAAAUAGCAUUAUUGGUAUGUGGAUUAGUGAAGGAUUUCUUCAUGGAACCUCUGCUGACUUGGAAGAACUAGGAAGCAAGUACUAUAAGGAGCUGAUUCUGAGGAACCUUAUAGAGCCAGUUACAAAAUGGGCUGAUCAGCAAGUUUGCAGCAUGCAUGAUGUUGUUCGCUCAUUUGCUCAGUUUGUGGCUAGAGAUGAGGCACUAGCAGCUCAGAGUGGAGAGACUGGUUUCAUUACUAAACUUAGUUCACACAAGUUCCUUCGGUUGUCUAUGGAAAAGAAAGUAUCAGAAUCAGAUGGGUUGGACUGGAGUUCCUUACAUGCACAAAAGACACUGAGAACACUAAUAUUAGUUGGCCCUAUAUCUAUGAAGCCUAGUGAUUCGAUUGUUGAUUUUCCCUGCCUACGAACUCUACAUACAGAAUCUGUAGAUGUUGCUGUAUUGGUUGAGUCUUUGGGGAAACUCAAGCACUUGAGGUACUUGUUCAUAUGGAAAUCCGAUAUAUCAAGUUUGCCAGAUAACAUUGGAAAUAUGAAAUUUCUGCAGUUCAUUUGCCUUGUAAAAUGCCAGCAAUCUGUGAAACUUCCACAUAGCAUUUUGAAGCUAGCGCAACUGAGGUAUCUUAACUUUCAUGACUCUAGUAUAAAUGGUAUACCAAAGGGGUUCAGUGUUCUAACAAAUCUAAGGAACCUGCGUGGGUUUCCAGCCCAGACAGAUGGUGUUUGGUGUAGUUUGGAUGAGUUAGGCCCUCUUUCUGAGCUCAGAUCUCUUGGAGUGCAGAGAUUGGAGAAUGUGUCUGUUACCUCGUCUGCGGCAAAGGCAAAGCUUGGUGAGAAAGUUCAUCUGACCCACUUGUUUUUAUACUGCAGCAGUAUAUUGGGAGAUGAUGGGCUGAUUAAAGAUGAAAAGGGUGUCUCUGAGGAAGAACAGCGACAAAUUGCGGGUGUGUUUGAUGAGCUCUGCCCUUCGCCUAGCUUAGAGUAUCUUGAUAUAAAUGGAUUUUUUGGCCGACGGCUCCCAAGGUGGAUGAUGUCAAGAUCAGCACCGGUCUUCAAGAGCUUGAGGAUUAUAUUCAUGCUUGAUCUAGCUUGUUGCACCCAACUACCAGAUUGCUUGUGUCAACUCCCAUGUUUGCAGGACAUUACGAUCCGUCGCGCUCCAGCCAUCAAGCAUGUUGGACAUGAAUUCCUGCAAUCCUACCAGACACCGGCUGCGUUCCCGAGAUUGAGGAAGUUGGAGUUAACUGGAAUGGUGGAAUGGGAGGAGUGGAAGUGGGAGGAGCAAGUGCAAGCCAUGCCUCUUUUGGAGGUGCUUGAGCUCGAAAAUUGCAGAUUGAGGUGUCUUCCUCCUGGCCUUGCCUCACAUGCAAGGGCUUUAAAGUCUAUAUCUGCACAAAAUAACCAGCACCUCAACUCACUAGAGAACUUUGCUUCUGCUGUUGAGCUGGAAGUGGCUAAAAACCCCGACUUGGAGAGGAUCACUAAUCUUCCCAAUCUGCGGAAGCUUGAGAUCGAGGCUUGCCCAAAGCUGAAUGUACUGGAGGGUAUUUGUGCACUCCAGAGGCUCGUAUUGGAGGAUUAUGCCAUGGAAACACUUCCUGGAUACAUGCAAGAUGUAAACCCAAGGCAUUUUGAGUUACGCUGCAGCCUGACGUUGCUCACUUCCAUAGCCGCGGGACAAUCUGGCCCUGAGUGGGAUAGGUUCAGUCAUAUCGACCAUGUCAAGGCAUAUGCACCUGAUGAGAACAAUACAAGGAAAUGGUACGUGUUGUACACGAGAGAGCCCUGCAGCUUGAUCACAAAUGUCCGUCACUCCAUAUCUGCAGGUAAAUUAGCACAACUGUGUCACCUUAUUUGUUGCUCCACUCUGUUCAUUUAACUCGUUCAGUUUAUUCAGGGGAUGAACAGGAGGACCAGCAAGUAAUUUCAUGAGGAAUGAAGAGCAACAAGAAGUAGGCAGAAGAUUUCAGCAUUCUUUUGCAUGGAUCUUCAUCAGAUCUUGUGGAGGUGCAUGGAGAGAGGUAGGUUCAUUAUUCAGCUUCGAACUAAUAGUAUAAUUUUGCUUCCGUUGAUGUAUUUCACUUUAGUGUUGGCAGUUGCAUGCCAAUUUACUCUGUAGUCCUCAUGAUUUCGACGACGAAGUUAGUAGCUAUGCUAUACAUGGAAAUUAAAAACCUUAUCCAUGAAACCCAGGUGCAUGGUCAUAUUUUGAUGUGUGUUAAACAUUGAUGCAGGCAGGUUGAAGGCAAGCAAGCUAGACGGGCCUUAUAACCAUCUUCACCUUGUUGGUUGGCCAUAUCAAGUGCAGUGCAGUGCGAUCCUCCUACAACAAAGAGAAGCUCAUCAUUUACAAAACUCUGCAGCAAGACCAGUACUUGUGUGUUGAUGCAACUACAAAAUACCUGUAACUUAUUUGAUUAUGCAUUGUGUGCAUGCUUGUGUGUUGAUGCAACUACAAAAUACACACCAUAGACUGUGGCGGAUCAAAUGGUUCUGUUUUGAUAAUUACCGGAGUCAUGCAAAGGAAAGGAAGUAAGCGAGGAGCGCAACUUCUGGUUAGUUGUACUAGUACUUUUCAACAAGUUAUUCUUGGUACCAGCGGUAGCAUUUGAAAGAUAAUACAUGUAACUUACUAUUUGAUUAUGUAUCGUGUGCAUGCGUGCAGCAAAGAAGAGAGGUGACUGUCUAGGCUGUACUUGUGACAACUAAAAACUAUUUGCCAGGAAGCCUUCAUGGUAAAGAAGAUAUUUCAAAGUCUUCGCUGUAUUCGGCAGUAGACAGGGAUUAAGUAGCAGAAAUGGCACCAACAAACACGCAUAUAUAGAUUAAAAAAAAGAUUUGGCACACAUAAAAGCAAACAGAGCAAUGAGCAAACGAGCAUGGAAGAAGGUAAGUUGUGAGACACAAACAAUGGCAGGAACUGAAGAAAGUAACCUAUGAUGAAAACUUAAUGGUAUUCUUGAUGAUGGACAAUGAGAAAGACUGCUCUCUCCCUUGUAAAUUAGAGAUCCGAAUCAGUAAGAAGAAUGAUGCUUCACAAGUAUUCACAGUACAGCCUACAGAAAAAUAAGGAGGCUCCAAAAGCAGAAGACUCAUACAGUGCAAGUGUUACAUAUGGUACAGAACUGAAAACUCUGCCUCAAUGUUACAGCAGACGUUGCGCACUCUUUAUUUGAAUUCAACAACAGAAAGGGAUUACAUAGCAGAAACGACACCGACAAAACACGCAUAGUGCCAUUAAUCAACAAAAAACAGUAUUAGCACACAUACAAAAGCAAAGAGAGCAAUGCAAAGCAGAGUCGGAUUGGCUUCCAGAAAUAUCAUAGUGAAUCAAACCAUUUCUUCCACUAUGUCAUCACUGUCAUGGUAACCGGCAGAUUGACCUUCGGCGCCACCAUUUGAUCUUGAUGGACCAGCUGCUUCCUCUUGGGCAGUGCUGACAUGAGAACUUGAAGGGCCAUCCCCAUGCUCUCCUCCGUUGUGGUGAUAAUGAUGAUCCGCCCUCUGCAGUUUGGCUGCCAAAGUCUCCAUCCCCAUGUAGUACAAUAGGAGCCAGACAUAGGUGAGGUACUCCACACCUGUGCCCAGACCCUUGGCGUGCAGGUAUCCUCUGCAUCUAGCGGCAGAGAAGCACAACAUCUCCACCCAAACGCCUUCGAUCACAUCCCACAUCUUCUCUUCAGGCAGAUUGGACAACACUCUGGCAAUGCUCCAAGCAUCACGGACAAUUCCUCCCUGUUGCUGCUGGGUACAACCCGGAGGUGGAGAUCCCCCACCAUCAACUGUAGCAUAUAUCAUCUGUGUAAGCCUUAUUUCCUCGUCUCCUUCGACGCUGGUGCCAUCUAUUUUCUCUCUUUCCUCGACAAUGUCCUUCAAUUCAUCGUAGGCGGUCGUGCAAAGGUUUCUUCUGGUUCCUGCCAUUAGCAUUUCAGGAUUCAAAAACAGUAGAUACAUCAUGUAGUUGGACAUUUCUCUGCACUGGAUGGCCCUCUUGUGAUGACCGGAUCUUUUGCACCAAGCAGGGCAUGCAUAAGCAUGAGGACAUGAAUCUUGCGUGCACAGCAGUCCGUGGUGAGAACGAGACACAACCGUGUCGUAGUAGCAGAAAUCCGUGGCGAGAUGCCAAAGAAGCACACUCUCGUCGAAUGCACCGUCCAAGCUCCAUCCCAAGUCCUCGUAACACCCUUCAUGCCCAAGAGUAAACUGGCCCCUGUUGUCAUUGAACUUCCUGUAACUGGAAACAUCUUUGAUGUGGUGCUUCCACCCAUCUUUCACAUACUGGAGCACUAACUUUGUAAUGCUGAAGGAUGAGGAGCAAGACUUCAUGUGCCAGUGUUGCUGAAGGAAGUCGGCGCAUCCCAAAACUCCGACGACCCUCAUCAUCUUGGAAUGUUUCCUGUUGCGGACAAGGAGUCCUACAAUGUUGUAUUGGGAAACCAUAUCAUGAUAUCGAGGCUUCACUUCUGUUGACACCAUAUCUGAUGACCUUUGACAGAAUUCUUCUGUGUCCCUUGUGAUGUUCGUUAGGACCGGGGCUAGAACCUCCAAUGCAGCAGUACAGUAUAGCAAGGUAUAUGUAAUCUUGACAUCGUCUUGACUAUAAACUUCUCGGUUACUGUAGUGGAAGAAGGCUAUGGGUGGAAUGUAGGAAGCUAAUAAACGGAGAAAAUAAAAAGAAAUAUUUUCUAGCUGCGCCCUAAGUUCGAAGUAAUUUCGGGAAGCGAAUAAGGAAAAAACUUGUCCGAGAGAAGCCACAGGAAACACCUUCUUUUUGGUGUAGAGGAGUAGGAAGGUGUUGGAGAGCCAAUGUUGCAGCUUACAAUACGCAUGGUUGCCAUCAAGUGUUGAGAAGGAGAGUAGCACCCUAAUCCGAUCUUCAACAGACGGAGAUGCAAGGUCCACAAAUAGCUUAUAAGGAGUAAAGUCCACCGGUGUGGCCGAUGUUAAAAGAUACUCACUUGCCCCGAUAGGACUUGUUGCCUUGUCAAUGAAAUCUUCAAGAGGAUCAAUCCUAAGCUUAUGUGUGUGUAUUGACCUCCGAAUAGGCUCACCCAAGCUCACCAGGCUGUUAAUGCUAGCUCGGUUGAGAGCCAAGGGCUUCUCGAUGCAUUUGAGUAUACCGGGAAUGAAGAGCGCUUGUGCAGCAGCCAGCAGAAUUUUGGGGAAGCGGCCUUGCCAUGAUUUCCAGAAGACGUAGACAGCCACGGUGACCUGAGACACUGAGGUGAGGAUGUGCCGCGUCCAUAGCUCGUUGUCCUCGAUGUUGUAGGCGGUUAUGCCGUCCUGUCCACCGAGGUGUAUCAGGAGGAUAGGCGCCCACAACAGCUCCAGGAUUCCUUCAUCUCCAUCGUUUUGUGGCUUCCUAUGGCGGUUGAAGAGGGUGGCGAGCCCAUAGAUUGCAAUGGCAUCACUGCCAAGGUAUGCCAGCCAGAUGAUGGGUCUAAACCAGGAUCUGAUGGGGUACCUACGCGCGACGGAACCGACGAGGAGGAUGUACUGAAUCACCAGGCUAGCAAUGACGAGGAUGCGUAGCUGCGACUCCUCCCACCACUGAAGAGCGGCUGAGACACCCGCCAUCAGUUCUCCCUUGAUCUCUCCUCUCUGCCACACACGAACACUAGCUAAGUAGCUGGUCCAUUUCAACCUCGCUCGUUGAAUUUAUUGUAAGCACGUGAAUGCACUGACAGUCUACCAAUCGACAACCUGAAAAAAAAAAGAGAAGAUGCAUUAAUUCGUUAUUGCACUGAACAGCUAGCUGCAAAUCGCUCCCGUGCAACCCUCUCAACUCGUACCUGAAUACGUGGUGCAACUCGCUUGGUACAUACACAGUGUCGGCCUGACGCACUGACGAUGAACAGUGGAUUAUUUCCUCUUCUCCGCGUCGUCGAUCUGGACCUGAAAGAGGAGAAUGGAUUCACGGAGGUGAGCCUGACCAUUGCUGCACCAAACAAGCAGCUACAGAGCGAGAGCGUCCGCAGUGGCGCAGGAGGAGAUGGAAGCAGGGAACGAGGGGACUAGGCCGUACCUCGCGGGAUGGAUCCGGCCGCCGAGUAAACUGGGAUGUGGCCGUCGCCAAGUAACCCCGGCGCCUCGCCAGGUGAGCACAAGGGAGAUGGGAGCUCGGACGCCGACGACGCGUGCGGCGCGAGACGAGGGCGAGGCAGCACUGCAGCAGUGGAAUGACAAGAGAAGGGAGGUGGCAGCAGUGGGUCGUCGUGGUCUGGCCAAAAAAGCCGUCUCGUGCGCAAAAAGAAAACAGGGUGUGUCGGCCCUCUCCUAUCUUGCUUGACAAGAUGCUUGAUGCUUCAAGAUAAGAUCGAGGUUGAAUAUAUAUUUUCAGUAUUUAAAAUUUUCAUGCUUUGAACACAUGCAUGACACAUCGAAGAAACUUUGUGAAAGUUUCAUGUGGCCGGGGCGGAACCAGGAUUUGACCAUAGGGGAUAAUGAUCAUACAAAGAGAAGCAAAAGAUAAUAUGUAUUUUGCAAUUAAAAAAAUUUGGAUUUUCCAUUAGUAUGAAUGUGGCUCUUACACCUAAAACACAUAGAACAAAGUCGACUAUCUUACAUGGCGCGCUUUCAAUUAUAGCUUGUUGUGUAAAUUAAUUUUACUCGUGCUAGAAUUUUCGAUCGGUAGUUUGUACACCAACUAAUUUUAGAUAUAAGCUAUCAUUUCGUUUUUUGUGUUGAACUAAUUUGGCUCGUUUUAUAUAGCGAUUUGGCUCAUUUUUGUAUCAUGACAGUAAACUAUGUUUGUACCCCUAGAUAUAUUACUCUCAUCGAAUCAAUCAUGUCUGCCCCCAAAAAAACCAAGUUCGUGGAUACUGAAGAUGCCUUGUUAUCGAACGAUAAGUUUGAAUGCCUUAUCGAACCAAGUUCGUGCCCUACUCUUCCUCCCUUUGGGUAGAACAAAGGACAUUGGCUCAUGUCCAUCAUCAUCAUCCUCAAACAGCAACCCAUCAUCUUCUUCAUCUGAUGAAGGAAUGAAAUCAGGUUGCACCUCCUCCAACACACUUGAAUGUGUCCUAGUAGUAGGGCCUCUCCUAACUGCCAGCUUCUUCCUCUUUUUUGGUGGUUUUUCCAUUGGUGCUUCUUCUGUUGCAACAACAUUGACCUCAUCAUCUUUCUCCUUCUCCUGCUCCUCCUCCUCCAUGUCAAACAAGUCCUCAACCUCAGUGUCACCCUUAUAAUGUAAUUGUUCCUCUUCUGAAUCCUCAUCAUCUUCAUCUGAAUCUUCAUCUUCAACUUCUUGCUCUACUAGUCUAUUCCCCUCAAUUAUCUCUGUGUCUUCAAUUAUCCUGUACUUCUCCAAAAGGAUUGUUAUCACUGUCAUAUGCAGCAGCCUCAGAGUCAUCACUGUUAUUAUGUUCCUCCUCUAGCACUACCUCUUCCUCCAUUACAGCUUUGAGCUUCUCCUUACUUAAACUUAUGCUCUCUUGUGUGCACUGACUAUGAAAAACAACACCUUGUUGAUCAACAGCAAGAACUGCAGGCUCACUAAGAUCAUACACAACAGGUGGUCUAUACAAUAUAGUUGCUAAAUUUUCUUCUCUCCUCUGACAGACAUUGUUGUAGUUUGAUCUCACUAAAUCUGCUUUCAUCUGACAUACAAAAGGUGUUGUUGCCCUCACUAGCAAAUUCAGAAUUAAACUAUGCUCAUAUUCCUUCUUAAGUUGCUGCAGUUUGAUGUUUGUGUCAAUUAACUCUAACCCAUGCUCUCUUUCCUCUCCUCUGCCUAAAUUCUUCAUGUGAUACAGUUCAUCAGAGAAAGAAUAACCUUGUGUGUGCAUCAGUGCAUAUAAGUUCAGAAAUGUAACAUCUGAACUGCAUAUCUUCCUAUCCAAAUUGUGUUGUGCAUCAAAAUGAAGACGAACAUCCCAAACAGCAUCAUCCAAACUAUAAUUGACAGCACAAAUUUAUACUGUCAUGAGCAACACUAACCCUAGCCCCCUGUUUUGGGAAUUUACAGAAAGAAGCAGAAGCAGAGAAGAGAAGGACUUACAGCACGCCGCCAGCAGCUCCACUGGUCCACUGAUGGCUACUGGUUGGGUGGGCCACCCAUAUCUCUGCCAGCUUCACCCUGUCCUCCAUGGACAGCGCGGGCUCCUCAUCCAAAUCCUCGUCGUCUGCGCUGGAGUAGUAAGAACUAGAGCCGUCGACGUCGUCCAGACCUAAGUGGUCAUCGGGGCCGAGGCCAGGAAGGUCCCCGUACCCGCCCGCGCCGUCCACGCCGCCGGGAGUCGCCGCCGACAUCGCCUGAGAGGGGGGAGGAAGACGAGGGCGGGGGAGGGGGGGAGAGGGAAACUAGGGUUCGUCGCUUAUGGGUUCGACCGGACCGGACCAAGCUACUUGGUGCGACCGAGCCGGCUGGGACGAGUGACCGAGCGGGUGCGGGUGCAGGUGCGCGCGGGUAGGCCACAGUGACACCUGACAAAUGGGCCCGGUCGGUCAGAUACGUGGUCAAUACGAGCUUAUACUGCUGUCCGACCGUUUUGCAACACUUAGACUUAGAGUUGGCACUACAUGGCAAAAAAUUGACUAGUGGUACUGACUCGUCACAACGUGCUAAAGUGUGGUAGCAUCUUGCAAUUAACUCUGCGCUCUCUCUCCUGUCCACAUACAAAGUACUGACCUGUCAUCUCUCUGCUGUCUACAUGCAGGUACUGUAGUCACGUGAGUUUGCAAGGAGCUGAAGCAGAGAGAGAGCGCCUUUGUGCAAAGUUUUUUAAGAACAUUAAGAGAGAGAGAGAGUUGCAGCUGACCCAGAGAGAAGUAUCGAGUGCAUUGUAUACUUUUGAGUGAGAGAACCUGGAACCUGCAUGGGAUAUUUAGUUAUUAACAGAGAGAAAAUAUUUCUUUUAAACUCUGAAGAGAGAUAGCAGGUGACUGCAUGAGAGAGAACUCGGCUUUUUCAGAGAAAUAGAAAGAACGUUUCUUUUACACAAGUGGAAAAGAGAGCCUGUGUGAGAGGAGAGAGGUUAUUGUUUGUUAAAAAAGUAUGUGAGAGAGGAAGCUUGGGUGCAUGUGCAUGUGAGACAGCUUUUAACAGUGAGAGACAUGGCAUGGGGUAAAGAGAAGUGAGUUGUCUUAUCGGUCAAUAGUAACCAGCCUGUACUGCUGCGCCUCUAUUAAAAUGAUCAAAUGGCCUGGACAGACAUGCUUACGCUGCAAAUCCUCUGUGGCUUGUCAGAACAGGGUACGAAUCUUGGCGAGGCUCAACGUACAGGAUAACCGAGGGUCGGGACUCCCGGGUGCUACCACGCUUUUUCGAUUUUCAGUAUUGAAAAUUUUCAUGCUUUUUCAACACAUGCAUGAAACAUCGAANNNNNNNNNNNNNNNNNNNNNNNNNNNNNNNNNNNNNNNNNNNNNNNNNNNNNNNNNNNNNNNNNNNNNNNNNNNNNNNNNNNNNNNNNNNNNNNNNNNNNNNNNNNNNNNNNNNNNNNNNNNNNNNNNNNNNNNNNNNNNNNNNNNNNNNNNNNNNNNNNNNNNNNNNNNNNNNNNNNNNNNNNNNNNNNNNNNNNNNNNNNNNNNNNNNNNNNNNNNNNNNNNNNNNNNNNNNNNNNNNNNNNNNNNNNNNNNNNNNNNNNNNNNNNNNNNNNNNNNNNNNNNNNNNNNNNNNNNNNNNNNNNNNNNNNNNNNNNNNNNNNNNNNNNNNNNNNGAGGGGCGGAGCCAGGAUUUGACCACAGGGGAGGAAGACAAUGAACAAUUACCAUUUUUGGGUAAUGAUCAUACAAAGAGGAGGGGCGGAGCCAGGAUUUGACCACAGGGGAGGAACACAAUGAACAAUUACCAUUUUUGGGUAAUGAUCAUACAAAGAGGAGGGGCGGAGCCAGGAUUUGACCACAGGGGAGGAACACAAUGAACAAUUACCAUUUUUGGGUAAUGAUCAUACAAAGAGGAAGACAAGAUAAUAUGUAUUUUGCAAUAAAAAAAAUUGGAUUUUCCAUUAGUUUGAAUGUGUCUCUUACACCUAAAACGCAUAGAACAAAGUCGACUAUCUUAUAUGGCGCGCUUUCGAUUAUAGCUUGUUGUGUAAACUAAUUUUACUCGUGCUAGAAUUUUUGAUCGGUAGUUUGUACACUAACUAAUUUGAGAUAUAAGCUAUCAUUUCGUUUUUUUUUGUGUUGAACUAAUUUGACUCAUUUUAUAUAUCGAUUUGGCUCAUUUUUGUAUCAUGACAGUAAACUAUAUUUGUACCCCUAGAUAUAUUACUCUCAUCGAAUCAAUCAUGUCUGCCCCAAAAAAAACCAAGUUCGUGGACACUAGAGAUGCCUUGUUAUCGAACGAUGAGUUUGAAUGCCUUAUGAAAAAUGAUAUGUUCUUGCAUGAUCGUAUAAGGCCAAUCACAUAACCUUUGUACUUAAUAAUUGCAAGUGAGUGGGCUUCAAUUAUUGUUCGAUUGUGCCUGUGUUAUAUUAUCUCUAGAUGUAAAAUUUAUCAUGCAUUAUCUUUGUAUAACUCUAGCAAAAUAUUUUAAAAGCCCGUGGCAAUGCACGCGGAUUCUACUAAUUGUGCUUAACUACUAAGGUGUGAUGUUAGUUUUUCUAUUUUGGGAGUGAUGAUGUGAUCCUUGUAUAAUCUGCAUUUGACAAGUGUAACCAUCACGCAUGCACGCGCUUAACGAACCCUGCGAACCACACCUGGUACAUCUUUGUGAAGGCGAGUACUAGGGGGCAGCACGGGGUUGCAGAAGAAAGUGAUCGAGAGCUCUGCAGCUGCAAACGAAGGCGUGGCGCUGCUGCUGGAAGGAUGCUAGUGUUUCACAAGAUGGCUUGGUGAAUAAUUUGAGGUCCAAGUUAUUUUCUUAGGAGUUGAGGCGCAAAUAGUUGAAGAUGUAGGAAAUGUAUCAUUCCGGAGAAAUUAAAAUGAUUUGAGAACAUCCUUGUAGAAUUGGAAACCGUUCUCUACAGGUUUUCCUUUUCACCGGUGUUUGGCCAACAAGUGGAUAGCCGGAUUGCAGCUACCAACCACCGUUUCUCUGCUGUUUGCACCAAUAGCUAGAAAGGUGCAGCGCUGAUAAAAAGGAAAACCUGUAGAGAUAGCUAGAAAGGUGCAACACCGAUUCACAGCAGGCCGCGGAAUAGGCCGGUCUAUUGUAUUUUUUUUUAUCAAAAGGGGUUUCCCCGCUCCAUUUUAUUGAAACGGGCACACAACCCACGCCGACAGUUUAUAGUUCUCGGAUCUAACCUAGAGUAACAGAAUCAGAAUCGUUUAAAAGGUUUACAUCUCGACAUAGCGAGCAAAGGCUCAAAACAGGCCAACAGGGAACCAAAGACACAAAAACUACUCAUAACUGAAUCAGCCAGUGUGCGCCUUCAGCAUGAAGCCUCCCAGCCUGUCUUCUAGCUUGCCUCUCAGUCCCCUGUCCAGGCUAUUCGCAGCACGUCGCCUCCUCGAUGGUCCAGGAGCAGGAGACAACGCCGUAGAAGCACAGACUGAUCUCCCCCACGUAGAAGCACAGACAACACCGUAGAAGCCGUGUACUGGCCUGGGAGCCAUGCACUUCCACUUUAUCCUUUAAGGUUCUGGAUGAUACUCUGUCUGUGUUCUGUGGUUGGUCGAUAUGGUUUGUGUUGACUCUGCCUGGUGACUUUAUUUAUAAAGUCGGGCUCUGGCCUUUUCUCUAAAAGAAUCUUCCACUGAUGUAGCAGAGAGCACAACUUUCCCGUAACUAGUGGUUGGGGCGUCACCCUGUGGCGCCGCUUAAGAGGAAGUUGUGCGCACAUUUUCAUUUUUUCUCAGAAAAAAAUCCUCGCCUUCAUCUAAAAAAAAGUAAAGAAGAAAAAAAUUACCACCGUAGCUUACCAGCGAGUGCUGCUUUGUAUAAUCCUCCAUUUAAAAAAUACCAGAGCUCCUCAUCUCCAUCUAAAAAGAAUAAAAUACAUAUAAAAAAUCUACACAUUCAUCUAAAAUAAUUACAAAAGAGUUCUCACCGCGGCCAACUAGCUUGCGCCAUGUGGCAUAGCUGGUUGGCCUCCUUUCCCGCGUAGCUUAAUGGGUUUAAUUGCCCUGGUGCUUGUCCACGACACACCCUGAAAACAUAGAUGGUUACGCGUAGUCCAGAUGCUCUAAAUGGUAGCAACACAAGCAAUGACAAUCACACUUUUCUUAUUAUUAGUAUCCCAAAGGGCAGAAAGCUCCCCCAUACUACCCGGUUUUUGAAAUCCAAAGAUCUCAACAACAUCUUUCCAAAUGUCACCCGCAACCACACAAUCGAAGAACAGGUGAUUAACAGUUUCACUCUCACAACAGAAAAGACAAGUCACAUCAUUCACAUGUCGUCUCUUGCACAAAUUGUCUCUGGUGAGGAUUUUAUUAUGAUAGGCUAACCAUAAGAACACCAAAUACCUAUGUGGUACCCGAAUUUUCCAUAUUUUUUUUCCAUAUAGGGGUAGAAACCCCACCCCACUUAAUCAUCUCAUAAAAUGAGCUCACACUGUAUGUCCCAGAUGCUUCAAGUGUUCAUACAUGGUGAUCUUCCUCACUAUUUGGUUUCUUAUUGCAAUCACUUGGGUUAGAACAUCCCAUCUAGCGAGGAAUUCUUCAUGAACACAUCGGUUGAAGGAAAGUUUCAGGGUUUCCCCAUCCCAAAUCUAGGAGACCUUACAGUUUUGUUGCUGACAAAUCUAAAAAAUGUCCCAAAAUUGUGUCUUAAGGGAGAUAUCUCCGACCCAAUUGUCAUGCCAAAAACUAAUUUGCUUGCCAUUACCUAAAGUCCACCUAUAAAAAGGUCUUGCAACAGCCAAAGCCCAAGUAAAACCUUUCCGGAAAGGUGAGUGUUAUGGCGCUGCUAGAAGGAGCGCGCGAGAGGGCCGGCCGGGGGCCUUUUUGCCCAUGGUCGGGCAAGAGGGAAGGGGAUUUCCUUCUUAAUUCUUGCUUGAUUAGAUUGAUAUAUCUCCUCUCUUUAUAUAGAGAGAUUCACUUGACUCCCAAGCAAGGCUUACUUGACCCCUAAGCAAGUUACCCUUAUCUCUAAUUAACCCUAAGACUAAUGGGCUAUACUGCCAGCCCAGGCCCAUUACGUACUCUAACACUACACCCCACCUGGACAUGCAACUUGUCCUCGAGCUGCAGUCUAACCAACUUAUAAUCAUGACUCGACGAAACACAAACCUAACACCUAAAAACAAGCCUUUUACAUCUCUGCUUGUUUUAUUACUCUCAACCUGAAAUGGACUGGGACGCUUUAUUUUGGACCCCUUAAAAAAGUGGACACCAUCCGUACAUCGGAGGUGCACAUGUACAGCCACAUGGAUCCCAUGGACACCAUCUGGAAAAAAGGAGUGCAUGUGUAUGGCCACCUGGAAGUGGUCGCAAGAGCGACCAACAGAGGCGCCCUCGCGGCCGCCGCCGGCGGAAUGCAGUGGUGCUACGCAGUGUGAUCCUGUCGGUGACACCCUGCCUUCUCCCCGCCGAAUGGCUAUUGGUCUGCGGCGCACAGGGAAGAGUGGAGGGCUUGCGAUGGAGAAUGACGAGGAGGGGUGCGCCGCCCCCCCCCCCCAACCGCCGAUGUCGCAGACUUUGAGGUCGCUGCCCGCGGAGAAAAUAGCAUGCCCAAGAUCCCCGACGCUGCGGACGAGAUCGAGGUCCUUUGCGCAGCGAAGUGCAACUGGGAGGAGUGGCAGCUGUAGAGCACGCAUCUCCUGCACACGCCGACGCGCUAGGAUGGCAGCUGCAAAUAAGCUAUCGUUGAAACUACAAAGUAUAUACAAUGAAGCAAAUAAGCUAUCUAUAUGUAUGCAUUCAAAAAAUACAACAACAAAAAGUUGGUGAAAUUUUAUACCUUUGGGGCAUUUCCUCGAACACCUUUUGCGCGUCGGCCGCCGGCUCAACAAGUGAGCUCGCCGGCGCUUCGGUAGCCGCCGCACCCGUCGCACGCACUGCAAGCUUCUUCCUCGACAGCUUCGAGGAGCCGGAGCCGUCCGCCGCCUUGUUCUUCUUCGCUGAUACCUUGACCUUCUUCGGUUGCGCCACAUUUGGGAGCUUUGAGAGGAUGGCUCGUGGCUUCAGGGCGGGCGCCAGCGCGACGCCAUCCGCCGCCGAGGUCAUCCGUGGCGGCAUGAAAAGGCCGCGUGCUAUGUCGGUUCUUGAAGGAGCUCCGGCGAAGGCGAAGCCAAAGCUCCCCCUCUAGGGUUUGCGGCGGCGGCGGAGGGGUCGCGGGAGUAGGAAGGGGUGAGGGGGGUGCCAGCGCGGGCGUCCAUCGGGUUGAUUCGCCAGUGGCGGCGCGGACGGGGCGAAGGUGGCGUGGCAGAGAGAGUGCGGCGCGAGCGCUCGAGUGUGCGGCGCGCGGAAGCGGGCAUACCAAAUACACAGCGCGCGAUGGCGAUUCGGACCAUGCGCCCAACUCUAUAUGCCGCGCAUGCUUAUUGUGCAUCCGCUGGAGCCCCUAUAUCGAUUGCGCGCACACUAAAAAGGACAAAUUUGCGGCGCGGCGCUUAUUUAGUGCGGUUGUUGGAGAUGCUCUAAGCAGUGCAGCGGCUUCGGUCGCCAGAGGUCGAGAGGAGUGAGGGGGUGGGUGGUCGAUGGGGAUUUUUCGGGAGGGCUGGCUGGGCUGGGUCGUUCGAUGUCUGAUGGGCCGUCUGGGAAUGAAUCCUUUAAAUUUUUAUUUACUACUCCUUUGCUACAAUCAGUUUCCUUAAUUUUGGAAUAAGGAAACAAUUCGGAUUUUGAUUUCUCCUUGUUUUCAUUCAACAAUGAAUUUAUAGUACCAAUUUUGGAACACACGCUGUCAAGAAAUAGGCAUGUACAUACUCUCUAUGCAUGGCAAUGUUAAUGUGCUAGUUUAUUUGGGCUGAGCUGAGUCCUGAAGGUAGGACGCACAAUCUUCUUUGAAACAAAUGCCCUUUGUAGUUAACUUGGCAGUGGUAGUAGCAUCAUUUAGAUUUCUAAUGCAAUCCAAUAUUUCAAAAAAAAUUUGUUGGCUAAGUACACCUCUAUGCAACUUCCACAACAGAAUAUUCCAAACUAUAGAAUGGUCUCAGUGUACCAGUUUUUCGAAUCUCCAUUGAAAAACUUGAAGGAAGAUGCUCCCCAAUGGUCGUCAACUAUUUUAAAAACUACUUUGACUUAUAUGGAGAACAGUAUUAGUAUUGUAAAACUUGACCAAGAAAGCUGAUGUGUAACAGCUAUUUUUUAAUAGUGUUAAAACAAUAUACCUUUCCAUAUGUAGCUAUGAUCUCCAAAACGAGUAACAACUUUUUCAUAUCAGAGUUAUCGCUACCUAGUAAGUAUAUGUAUAUGUUUACCUAUGAUAUGCUUUCGGAAAGUUUAAUCGUAUAUGUUUUGUAGCUCAUGCAUUGCUACCAUUUUCAUGAGCAUGGAUCUGUUACAAUGGGAUGAAACAAAUUAUGAGGCUGUGUGAUGUAAAUGUGGAUAUAUAUCACAGGCGCACAGCUUUGGGCUUUCGAGCGAUCCAGGAAGGUAAACCUGGAACAUAAGAACUUGAUUGAUGUCAGGGCCGGCCCUGAGGGGGUGGCAGGGGCGCGGCCGCCCAGGGCCCCCCUCCAGGGUUCGCAAGGAGCCCAUGGCCCAGACCAUAAGGAGGCAUCGACCUAGACGCACGGAGAAAUCCCUGUUUUCCUUCUUCCCAUCGCGAGUUCGCUGCUUCGCAACGAUUCUAUUGAAGGAAAUAUGCCCUAGAGGCAAUAAUAAAGUUAUUAUUUAUUUCCUUAUAUCAUGAUAAAUGUUUAUUAUUCAUGCUAAAAUUGUAUUAACCGGAAACAUAAUACAUGUGUGAAUACAUAGACAAACAGAGUGUCACUAGUAUGCCUCUACUUGACUAGCUCGUUAAUCAAAGAUGGUUAUGUUUCCUAACCAUGGACAAAAGAGUUGUUAUUUGAUUAACGAGGUCACAUCAUUAGUUGAAUGAUCUGAUUGACAUGACCCAUUCCAUUAGCUUAGCACACGAUCGUUUAGUAUGUUGCUAUUGCUUUCUUCAUGACUUAUACAUGUUCCUAUGACUAUGAGAUUAUGCAACUCCCGUUUGCCGGAGGAACACUUUGGGUGCUACCAAACGUCACAACGUAACUGGGUGAUUAUAAAGGAGUACUACAGGUGUCUCCAAAGGUAGAUGUUGGGUUGGCGUAUUUCGAGAUUAGGAUUUGUCACUCCGAUUGUCGGAGAGGUAUCUCUGGGCCCUCUCGGUAAUGCACAUCACUUAAGCCUUGCAAGCAUUGCAACUAAUGAGUUAGUUUCGGGAUGAUGUAUUACGGAACGAGUAAAGAGACUUGCCGGUAACGAGAUUGAACUAGGUAUUGGAUACCGACGAUCGAAUCUCGGGCAAGUAACAUACCGAUGACAAAGGGAACAACAUAUGUUGUUAUGCGGUCUGACCCAUAAAGAUCUUCAUAGAAUAUGUAGGAGCCAAUAUGGGCAUCCAGGUCCCGCUAUUGGUUAUUGACCGGAGACGUGUCUCGGUCAUGUCUACAUUGUUCUCGAACCGUAGGGUCCGCAUGCUUAACGUUACGAUGACAGUUAUUAUGAGUUUAUGCAUUUUGAUGUACCGAAGGUUGUUCGGAGUCCCGGAUGUGAUCACGGACAUGACGAGGAGUCUCGAAAUGGUCGAGACGUAAAGAUUGAUAUAUUGGAAGCCUAUGUUUGGACAUCGGAAGUGUUCCGGGUGAAAUCGGGAUUUUACCGGAUUACCGGAAGGGUUACCGGAACCCCCCGGGAGCCAAAUGGGCCUACAUGGGCCUUAGUGGAAAAGUGAAAGGGGCUGCCAUGGAGGGCUGCGCGCCUCCCCCCUCCCCUAGUCCUAUUAGGACUAGGAGAGGUGGCCGACCACCUCUCUCUCUCUCUUUCCCCCUUGGAGUCCUAGUUGGAAUAGGAUUGAGGGGGGAGUCCUACUCCCGGUAGGAGUAGGACUCCUCCUGCGCCUCCCUCCUUGGCCGGCCAGCCCUCCCCCUCUCAACCUUUAAAUACGGGGGCAGGGGGCACCCCAUGACACACAAGUUGAUCCUUGAGAUCGUUCCUUAGCCGUGUGCGGUGCCCCCUGCCACCAAAUUCCACCUCGAUCAUACCGUUGCAGUGCUUAGGCGAAGCCCUGCGUCGGUAGUACAUCAAGAUCGUCACAACGCCGUCGUGCUGACGGAACUCUUCCUCGACGCUUUGCUGGAUCGGAGCCCGAGGAUCGUCAUCGAGCUGAACGUGUGCUAAGAACUCGGAGGUGCCGGAGUAACGGUGCUUGGAUCGGUUGGAUCAGGAAGAAGACGUACGACUACUUCCUCUAUGUUGUGUCAACGCUUCCGUUGUGAUCUACAAGGGUACGUAGAUCAGAUUCUCCCCCUCGUUGCUAUGCAUCACCAUGAUCUUGCGUGUGCGUAGGAAAAUUUUGAAAUUACUACGUUCCCCAACACCUAUUCCCCCGAGGGCCCCGAUCGCAAGUCGCAACGCAGAUGUAGAUUGCUCUCUGCCAUGCGGCCGGCUGUUCUUCCUCUAGGUCCCCGGUCCCGUUGUGUUAUGCCCCGUCCGUGAGAUGCCUCUCAUGUGCAAGACGAAGCCACCCCACUUAUAAGGUCAUCCCUAACCUCCUCUUUCUAGUUGGUCACGUUCAUAUGGUGCAACAGCAGUCAGAUCUUAGAAGGUUUCGCAUAUGAUGCAGUACAAAAUUUUAAUUUUAUGUGCCCGUUGCUCUAUUUCUUACUUCAGUCUAGACUUUGUCGGCACAACACCAAUCGCCUUAUCUAUUGAAAAAGUUGCCUGUUAUGUGUUCGAUUGUCGUUCUUUGCAUUCUCUCUCCAAAUCAUCAUGAUUGCAAAUUUAACUUAAAAAUUGGAAGAAGGUCUCAGCUAUACACACAUAACUUCAAUCCAAAAAGAAAUGAGACUCAGACUCCCGUAGUCGUCGGGUAGGUAAAUGAUCUUUUAUUAUUGCAAAUGAAGCUUUUAAACUUUAAACAUUUCAUCUUGAUGUUUGCCCUCUAUCAGGUAUUCGAUUUGUCUAAUUAAGUAAAGGAAUACACUACUUACAAUUUUUGUUUUAUUUUGAAACAAUAGACAAUAAUAAGUUAGGUAAAGGAAUGAAUCUAAAAAGAAAUGAGAUUAUUAUUUUGAUCUUUAUAGUAGGGGCCCCGGGUUGUAAUUUCGCCCUGGGCCCUCGAAAUAUCAGGACCGGCCCUGAUUGAUGUCUCUAUAGUCUGAAACUCAAUGCGACCAUAAUUAAUUUCCUUCUACCAAAUUCCUUUCAUUCCCAUCUAUAAAAAGUUUCUUUUUAUGCACGUUCAGUGCUCAAUUCAAGUAGGCUCACCAAGGGAUACCUAAUUUUUUUGACAUUUUGGUGCAAAGUAGCUUAAUUUGCCUCUCCUACUGUUUUCUUCAGAAUUAGAUGUUGAAAAUGGUGUUGGAACUCUAUUUGAUUUUUGCUGCAUUCUUAGUUGUUAUUAUUGAUCAACAACGAAAGAGUUGAUAAAAUUCAAAUUUAGUUCUCAAUUCUUUUCGGUUCAUUUAAUUAUAAAGAUAUGUAUUCCUAGGUCGACGGUGGUCCAACCGCACCCUUCUUUAAAACAAUAGGGUUUGGAGUCCCAUGUGUUACAAAUUUCAUACCAUUUAAACGAAACAUAGAAAAGAACAAGCUAUGUUUAUCUAUGACAUUAAGCAACAACCAAUGUUUAUCUGCCGCAUUUAUAAAAAGAAAUCUUUAGCUACAGCAUUAAAACUAACCCAAUCUUUAGCUACAACAGUUAAGGCUUCCCUAUCUUUCGCUACAACAUUUAAAAUUAGACAUGACAUUUAAGACUUCCCUAUCUUUAGCUACAACAUUUAAGACUAGACGAUAAAGUCACUAGCUAUGUUUGGCAAUGUAAAAAUACAACAAUUUGGAUAACCCAUUCAAUUAGUGUUUGUUACUGAUGAGUAAUUACAAUACUAGUUACAGUUCUGCUAUAUAUAUGGACCAGGGCAAGUAAUGGAUACAUAUAAAAACCCAGUGAAUUUCUCACACAAUGGGGAAGCACAUCAAGCACAAUGCCCAACUUGUUGUCUUGCUUUCCAUGGUUCUUCUAAGUUGCCUGGUUUCUUCAGUCGUACAAGGUAAUGAACAAUUGUAAAUAAUUAUUUCAUGAAAUUUCAGUGUUCAUCCUUAUGUUUAAAGUUUGUUUUGUCAACCUUGAGUACUCACCCCUUGGAAAGAUCUAGAGUGGUUUUCUACAUAGGCAUUAUCUACAUGUUCAUAUACAAAAUGAAAUUACCUUCAUGUUGAGAUGAUAUAAAUCUAUUUGUUUUUCACUUCAGGACAGAGCAUUGACGACAAGGGGAGCAGCACAACGACUAUACGACCUAACGAUGACCCCGACUGUGUGAGAGAGACGAAGUUGAAGUGGCCGCGGAAACGACAGUACUGCUGCAACUAUUUUGCAUAUACUGGUCCAUGCUACGAUGACUAUACUGUCUGCAAAGCCCAUUGCCCGUGAUUCAACACAAUUCCCAUGAAUAGUUUUCAUGUAAUAAGGAAUAGAUGAUAUGCAAUAAGUUUUCCUAUCAAUAUUUACUUUUCCAAUUGCUUAAGUGAAUAAAGAUAUGAUUUCCAAAAUUAUUAUGGUGCUUGUACUUAUCCCUAUCAACUGUUUUAUCAAAAAUACAUUUUUUAUGCAACAGAGACACACCGCUGGCACUAAAGUGCAACGUAACAAAGGGUGGCCAGGAUGGUGGCCUAGAAUUUUUUCCACGGGCUCACUUGUGUGUACUUGAGCCCAAGAAAGACCAAAAUAGGAUUAUUUUUGCACAGAUAAAGAUGUGAUUUCUAAAUUAUUAUUAUCCUUGUACUUAUCUAUGUGAACUAUGUUUUUGAAGAAAUACUUUUUUUGUGCAAUGGAGACACACCGCUAGCACUUCGGUGCAUCGGCGUAAAUGAGGGGUGGCUAGGAUGGUGGUCCAUGGACCACCCUGGGAUUUUUUCCAUUGGCUCACUUGGGUGCACAGGUGUGCUUCCCAAAAAAGUGAAAGCACAACUGCGCUCUAUGGUUUCUGUUUUUCCCCGGGUUUUUUAUUUAUAUUUUUUCUGUUUUUGGUUUUUACGGUCCUUAUUUUUUCGUAGUUUUUGAUUUUCCCCAGAUUUCGGUUUGUUUUGUGCUUGUUUUUAUUUAUGGUUUUCCGGAGGAAAAAAGUUCACCCAAACUAUUAAGAUGGAAUCUAGUUUCAAAUAUCUUGACGCAAGAAACCCAAUGGUGGAAACAGUUUGUGAUUUGGAUGGACGGUUCGAGAGAUAAAAUGUUUUGAAAAAAAAAUCUUAAAAAUAAAAUCUGAAUUGUGACAAGUGCUACUUUUCACCACAGAGAAGGUGGAAGUUUUUUUUUUUUUUGAGACAGACAGAGAAGAUGGAAGUAAUCUUUGCAAGGGUACCCUGUAACUAGUGAUUCCGUGAAAUCCCGAAUAGGAUUCCGGAGUAAAAGGUAACGAUGGAAGAAACUGAGAUGGAGAUGGGCUAGGCCCAAAUAAGAAUGCGGCCUGCCUAAAAAUGCCUGAUGACCAUUCUGUCUCUCCCUCGCUCUCUCUCUCUCUCUCUAGAAUAAUAAUAAGAUGUGUAUUUUUCAAAAUAUCACCAUAUUGGCAGGAGUCGAGGAAAAAAACAUAUUGGCAGUCAGUAGACUCACCGUACACACACGAUCGACUAGGUCCAGGCACAAGAAUGCAGUUUUACAUCUCACGCCUACGAAUCUCAACGACCUACCUGUACGCACACGCACAAAAAAAAGAAAAACGGGAUUAAGAUCCGUUGAUGCACGAUCUAUGUGCCAGAAAGAAGCUCACUCAGCUGGAUGAUCAGAAGCAAGUAGUGUGAUCUAUGCAGUGACAAUUAUCUUGUCAUCAAGUGCACGUUUUGAAAAAACUCUCUCAUGUCAUGUGCCUUUCCUUUUGGGUGAGCCUCCAGGAAUAAUCAAGUUACCGUGCAUCAGUAAUGAUAGAACACCUGGUCUUACUGACAUUGUAAUUGCAGCAAACACGGACAACUGCCAAGUCAUUUGUGGCUCUCUUCAGCCCACUAUGGUUCAACACUCUUUCUGAUAUGUAUUAUAUUUUGACCUCUUAAACUGUAUUGUAUACAUAUGUAGUCAGGUAUAAAGUUACACAUCUUAUUAAGCAACUUGUUCAAAAUUAUACAAUUAUUUUAUGUCGUUAAUUUUUUUAUAAAAAUACUAAAAGUUAAUACUCCCUCUGUCCCAAAAUAAGUGUCUAAACCUUGUACUAACGUUAGUACUAAGUUGAGACACUUAUUUUGGGACGGGGGGAGUAGUAACUUCUCAAACAUUAUGUGCAACUCUAUUUUUCAAGGUUAUGUAUAACUUCAUCAACUAUUUUUUGUGGCUUCCCAAAUAUUAUAAGCUUUUUGAUUGUGUCCACUAUUUUCUGAUUCUUUUUCCAAAUAAAAAUCAUUUUCAGUGGAAAUGUGCUCGUUUGUGCCAGAAAAAAGGGCUGACUUGGGAAUACGGAAAAGAUCCUUAAUCCCAUGUCGACGGCACUCCAAUUGUACCCUUCUCUAAAACAGCUAGAGUUUGUAGCCCUAUGUUUCAGAAAUUUCCUACCAUUUAAAUGAAAUAUUGAAAAGAACAAGCUGUGUUUAUCUACGACAUUUCACACAAACUAAUAUUUUAUUUGCCACAAUUGAAACUAGAAAUAUUUAGCUACGAAAUUUCAAACUUGUUUAUCUAGCUAUGACAUUUAAAACUGCCCUGUCUUUAGCUACGACAUUCAAAACUAACUAGACGAUGAAGUCAUUAGUUAUAUUUGGCAGCUGAAAUAAAUACAAAAGUUUAGGUAACCCAUUCAAUUAGGGUUUGUUACUGAACCUGGGCUAGUAAAGGAUAACUGCUCACACUUUGGUGAAGCACAUCAAGCACAAUGCCCAUCUUUUCGUCUUACUUUCCAAACCAAAAUAGGCCUAAGAUGUUUCACAUGGAUUCAAGAAAAAACAUUUCAUGGGUCGUCAUGCUGAUAUAUAAUUGCACAAACAUAGUUAGUGAAUACUCCUACUACUGGCCACAGCAAGGUCUUGUACAAUCUGGAGCUACCCUUGAAGAACACAUACACGCAAACACAUUCUUCCUCCACAAACUCAAACAUGAACAGACUUGACGCGCAAACAUAGGUCGAUUACUACUCCAGCCGUCGCAUCGCAUGGCCUGAUAGCCGAUACCCUAAGGCAGGCACAUGACUGCAUUUCAUACUCUCGACUUUUACAUUGAUCUCGCCUUCGAACAAGGGAGGGGAGCGCCCUACCUAGCUAUACAAACAAGGAAACGAAAUUAAGAUCCAUUGAUACACAACUUGCACACGGCAGCACUACCACCAUAUCUUCCUCGUCUUACCAGUAGUUUGUGAUUUGUUUCCGGAAAGGAAAUGAAUCAAAUGCAACACUUGCCUACCAGUAAUUCUGACACUCUGAAGCGACCAAGACCACACCUCAUUCCCAGCAGGAAAUGAAUCAAAUACAUCAGGUGUCCGUUUGAUCACUCUCAAAAGUAGUUACAUCACCAGUUCACCGUCUCUAUCUCAACACAAAUUCGACCCCAGUUUCCAAACCAUAUCUCACAAAUGAGGUGAAAUUGUAACUCAGAAUUUCAGAUACAGUACAUUGUGCCAACAAUUUGACAGAUGCAAAACAGACAACAUCACACCAUGCAUCACUCUGAAAACCGAAAACUAACAUCACACCAUCAUAAUUAAGCACGAAACAGAGUAUUUGUAUAUAAGGAUGGUAAGCAUGGUCCAUCUUUACUGGUGUUGCUUAAGAGAGAGGAGCGUCUUGAAAAUACCCACUAGAACACCGACCACAGAGAAUACCGUGACAAUGGUUCUAAAGUUGUUGUAGAUGAACUUGUGCACCUUGAUCCACAGCCACCUGUUGACCUUGUAGCUCUCAAUGUCUCUCAAGAUGCGGCGGUAUGAGCGGCUGGACGUCAGGUGCUUCGUAAGGCUCUUGAAGAGCUGGAGCACCUCUUUGUUUGUGAGUUCUCCUUGCACAAUAUGCUUCCUUCGUAGCUCGUGCACAUCCUCCUCCCGGUCCAUGAGCAUCGAAAGCAGGGCAAUGUACGAGCAGAUGGCCAUCUCUUCAUCACAAUGUUGAUAACGACGUUGACCCCCUGAGCUCGUGCAUACCUCAAGAGCAGCCAUAUUUACAAGCCAACUCGCCCUUGCACUGCUUAACAUCAGUGGCGUCAGGAAAAGCUCGCCAAACAGGGGUCCUUUCCUGAUGCCAAUUUCUGUGAAAAUUCCUGUCCUGAUGGCUUUGAGCUUGAUGCCAAUUUCUGCAAGCUCGAUGACAUUUGUAGAUGUCGACACUGAAUUGAGUUUUUUCCUGGACUUCUUUUUGGUUAAUGGUACGUGGCUUUCUACAUGAACAUCCACGAGGUUGUUAGACUCUGCAAUCAUUCGGGUGUUCAACUCUUUCGAUAUUGUAAAUACCACCUUUAGAAGACAUGCUGGAAAUGCUAUCUUGCUGGCUCUUUUGGCCUUUUUGUUGGCCAUCUUGAUUUUGGUGGCCCUUUUCCUGUUUGUUUUGUAGAAUCUAAGAAGACCAAGGAGAUGAGGUGGUGUGUACUCUUCCUCCAUGUCUGAAAGGAUUUCAUCUUGUUUGAUAUGAUACACACGGUUUGUGAGAUUUUCUCCGAAGUUCAAAAGUUUCUUUUUCACUGGCACAAACCUAAAAUUAAGGAGGGUUUCCACAACCAUCCAUGGGAGCUGGUUCUCCAGCAAGAUUACAUCAUUAAUGAUAUAUUUUUCGUUGGAGUGAAAAACAUAUCGCAACUCUGGGCAGUCAAGCAGCUCCUUGUUACCAAGCAUAAACUCGAGCAAGAAGCAUGCAUCAUAGAACAUCAUAGCUGCAAAGUUAGCAUGGCUAAUACCUGCCACCGCAUCAUCAACGUACAGACGGCGGGCCUUGUCUGCAACCUUGACCACAGCCCCAUAGAUCUCCUCAAGCGAGUGGCCAUCCGACCCUCUGAUGAAGUGGUGUAGGCAGCCAUGUGUUUCACUUUCUCCAUCCGCCGGAGGUGGGGUGCGCCGUGGUGGUAAGGGCCGAUGGCCACGACCCUGGGCACAAUGUACGGGCUGCCGAGACCGCGCAGGCUUGCAGGGAACCUAUGCAUCUUCUCUUCUCUCUUGUUGAAAUCAACCUUGAACUCUACUGCUGUUUUUCCCAAGUACUCGUUAUCAACCGGAGCCGAAGCCAGUGCCGCUGGUUCUGCAAAAUCCAUGCCCUCGUCAACUUGCUCGUGGCUACAUCUAUGAAUUUCAUGCGCAUCUGUGAUCUCAGAGGAGGAAGCAGCCUUAAACUCUUGAGCUGCUUUCUUCAGGUACUCCUCCUCAACCGGAGCAGGAGCUGCUUCUGCAGAAUCCAUGGUCGUCUGUACUGUGGAAUCAACUUGCUGGCUGGGGGUAUCAGUAUCACACACAUCUGUUAUCUCAACGGAGAAAUCAGCCGCUUUCUUCAACUUGGAGUAGUGCUCAGACGGAGCCACUGCUUCUUCAACGGCCUCAACCGUCGAAUCAGCCGGCGGGUCGCAACAGCUACGAGUAGUACCAGGGAGAUCUGCCAUCUAGCUUCGCUCAGACACUACAUACCAACCGCUGCUUCCCUGCUGUUUGCUAGUGAUAGUUAGAAAGUCAAAUUGCGAUUGCGAUACUGGUGAAAAGAAAACAUGUACAGCACACAACAGAGGAGAUGCCGAUCUAGAAACUCACAUUGGGAUCCUGGUGAUGCUCGCCGCCGGCCUCCUGCUGUGCCGGGCCAAGAAACAGUAUCCUCGACGGCGGGAUGGAGGAGGGAUGCCUCUUAAAAGAGGAGAGGGGGAGGGGCGGAGGGAGGCGGGACGACGGCGGCGGCGGCGGCGUAAGAGGAUUCCCGCCAACAGUAGUGACGGGUACUGGAGAGUGGAGACGUGUAGUGGUAGUGACUAGUGAGAGUGAGCCAUCGCCCAUCGGUACAUCCCUAAUAUUUCCUUAGUGGGCCGAAAGUGCCCGUCGCUACAAAUAAAACCCUAAAAAGAACUCUUUCUUUUUAGUGCACUACAUACACUUGCCUCGACCCCUAAAAGAAACAUACACUUGCCUCAAAAAAAAAGCACAGUACAUACACAAACGCUCGCAGAUACAAAUAUGUUUUUAGGGUUUGCAAAAAAUGUAAUGUACGACAUGCAUGCACAUGCACACAAACACAGUACAUCAAGAGAUAAGAGAAGGAUGUUCCACCGAGCUCUCUCAGAGCUCAGGCACUCUCUGCCGUUGGAUCGGUUCGCUUGAUGGAAUUCAGGCCGUCGGAUCGAGCCGCUGGAUGACCUCGUCCGUCGGAUCAAAGAAAAGUUACUGCUGAAAUGAAUAGUUACCCCGUUUCGUGCCACCGCCUGUAAAAUUGGGUGGCCGCCAAGGGCAUUUUCGUCAUUUCACUCGCAGGGGGUAUAAAUCACAUUGGCUCCUUUGGAGAUGACCUAGCCGCCGCCUCCUCCCGCACUCGCGCCCCCUCCCAUCUUCCCAGCCGCGGCUCCCCACCCUCUUCCUCUCGCCCCCGCGCCGCCAUCUCUGCCUCCUCCCCCCUCCGGCCGCCACCUCUGGCUCCUCCCCUCUCGUCGCUCGUCCUCCUCCUCCCGCUUCUCAUCCCCGUUGCGCCUCCCUCCUCCCCCCCACGGAAUCGCAGACGGCCCUCCCUUGUGUUAGCCGCUCUCGGUGAUGAAGGGCGGUGGAGCCAGGAGCAGCAGCUGCGGGUUGAUGCGGAUGCGGCUCCCCUAGUGCUCCUCUUGUGCUCCCUCUUCUCAUCGACGGCUUCUUCGGCUCCCUCCUCUUGGCCCAGGUAACAUGGCCGGUGGCGGUGGCGGUGGAUGUGGGGAUCAUGAACAUCACCCUGUAGAGAGGAUCGACGACGGCAUGGGGUGGUUGCUCCAGCUGUUGUUGUUGCUUGGGGCUCAGGGUCGGUGUCAGCGUGCUGAUCUUAGCACCCCUGACCUUCCUCGUGCAAACCCUAGGCUUCCAGCAUGGAUUGGUGGUGGCGGCGAAGGGAGGAGGCGUGGACUGGGACGGGGUUGGUUGAAGGGGAGGCUACACAUGGUGAGGGGUGGCAAAGAUCUCAUCCUCUCCAUACUCCAGCUUCCACUGCACAUUGGUAGCCUCUUCUUUCUUUCUCUUAUCUCUAUUUUACUUUGUGCUUACUCUGUUGUGCUUGAUUGCUUGCUACUUGCAUUGAACAUCAAUGAAUGCCACUAUGGCAACAGGGAGUAGUAGCAGUAGGUCAGCUCUGUCCCAAUUGCAAAUUUCUUUGUUAUUGUGUACUGUUAUAAGCAAUGAAUCUUUUGGAUGACCUUGGUGGUUUCAGAAUCUAAAGUGCCAUAUUUAGUUGCACUGAGAGAGAGAGAGAGAUGGAGAGAGAGAAAGAGGGAGAGAGAGUGUGUGUGGGUGAUGUUAACCACAGUUUCCUUUUGUUAUCUAGAUUGGAAUUGGCCGGAAGAAUGAUGUAGACUUAAUAGUCGACUGUUCUAUUUGUUGUUAAUGCCAGUUCCACACAUAUAUGUCGUUGAUCUAGCUAUUAGCAUUAUGGUGGCAUACUUAUGUAUGUUAUUUCUAUUUGCAAUGUUGCCCAUUGGAUGGCAGUGAUUGUGUUGCUUGCACUGUGCUUGGGGUUCAUAUAUUUUGCCUGAAUGUUGUCGUGCCCCUCCAGAGUUAUUUAUCCAUGUCAUUGACCGCCUCUGUUAUGAUAGUUCUUUAACAAAGUGGUCACAUUCCACAGGAAGAAGAACCCAUAGUACUAUGAAGUUUCUGCCAAGAGAAACUACAACUUUGAGAAGCACUUCCUUUACCUUGCAUGGAAGCUGGUUAGGUCAUUGUCUCUCUCCCACAUUGCUUUCUUCGGAAUUGGCUGGCCUACCUUGUGGGUAUCCAUCUCAGGUGCUCUUCUUCGCCGUCCACUCGAAUUCGAUGUACCACAUGUCCUGCAGUUAGCAAUCUUUCUAUCUUUUUAGGAGUCUUGAUGUGUUAUUUUCUUCGAAAUGGAUGAUUUUUUUAUGCGUGUUCAAUAAUCUGCUUUGAAAUGUACGACUUACUGCUUAUUAGAUUGGAUUAUACAUGUUUGAUUCUCUGCUUUGAACUGUAUGAGUACCUGCUUAUUAGCCCUGGAAAAUGAAUGGCUUCGAUGGGUGCAUGUGUGGUCAAGGGAUGGUUUGGUUCAUGCAUCGUACUUACACUGUGUUAUUUGUUGUUGAUUUGUAGGACAAGCUGACAUUGUUUAACAUCUUAGGUGGAUGUGCUUGGCCAGAAGAAGGAAUGGACGCCAUCAACCUCGCCCGCUUCUGCACAAUGCAGGUAUAGCGAAUCGUCCUCCCUUCUAAGUUGUUUCCAUAUAAUUGGAUGAACACCCGCAGUUCAGUUUGGGCUUGGGCAGUGUGUGUUCUUCUCGAAUGCUUACUCUUGAUGCUUCGUGUGAUCCAACAUCGAUAUUUUGUUCCUAUUGAUUUACAUGUUAUACUAAUGAGACUUCAGUUAUCAAGGGUGUAUAAUAUCUUGGAAGCUUAGUGUUGUAAUUGAAUGUCCUUCUGCGUUUAAGCUAAAAAAUGUUCAUCUGCAUUGAUUCAUUUUUAGUUGAGGAUGAAGGAGCAACAUGCUCAUAGUAUUUGUAUGAGGAUAAGUUUGUUUUGUCGUCACAUGCUCAUUCAACAUCAGAUGGUCUAUUUUAGCAUUGUUGGUUCAUAUUGUUUAAGGAUGUGUCUAUUUUGCCAGUACUGAUAUAUCCUUAAGCUCCUAUCUGAUUAAGGAUGUGUUUCUCUUGGUACUGCAUGUCCAUGCUAAUUGAGCUUUCUUGGCAGGCGAAGAGUCCUCUCGCGCCCUGGACUUUAAUUUAGUUACCUCUCGUUCGUGCCACCACGUGUAAUUCCAGUGACCCGCCGAGGGCACUGUAGCCGGCCGAUCGGAAGCCAUUCUUUUUAGGGCGAUGAUGAUUAAUCAUGGCUAAAAUAAGUGUGCCUUUGAGCAAUUGAGGCACUUGUGGGUAUCAAGUUGGAUCCUCCCUGUUGUCUCUAGAAUCCUUUUUGAUCUUGUGAUACAUGUUGUCCUGUCCUUGGAUGGUCAUUCUUGUUGAGUGAUAACCAGGGCAGCUCCACUGUGUAAACAGAUUGAUCUGGUGAUAAGAGAUGACGGGGGUAGGUUAUAUGAUCAAGAAAAGGAGAAUCUGAGCCCACUAUGCAAUGAACCUUGAACCCUUUUAUUUGUAUUUAAAGGUGUUGCUUAUUUAUGCUCCAGUGUUUAUAGUUGUCUUAUGCAAAGAUUUCUUGUCUCUCAUACCUUUAUUGCAUUUAAGUUGUUCUUGAUCUUUUAUUGUUUGUUGUUGGUCCUUGAUUUAAUCUGGUUAAGUAAGUUGCACUUUGUUAUACUAGAAAGACUCGCUCCUAGCAAGUUAACGGUUGAAUGGCUUAUUUUAAUUCGGUGUGAUACUAUUACUUCUAUUUUUCCACAAGUUACCAGUUGCAGCUAUUUUUUCUUACAUGCUACAAAUAAUAAUGCUACAUGAUUUUUUUGAGUGUUUUUUGGAGGUAAUGUUGGAUUGUUCAUGUAAAGGGUGUCUGAGGUAGCAUGUCCCAUGUUGUUGUCUGCAUCCAUAGACACCUUUUCGACUGUUGUGAUUAAGUUGUUGGGUUAAUCCGAGCCAUUGAGCGGCCAUUUCACUUUGUUUUCUUUAGUUUGUGCUGAAGCUUUCCCCAAUUCUGUUUGUCACCCCUGCAUUUUUUGGAUCACACACCAGAUUAAAUGUAGUGAAUUUUGAAGGAUGUGUGUUUUGUUGGCUUUGUAAUUUAUUUCCUUGCUAAGUAAGCAUUUGGGGUUAUUUUGUUUUGUUGCUACCUUCUGGGCGACGGGCGGGCGGAUCUAUGGACGGCAUCACCACAACUAUAUUCUGAUGGUCUAAUCUCGAGGUGAAAAUACUCUCUUUGUCUCUCAUUUAUGUUAGUUGAAUAGUUACUUGAUUUGAUGUUGGUUAGCGUACUGCUUGCUAUUUCUAAUUUUUGUUAGUCCCAUUCGCAACUAGAACUUGCAUGAUAAGGACAAUCGGAUAAUUCUAAUUUCUAUUUUUUGUUAGUCCCAUGGAUGGUAACAAUCUUUUACUAUUUCUUGUUGUAUGCUAUCGUAUAGUGCCUCCCUACUUGCUCAAAAUCAAAUGUACAUCUAUGAGAAGGUACAAAUUAAGGUCGGUAUGAUGGAAGUAGAUUGGCAUGUUUGCAGAAAAAAUAGCCAUGUAAGUUCAAAAGAACGUCUUUAACUAUUGCUGCUAUAUGCUUUGUAUAUUUCCUCUCUGGUUCCUUCAAAAUCAGAGAGGGCCAAGGUCGGACUUUGAGUCUUACUCAACUUCACACCUUAUAAUACAGGCAAGAACUCUUUCUUUGACUGCUCCAUUUUGAACUAUUUCAAAAUCUUGUCAAGGUAUGUACUCAUUGAAAAAACUUAUCAAGCGUCUUGAUCUAUCUCUAUAGAUCUUGAAGCUCAAUAUGUAAGCAGCUUCACCGAAGUCUUUCUUUGAAAAACUCCUUUCAAACACUCCUUUAUGCUUUACAGAAUAAUUCUACAUUAUUUCCGAUCAACAAUAUGUCAUUCACAUAUACUUAUCAGAAAUGUUGUAGUGCUCCCACUCACUUUCUUGUAAAUACAGGCUUCACCGCAAGUCUGUAUAAAACUAUAUGCUUUGAUCAAUUCAUCAAAGCAUAUAUUCCAACUCCGAGAUGCUUGCACCAGUCCACAGAUGGAUCGCUGGAGCUUGCACAUUUUGUUAGCACCUUUCGCAUUGACAAAACCUUCUGUUGCAUCAUAUACAACUCUUCUUUAAUAAAUCCAUUAAGGAAUGCAGUUUUGUUUAUCCAUUUGCCAGAUUUCAUAAAAUGCGGCAAUUACUAACAUGAUUCGGAUAGACUCAAGCAUAGAUACGAGUGAGAAGCUCUCAUCGCAGUCAACACCUUGAACUUGUCGAAAAACCUUUUGCGACAAUUCUAACUUUGUAGAUAGUAACACUACUAUCAGCGUCCGUCUUUCUCUUGAAGAUCCAUUUAUUCUCAAUUGCUUGCCGAUCAUCGGGCAAGUCAACCAAAGUCCAAACUUUGUUCUCAUACAUGGAUCAUAUCUCAGAUUUCAUGGCCUCAAACCAUUUCGCAGAAUCUGGGCUCAUCAUCGCUUCCUCAUAGUUCAUAGGUUCGUCAUGGUCAAGUAACAUGACCUCCAGAACAGGAUUACCGUACCACUCUGGUGCGGAUCUCACUCUAGUUUACCUACGAGAUUCGGUAGUAACUUGAUCUGAAGUUACAUGAUCAUCAUCAUUAGCUUCCUCACUAAUUGGUGUCGUAGUCACAAGAAUAGAUUUUUGUGAUGAACUACUUUCCAAUAAGGUAGAAGGUACAAUUACCUUAUCAAGUUUUCUACUUUCCUCCCACUUACUUCUUUCAAGAGAAACUCCUUCUCUAGAAAGGAUCCAUUAUAAGCAACGAAUGUCUUGCCUUAGGAUCUGUGAUAGAAGGUGUACCCAACAGUCUCCUUUGGGUAUCCUAUGAAGACAUAUUUCUCCGAUUUGGGUUUGAGCUUAUCAGGAUGAAACUUUUUCUCAUAAGCAUCGCAACCCCAAACUUCAAGAAACGACAACUUUGGUUUCUUGCCAAACCAUAGUUCAUAAGGCGUCGUCUCGACGGAUAUAGAUGGUGCCCCUUUUUUAACGUGAAUGCAGCUGUCUCUAAUGCAUGACCCCAAAAACGAUAGUGGUAAAUCGGUAAGAAACAUCAUAGAUUGCACUAUAUCCAAUAAAGUACGGUUAUGACGUUCGGACACACCAUUAUGCUGUGGUGUUCCAGGUGGCGUGAGUAGUGAAACUAUUUCACAUUGUUUUAACUGAAGACCAAACUCGUAACUCAAAUACUUUUUUCCACGAUCAGAUCGUAGAAACUUUAUUUUCUUGUUAUGAUGAUUUUCCACUUCACUCUGAAAUUAUAUGAACUUUUCAAAUGUAUCAGACUUCUGUUUCAUCAAGUAGAUAUACUCAUAUCUGCUCAAAUCAUCUGUGAAGAUCAGAAAAUAAUGAUACCUGUCGCGAGCCUCAAUAUUCAUCGGACCACAUACAUCAGUAUGUAUGAUUUCCAACAAAUCUGUUGCUCGCUCCAUUGUUCCGAAGAACAGAGUUUUAGUCAUCUUGCCCAUGAGGCAUGGUUCGCAAGCAUCAACUGAUUCAUAAUCAAGUGAUUCAAAAAGCCCAUCAGCUUGGAGUUUCUUCAUGCGAUUUACACCAAUAUGACCUAAACGGCAGUGCCACAAAUAAGUUGCACUAUCAUUAUUAACUUUGCAUCUUUUGGUUUCAAUAUCAUGAAUAUGUGUAUCACUAUGAUCGAGAUCCAAUGAACUUGUUUCAUUGGGUGUAUAACCAUCGAAGGUUUUAUUCAUGUAAACAGAACAACAAUUAUUCUCUGACUUUAACGAAUAACCGUAUUGCAAUAAACAUGAUCAAAUCAUAUUCAUGCUCAACGCAAAAACCAAAUAACACUUAUUUAGGUUCAGCACUAAUCCCGAAAUUAUAGGGAGUGUGCGAUGAUGAUCAUAUCAAUCUUGGAACCACUUCCAACACACAUCGUCACUUCACCCUUAACUAGUCUCUGUUCAUUCUGCAACUCCCGUUUUGAGUUACUACUCUUAGCAACUGAACUAGCAUCAAAUACUGAUGGGGUUGCUAUAAACACUAGUAAAGUACACAUCAAUAACAUGUAUAUCAAAUAUACUUAUGUUCACUUUGCCAUCCUUCUUAUCCGCCAAUCACUUGGGGUAGUUCCGCUUCCAGUGACCAGUCCCUUUGCAGUAGAAGCACUUAGUCUCAGGCUUAGGAUCAGACUUGGGCUUCUUCACUUGAGCAGCAACUUGCUUGCCGUUCUUCUUGAAGUUCCCCUUCUUCCGUUUGCCCUUUUCUUGAAACUAGUGGUCUUGUCAACCAUCAACACUUGAUGUUUUUCUUGAUUUCUACCUUCGUUGAUUUCAGCAUCAUGAAGAGCUUGGGAGUUGUUUCCGUUAUCCCUUGCAUAUUAUAGUUCAUCACAAAGUUCUACUAACUUGGUGAUGGUGACUAGAGAAUUCUGUCAAUCACUAUCUUAUUUGGAAGAUUAACUCCCACUUGAUUCAAGCGAUUGUAGUACCUAGACAAUCUGAGCACAUGCUCACUAGUUGAGCGAUUCUCCUCCAUCUUUUAGCUAUAGAACUUGUUGGAGACUUCAUAUCUCUCAACUCGGGUAUUUGCUUGAAAUAUUAACUUCAACUCCUGGAACAUCUCAUAUGGUCCAUGACGUUCAAAACGUCUUUGAAGUCCCGAUUCUAAGCCGUUAAGCAUGGUGCACUUAAACUAUCAAGUAGUCAUCAUAUUGAGCUAGCCAAACGUUCAUAACGUCUGCAUCUGCUCCUGCAAUAGGUCUGUCACCUAGCGGUGCAUCAAGGACAUAAUUCCUCUGUGCAGCAAUGAGGAUAAACCUCAGAUCACGGAUCCAAUCCGCAUCAUUGCUACUAAUAUCUUUCAACACAAUUUUCUCUAGGAACAUAUCAAAAUAAACACAGGGAAGCAACAACGCGAGCUAUUGAUCUACAACAUAAUUUGCAAAAUACUACCAGGACUAAGUUCAUGAUAAAUUUAAGUUCAAUUAAUCAUAUUACUUAAGAACUCCCACUUAGAUAGACAUCCCUCAAAUCCUCUAAGUGAUUACGUGAUCCAAAUCAACUAAACCAUAACCGAUCAUCACGUGAGAUGGAGCAGUUUUCAAUGGUGAACAUCGUUAUGUUGAUCAUAUCUACUAUAUGAUUCACGCUCGACCUUUCGGUCUCUGUGUUCCGAGGCCAUAUCUGCAUAUGCUAGGCUCGUCAAGUUUAACCUGAGUAUUCUGCGUGUGCAAAACUGGCUUGCACCCGUUGUAGAUGGACGUAGAGCUUGUCACACCCGAUCAUCACGUGGUGUCUUGGCACGACGAACUUUGGCAACGGUGCAUACUCAGGGAGAACACUUCUUGAUAAUUUAGUGAGAGAUCAUCUUAUAAUGCUACCGUCAAUCAAAGCAAGAUAAGAUGCAUAAAAGGAUAAACAUCACAUGCAAUCAAUAUAAGUGAUAUGAUAUGGCCAUCAUCAUCUUGUGCUUGUGAUCUCCAUCUCCAAAGCACUGUCAUGAUCACCAUCGUCACCGGCGCGACACCUUGAUCUCCAUCGUAGCAUCGUUGUCGUCUCGCCAAUCUUAUGCUUCCACGACUAUCACUACCGCUUAGUAAUAGAGUAAAGCAUUACAUCGCGAUUGCAUUGCAUACAAUAAAGCGACAACCAUAUGGCUCCUGCCAGUUGCCGAUAACUUGGUUACAAAACAUGAUCAUCUCAUACAAUAAAAUUUAGCAUCAUGCCUUGACCAUAUCACAUCACAACAUGCCCUGCAAAAACAAGUUAGACGUCCUCUACUUUGUUGUUGCAAGUUUUACGUGGCUGCGACGGGCUUAAGCGAGAACUCAUCUCACCUACGCAUCAAAACCACAACGAUAGUUUGUCAAAUAGACUUCGUUUUAACCUUCUCAAGGACCGGGCGUAGCCACACUUGGUUCAACUAAAGUUGGAGAGACAGUCACCCGCAAGCCAUCCAUGUGCAAAGCACGUCGAGGGAACCGGUCUCGCGUAAGCGUACGCGUAAGGUUGGUCCGGGUCGUCUCGUCCAACAAUACCGCUGAACCAAAGUAUGACAUGCUGGUAGGCAGUAUGACUUGUAUCGCCCACAACUCACUUGUGUUCUACUCGUGCAAAUAACAUCAAACCAUAAAACCUAGGCUCUGAUACCACUGUUGGGGAACGUAGUAAUUUCAAAAAAAAUUCUACGCACACGCAAGAUCAUGGUGAUGAAUAGCAACGAGGGGGAGAGUCUGAUCUACGUACCCUUGUAGAUCGCAACGGAAGCGUUGACACAACGUAGAGGAAGUAGUCGUACGUCUUCUUCCCGAUCCGACCGAUCCAAGCACCGUUAUUCCGGCACCUCCGAGUUCUUAGCACACGUUCAGCUCGAUGACGAUCCUCGGGCUCCGAUCCAGCAAAGCGUCGAGGAAGAGUUCCGUCAGCACGACAGCGUGGUGACAAUCUUGAUAUACUACCGACGCAGGGCUUCGCCUAAGCACUACAACGGUAUGAUCGAGGUGGAAUUUGGUGGCAGGGGGCACCGCACACGGCUAAGGAACGAUCUCAAUGAUCAACUUGUGUGUCUAUGUGGUGCCCCCUGCCCCCGUAUAUAAAGGAGCAAGGGAGGAGGGCGGCCGGCCUAGGAGUUGGCGCGCCAAGGGAGGUCCUACUCCCACCGGGAGUAGGACUCCUUCUUUCCUAGUCCAACUAGGAGAAGGGGGGAAAGGAGGGAAGUGGAGAAGGAAGGGAGAGGUGGGCCGUGCCCCAAAUCCCUUGUCCAAUUCGGACUGGACUUGGGAGGGGCGCGCGCCACCUCCUGGCUCCUUCCCACUUAAGCCCAUUAAGGCCCAAUACUCUUCCCCGUAUUCCCGUAACUCCCCGAUACCUCCGAAAAUACCCGAAUCACUCGGAACCUUUCCGAUGUCCGAAUAUAGUCGUCCAAUAUAUCGAUCUUUACGUCUCGACCAUUUCGAGACUCCUCGUCAUGUCCCCGAUCUCAUCCGGGACACCGAACUCCUUCGGUACAUCAAAACUCAUAAACUCAUAAUAUAACUGUCAUCAAAACCUUAAGCGUGCGGACCCUACGGUUCGAGAACAAUGUAGACAUGACCGAGACAUGUCUCCGGUCAAUAACCAAUAGCGGGACCUGGAUGCCCAUAUUGGCUCCUACAUAUUCUACGAAGAUCUUUAUCGGUCAGACCGCAUAACAACAUACGUUGUUCCCUUUGUCAUCGGUAUGUUACUUGCCCGAGAUUCGAUCGUCGGUAUCCAAUACCUAGUUCAAUCUCGUUACCGGCAAGUCUCUUUACUCGUUCUGUAAUACAACAUCCCGCAACUAACUCAUUAGUUGCAAUGCUUGCAAGGCUUUAAGUGAUGUGCAUUACCGAGAGGGCCUAGAGAUACCUCUCCGAUAAUCGGAGUGACAAAUCCUAUUCUCGAAAUACGCCAACCCAACAUCUACCAUUGGAGAUACCUGUACUACUUCUUUAUAAUCACCCAGUUACGUUGUGAUGUUUGAUAGUACCCAAAGUGUUCCUCCGGCAAACGGGAGUUGCAUAAUCUCAUAGUCAUAGGAACAUGUAUAAGUUAUGAAGAAAGCAAUAGCAACAUACUAAACGAUCGGGUGCUAAGCUAAUGGAAUGGGUCAUGUCAAUCAGAUCAUUCAACUAAUGAUGUGACCUCGUUAAUCAAAUAACAACUCUUUGUUCAUGGUUAAAAAACAUAACCAUCUUUGAUUAACGAGCUAGUCAAGUAGAGGCAUACUAGUGACACUCUGUUUGUCUAUGUAUUCACACAUGUAUUAUGUUUCCGGUUAAUACAAUUCUAGCAUGAAUAAUAAACAUUGAUCAUGAUAUAAGGAAAUAAAUAAUAACUUUAUUAUUGCCUCUAGGGCAUAUUUCCUUCACAAACAACUUAAGAAAGACAACAAAACAUUCUUGGAAUCUAGCUAGAUAUGAGCAUCUAUUGGAUAGGAACAAAGUAACUUCCCAUGCAAAAACAGCCAAGGUAGCCAACAAACCUAAAAGGACAUCAAAAAAAUCUACUCUAUUGGAGCCUAGCUAGAUCUAGACAUCUCUUAAACCCAAUUUGCAGGAACCUAGCUGGACAUAAAUAUAUGAGCAAGUCCUAAAAAAUACAAAAGUGCCUGAGUUCUGAGGAGCCAGGUGAGGUGCUUCGUUUCUUCUUUGCCUCGCGUGAGGGCGAGGGAGGAGACGAAGAGGAGCCGCCGAAGUCCACCAGAGCCGCGCCGGCGACGAAGGCAAUGCCCAACCCAAACCCUAGCCACGGCUGAGGGUCACAAGCGAGCGCGAGAUGCCCUCAUCCUCUCUCUCCCCUACAGGGACUCGCCUAUUGCCUGCAAGUCGCCGCCGCCGACGGGACGGACGUGGGAGAGGAAGAUGAGCGGCGCGACUAUCCGCUGGGGCAGAGGAGAGAGGCGUAGGGGAGGAGGAGGCCGACCCCCUGGGCCACGCCGCCUGCGCCACGUCCCAUACGCCGCCGCCUUUACCUCGCCUCGCCAUUCCUCCUUCCCUCCCAUGGGAGGUGGGGCCGGGGCGGGGCGUUAGGGUUUGGCGGCGCCAAAUCGGGGGGUGGAAGGAGGAGAGGGAGGCGCGGGUAGGGAGGAGGCCGGGCGGCGGCGAGGAAGGAGGAGAGGGAGGCGCGGGUGGGGAGGAGGAGGCGGAGCGAGCGGGAGAGGAGCUGGCUAGGGUUUCACCACAGGCGGAGCCGGCCUUUUAUACCCCGUGCGAGUGAAACGACGAAAAUGCCAUGGCGAGUAAAUAGUUUGGCAUGCUCCAGUUUAUGGAGUACUCUUGGAAACUUAUUCUUCCUAUCUUUCUUUUUAAGGGGUUUAGAAGAUAGAUACAAAUGAUUAUGUAAGGAUACAACCCUUGAAAACUAUGUAUAUUCUUAUAGAUAAAUGAGCGAAAUACUUGUUGUUGGCCAUUCAGUUAGUGAAAUUGAAGUAAGAUCUGCAAUUGAGACACCAAAAAUGUUAUUUACCGUGAGCGCUUCCAAUCUGCCGGAUUCUCUUGGUUACUUAAAUUUGUUAUUAUGUUUGUAGAUAUUAUAAUUUACACUUUGUGGAUAGCAUGCCCGUAUACGUCCUGUAUAUACAUCCAAAUGAAUGGGAUGGAUAGGAUCGGGGCUCUGGCAGUUGUUGCUGUUAGAAUAAAUCCGAGGCACUCCGUUGAUUAUCCAAGGAUCAAGCAAUCACAUGAGCACGACAUCGAGAUUUGUUAACGAGGUUCACCGAUAUGGCUACAUCCCCAGGGCCUGACUAUGGGCGGUCCUCCCCGUGACACCGUCACAAUACCGCACCCGGUCGCCCUGGACACCGGCACAUGCCGCCGGCUUCCCCUGCGUUCCGGUGCUAUUAUGUUGGCAUAGGUUACAUCGUGUGUCUACCCCCGCUAUAUAUGAAAGGCCUAGGAUACAAGUGUCCUAUUAGGACACAACUCCACAUCCUAUGUAAACACAAUACAAUUCCUAGUCCAACUGUAACCUACCUUGUACAUAAUAUUCGACACAACUCUAACAAACUCCACCUUGGCGAAUAUUCUCCACCACCUUGAAAUCGUCAAUGCGUCAAACUUCCAUGUACAUUGGACUUGAGCUUAUCCCGUGAGUACCGCUGCUACUCCAAAGACUCCAUAUGACUCCACCUGCAACUUGUAGUUCCUUCUUUUCUUGAUCAUAGUCAACACUCGAGCAAAAUUAAGUUCCUUGUUACUCUAGUUUGUGCUCCAACUUUCAGAGUAUUGAUCCACGACAUCACACACUGAUCACUGACCUGCGUGAAAGUGAACAACUCACAUAUUGGGUGUCACACAUAAGAGUUACCUGAACUCAACAUCACCGCUCUUUUCUUGACCGACUGUCUGAAACAUGAAGGAAUUUCACCGUUGCUUGUAGUCAUCCCGAGUCAAAUUCGCAGUUGUCUCACCACAUGUAUGACCACCAGAGCCCUGGCCCGUCUCCAUGCCCCGUGCGCACCGCACGCCUCGCCGCUAUUACCGCGUCGAGCCUCCGCUGUCCCGGUCGAGUCUCAAGGGUCGGGAACCCACACCACUCAACCCCACUGCAGAGUACCACCGAUCAUCACUGACCGAUGACGAGUUUCACGCUUCCAUCAGACCACUUGGCUCCAGUCCGAACUGCAUGUCACUCGCUUUUCUCAGCUGAAUAGGCUCCGACCUCGUCGACUUAUGCCAUAGCCCCUCAAUCCAGCUCCACCUUCAACAUGACUCCAUGGUGGUUGUACGUGCCACCCCGCGCCCCGUCGACUUCAAGCUCUCAUGUGCACCAUCUUGAAUCAACCCCGCGCCAUAGUCUUGUCGAAGCCACACAAACCCUCGGGGCCUGUGCCACGUGUUUCCACGCCCAGAAGUCGGUCACCAUCAGCAUCACGCUCCUGUGUCGUUGUUGCUGAUUCCACCACCGUCUUCUGUAUCAACCGACUCGCGUCGAUCCGUCAGAUUGUCCAGUUCGACCCAGCCGAACUUGUUCGACUGCAACGACACGCUCUAGGCUCCCAAAUCAGCUUCCGCAAAUUUCCAUACAUCACAUGAUAUUUCCAUCUUAGCUGACAUGACUUCCUGCAAUACCUUCAAGCAUUCUUUGUUGUGCCAACUGAACUUUUCACGAUGCAAUAGUACACGAAGCAAACCCGUUGUCACCUCCCAGUACUAAUAGCAAUUUAACCAAACAAUUUUGGCCUUCACGUUGUGUAGCUCCUAGGCUCAACUCCCAAUGCUAAUUAGUAGUAUUUGCUUUGUCCUGCCUCUGCCUUCCAACGGAUGCACAUCAAUCAAUGGACUUUUUUCCUUUCCGCCGAAUCGAUUUGCUGCCUCUGUCCGCGUCGCACACAAGGACUCAGUCCUUUUUUUGGUCCAAACAAAAUCUCGUCGAGUAUCAAUCGGAUCUGCAGUACGGCCCUUUCAUGUAGCGUCUAGUCAGCUCCUUCCACGCCAGAUUCGCAAUCACAACACGCACACCAGCUAGUCCCGCUGGGCCAGCCCACACCACGCGCCUCCGUACUGCACCAUCUUGCGUGAUCGAGCCGCACACGCUGCCUGGGUCGUUGCCUUCGCUGCCAUGCGUGCAUGUGCAUCGCCUGUACGCUCGCCCGAUCAAUGCACGGAUCGAUCGCCACACGCCACACUGCUGCCACAACGCGCGCCCAAGCCUUCCGCUGAUCCAAUCUCGUCAACUCGCUUUUUCCAAUCUCGCUGAGAAUCACGCCGGUGCCGGCUGCAUCUCGAACUCCAUAUUUCCUCUAGAUCAAUAAUUCAUAGCCUCCGAAUAACCUAGCUCAUGAUACCACUUGUUAGAAUAAAUCCGAGGCACUCCGUUGAUUAUCCAAGGAUCAAGCAAUCACAUGAGCACGACAUCGAGAUUUGUUAACAAGGUUCACCGAUAUGGCUACAUCCCCAGGGCCUGACUAUGGGCGCUCCUCCCCGUGACACCGUCACAAUACCGCACCCGGUCGCCCUGGACACCGGCACAUGCCGCCGGCUUCCCCUGCGUUCCGGUGCUAUUAUGUUGGCAUAGGUUACAUCGUGUGUCUACCCCCGCUAUAUAUGAAAGGCCUAGGAUACAAGUGUCCUAUUAGGACACAACUCCACAUCCUAUGUAAACACAAUACAAUUCCUAGUCCAACUGUAACCUACCUUGUACAUAAUAUUCGACACAACUCUAACAGUUGCCAUGGUAAUCACUCCAUUUUAACAUUUGUGUGUUAUUGUUGGUCUUCGCUGGGAGGAAUGUGAGCAACGAUUUGAUGCUGAUAUUAAAAAACUUUGAAUUGAAUCAAAUUUAAUUCUUUUUGCCUGUCCUGUAAAAUAUAGCUCAAAAACUUUCUCCUUUUUUGCUUUCAAAGGACGAAGCACAUCUCAAAUUAGUGAGUUGCUUUGUACAUUUCAUAUUUCUUGAACUAUAUGUAGCUUACAACUUUAUCUCUUUGAUUUGUCAUCAGUUCACUAAGAAUGUAAGUAAAAUAAUACCUCAGGGUUAUAUCGUGUUGGCGACCGAGUGUGAUGAGCCAAAGCCGCUUGACGAAUUGUUGGUGUGCCAUUUCUGCGGGUUCUUUAUUUGACGCCACUUUAGUAAUUAAAACAAUGAUGGCUCUGAUGCCUAUGUUGCUUCUUUGCUUCAAACUAUAACAUGUGUUUUUAGUUCCAACGGUUUUGCAUUAUGAAAGUCACUCAUGGGAUUUUCUAGCUUUAAAUUGUUACUCUGUUUCUCUGUGUCUGCUCUUCUGUGCCCCAUCGGGAUCGCCACUCACGCGCUGACUAUUGUAUUGGCAGCCCGCAUAGAAACUGUGGGAAACAAAACUAAAACUACCGUAGAAUUCUUUUUAUUUUGCUGCCUAUACAGAACAAAUACUAUUGAGUUUUGGCUAAUCUCUCGAUGGUUUCUAAACGGUAAUCUUGCCUGACCAUUGACUUUUUGAGUUCUGUCUUAAAAGAGUAUUAUGCACCAAUGAGAGAAUGUAUUAUGAUAUAAUGAUAUGUUGAGUGUGUUGGGGAACGUAGUAAUUUCAAAAAAAAUCCUACGCACACGCAAGAUCAUGGUGAUGCAUAGCAACGAGAGGGAGAGUCUGAUCUACGUACCCUUGUAGAUCACAACGGAAGCGUUGACACAACGUAGAGGAAGUAGUCGUACGUCUUCUUCCCGAUCCGACCGAUCCAAGCACCGUUACUCCGGCACCUCCGAGUUCUUAGCACACGUACAGCUCGAUGACGAUCCCCGGGCUCCGAUCCAGCAAAACUUUGGGGAGGAGUUCCGUCAGCACGACGGCGUGGUGACGAUCUUGAUGUUCUACUGACGCAGGGCUUCGCCUAAGCACUACAACGAUAUGAUCGAGGUGGAAUAUGGUGGCAGGGGCACCGCACACGGCUAAGGAACGAUCUUCAAGAUCAACUUGUGUGUCUAGAGGUGCCCCCUGCCCCCAUAUAUAAAGGAGCAAGGGGGAGGCCGGCCGGCCUAUGGGGCGUGCCAAGGGAGGGGGAGUCCUCCUCCUAGUGGGAGUAGGACUCCCCUUUCCUAGUCGAACUAGGAGACUUGGGGGGGAAGGAAAGAGAGGGAGAGGGAGAGGGAAAGGGGGGCCGCGCCCUCCCCUCCUAGUCCAAUUCGGACUCCCUUGAGGGGGGGCGCGCCACCUCUUGGGCUGCUGCCCUCUCUCUCCCCUCAGGCCCAAUAAGGCCCAUUACUUCCCCGGGGGGUUCCGGUAACCCCUCCGGCUCUCCGGUUUUCUCCGAAAUCAUCCGGAACACUUCCGGUGUCCGAAUAUAGUCAUCCAAUAUAUCAAUCUUUAUGUCUCGACCAUUUCGAGACUCCUCGUCAUGUCUGUGAUCAUAUCCGGGACUCCGAACUAACUUCGGUACAUCAAAACUCAUAAUAACUGUCAUCGUAACGUUAAGCGUGCGGACCCUACGGUUCGAGAACAAUGUAGACAUGACCGAGACAUGUCUCCGGUCAAUAACCAAUAGCGGGACCUGGAUGCCCAUACUGGCUCCUACAUAUUCUAUGAAGAUCUUUAUCGGUCAGACCGCAUAACAACAAACGUUGUUCCCUUUGUCAUCGGUAUGUUACUUGCCCGAGAUUCGAUCGUCGGUAUCCAAUACCUAGUUCAAUCUCAUUACCGGCAAGUCUCUUGACUCGUUCCGUAAUACAUCAUCUCGCAACUAACUCAUUAGUCACAAUGCUUGCAAGGCUUAUGUGAUGUGCAUUACCGAGAGGGCCCAGAGAUACCUCUCCGACAAUCGGAGUGACAAAUCCUAUUCUCGAAAUACGCCAACCCAACAUCUACCUUUGGAGACACCUAUAGUACUCCUUUAUAAUCACCCAGUUACGUUGUGACGUUUGGUAGCACCCAAAGUGUUCCUCCGGUAAACGGGAGUUGCAUAAUCUCAUAGUCAUAGGAACAUGUAUAAGUCAUGAAGAAAGCAAUAGCAACAUACUAAACGAUCGGGUGCUAAGCUAAUGAAAUGGGUCAUGUCAAUCAGAUCAUUCAACUAAUGAUGUGACCUCGUUAGUCAAAUAACAACACCUUGUUCAUGGUUAGGAAACAUAACCAUCUUUGAUUAACGAGCUAGUCAAGUAGAGGCAUACUAGUGACACUAAGUUUGUCUAUAUAUUCACACAUGUAUUAUGUUUCCGGUUAAUACAAUUCUAGCAUGAAUAAUAAACAUUUAUCAUGAUAUAAGGAAAUAAAUAAUAACUUUAUUAUUGCUUCUAGGGCAUAUUUCCUUCAGUCUCCCACUUGCACUAGAGUCAAUAAUCUAGAUUACACAGUAAUGAUUCUAACACCCAUGGAGCCUUGGUGUUGAUCAUGUUUUGCUCGUGGAAGAGGCUUAGUCAACGGGUCUGCAACAUUCGGAUCCGUAUGUAUCUUGCAAAUCUCUAUGUCUCCCACCUGGACUAGAUCCCGGAUGGAAUUGAAGCGUCUCUUGAUGUGCUUCGUCCUUUUGUGAAAUCUGGAUUCCUUUGCCAAGGCAAUUGCACCAGUAUUGUCACAAAAGAUUUUCAUUGGACCCGAUGCACUAGGUAUGAUACCUAGAUCGGAUAUGAACACCUUCAUCCAGACUCCUUCGUUCGCUGCUUCCGAAGCAGCUAUGUACUCCGCUUCACAUGUAGAUCCCGCUACGACGCUUUGUUUAGAACUGCACCAACUGACAGCUCCACCGUUUAAUGUAAACACGUAUCCGGUUUGUGAUUUAGAAUUGUCCGGAUCAGUGUCAAAGCUUGCAUCAACGUAACCUCUUACGGUGAGCUCUUUGUCACCUCCAUAUACGAGAAACAUAUCCUUAGUCCUUUUCAGGUAUUUCAGGAUGUUCUUGACCGCUGUCCAGUGAUCCAUUCUUGGAUUAUUUUGGUACCUCCCUGCUAAACUUAUAGCAAGGCAUACAUCAGGUCUGGUACACAGCAUUGCAUACAUGAUAGAGCCUAUGGCUGAAGCAUAGGGAACAUCUUUCAUUUUCUCUCUAUCUUCUGCAGUGGUCGGGCGUUGAGUCUGACUCAACUUCACACCUUGUAACACAGGCAAGAACCCUUUCUUUGCUUGAUCCAUUUUGAACUUUUUCAAAAUUUUGUCAAGGUAUGUGCUUUGUGAAAGUCCAAUUAAGCGUCUCGAUCUAUCUCUAUAGAUCUUAAUGCCCAAUAUGUAAGCAGCUUCACCGAGGUCUUUCAUCGAAAAACUCUUAUUCAAGUAUCCCUUUAUGCUAUCCAAAAAUUCUAUAUCAUUUCCAAUCAGCAAUAUGUCAUCCACAUAUAAUAUCAGAAAUGCUACAGAGCUCCCACUCACUUUCUUGUAAAUACAGGCUUCUCCAAAAGUCUGUAUAAAACCAAAUGCUUUGAUCACACUAUCAAAUUGUUUAUUCCAACUCCGAGAGGCUUGCACCAGUCCAUAAAUGGAUCGCUGGAGCUUGCACACUUUGUUAGCUCCUUUUGGAUCGACAAAACCUUCCGGUUGCAUCAUAUACAACUCUUCUUCCAGAAAUCCAUUUAGGAAUGCAGUUUUGACAUCCAUCUGCCAAAUUUCAUAAUUAUAAAACGCGGCAAUUGCUAACAAGAUUCGGACAGACUUAAGCAUCGCUACGGGUGAGAAGUUCUCAUCGUAGUCAACCCCUUGAACUUGUCGAAAACCUUUUGCAACAAGUCGAGCUUUAUAGACAGUAACAUUACCGUCAGCGUCAGUCUUUUUCUUGAAGAUCCAUUUAUUCUCAAUUGCUUGCCGAUCAUCGGGAAAGUCAACCAAAGUCCAUACUUUGUUCUCAUACAUGGAUCCCAUCUCAGAUUUCAUGGCUUCAAGCCACUUUGCGGAAUCUGGGCUCACCAUCGCUUCUUCAUAGUUCGUAGGUUCAUCAUGAUCUAGUUGCAUGACUUCCAGAACUGGAUUACCGUACCACUCUGGUGCGGAUCUUACUCUGGUUGAUCUACGAGGUUCAGUAGUAUCUUGUUCUGAAGUUUCAUGAUCCUUAUCAUUAACUUCCUCACUUAUUGGUGUAGGUGUCGCAGAAACAGUUUUCUGUGAUGUACUACUUUCCAACAAGGGAGCAGGUACAGUUACCUCGUCAAGUUCUACUUUCCUCCCACUCACUUCUUUCGAGAGAAACUCCUUCUCAAGAAAGUUUCUGAAUUUAGCAACAAAAGUCUUGCCUUCGGAUCUGUGAUAGAAGGUGUAUCCAAUAGUUUCCUUUGGAUAUCCUAUGAAGACACAUUUCUCCGAUUUGGGUUUGAGCUUAUCAGGUUGAAGCUUUUUCACAUAAGCAUCGCAGCGCCAAACUUUCAGAAACGACAACUUUGGUUUCUUGCCAAACCAUAGUUCAUAAGGUGUCGUCUCAACGAAUUUUGAUGGUGCCCUGUUUAACGUGAAUGUGGCCGUCUCUAGAGCGUAUCCCCAAAACGAUAGCGGUAAAUCAGUAAGAGACAUCAUAGAUCGCACCAUAUCUAGUAAAGUACGAUUACGACGUUCGGACACACCAUUACGCUGUGGUGUUCUGGGUGGCGUGAGUUGCGAAACUAUUCCACAGUUUUUCAAAUGUACACCAAACUCGUAACUCAAAUAUUCUCCUCCACGAUCAGAUCGUAGAAACUUUAUUUUCUUGUUACGAUGAUUUUCAACUUCACUCUGAAAUUCUUUGAACUUUUCAAACGUUUCAGACUUAUGUUUCAUUAAGUAGAUAUACCCAUAUCUGCUUAAGUCAUCUGUGAAGGUGAGAAAAUAACGAUAUCCGCCACGAGCCUCAAUAUUCAUCGGACCACAUACAUCGGUAUGUAUGAUUUCCAACAAAUCCGUUGCUCUUUCCAUAAUACCGGAGAACGGUGUUUUAGUCAUCUUGCCCAUGAGGCAUGGUUCGCAAGUACCAAGUGAUUCAUAAUCAAGUGGUUCCAAAAGUCCAUCAGUAUGGAGUUUCUUCAUGCGCUUUACACCGAUAUGACCUAAACGGCAGUGCCACAAAUAAGUUGCACUAUCAUUAUUAACUCUGCAUCUUUUGGCUUCUACAAUAUGAAUAUGUGUAUCACUACUAUCGAGAUUCAUCAAAAAUAGACCGCUCUUCAAAGGUGCAUGACCAUAAGAGAUAUUACUCAUAUAAAUAGAACAACCAUUAUUCUCUGAUUUAAAUGAAUAACCGUCUCGCAUCAAACAAGAUCCAGAUAUAAUGUUCAUGCUUAACGCUGGCACCAAAUAACAAUUAUUUAGGUCUAAUAUUAAUCCCGAAGGUAGAUGUAGAGGUAGCGUGCCGACCGCGAUCACAUCGACUUUGGAACCGUUUCUCACGCGCAUCGUCACCUCAUCCUUAGCCAAUCUUUGCUUAAUCCGUAGUCCCUGUUUCGAGUUGCAAAUAUUAGCAACAGAACCAGUAUCAAAUACCCAGGUGCUACUGCGAGCAUUAGUAAGGUACACAUCAAUAACAUGUAUAUCACAUAUACAUUUGUUCACCUUGCCAUCCUUCUUAUCCGCCAAAUACUUUGGGCAGUUCCGCUUCCAGUGACCAGUCUGCUUGAAGUAGAAGCACUCAGUUUCAGGCUUAGGUCCAGACUUGGGUUUCUUCUCUUGAGCAGCAACUUGCUUACCGUUCUUUUUGAAGUUCCCCUUCUUCUUCCCUUUGCCCUUUUUCUUGAAACUAGUGGUUUUGUUAACCAUCAACACUUGAUGCUCCUUUUUGAUUUCUACCUCCACAGCUUUCAGCAUUGCGAAGCGCUCAGGAAUAGUCUUGUUCAUCCCUUGCAUAUUAUAGUUCAUCACGAAGCUCUUGUAGCUUGGUGGCAGUGAUUGGAGAAUUAUGUCAAUGACGCAAUCAUUUGGAAGAUUAACUCCCAAUUGCAUCAAGUGAUUAUUAUACCCAGACAUUUUGAGUAUAUGCUCACUGACAGAACUGUUCUCUUCCAUCUUGCAGCUAUAGAACUUAUUGGAGACUUCAUAUCUCUCAAUCCGGGCAUUUGCUUGAAAUAUUAACUUCAACUCCUGAAACAUCUCAUAUGCUCCAUGACGUUCAAAACGUCGUUGAAGUCCCGAUUCUAAGCCGUAAAGCAUGGCACACUGAACUAUCGAGUAGUCAUCAGCUUUGCUCUACCAGACGUUCAUAACAUCUGGUGUUGCUCCAGUAGCAGGCCUGGCACCCAGCGGUGCUUCCAGGACGUAAUUCUUCUGUGCAGCAAUGAGGAUAAUCCUCACGUUACGGACCCAGUCCGUGUAAUUGCUACCAUCAUCUUUCAACUUUGCUUUCUCAAGGAACGCAUUAAAAUUCAACGGAACAUCAGCACGAGCCAUCUAUCUACAAUCAACAUAAACAAGCAAGAUACUAUCAGGUACUAAGUUCAUGAUAAAUUUAAGUUCAAUUAAUCAUAUUACUUAAGAACUCCUACUUAGAUAGACAUCCCUCUAAUCCUCUAAGUGAUCACGUGAUCCAAAUCAACUAAACCAUGUCCGAUCAUCACGGGAGAUGGAGUAGUUUCAUCGGUGAACAUCAUUAUGUUGAUCGUAUCUACUAUAUGAUUCACGCUCGACCUUUCGGUCUUCGUGUUCCGAGGCCAUAUCUGUAUAUGCUUGGCUCGUCAAGUAUAACCUGAGUAUUCCGCGUGUGCAACUGUUUUGCACCCGUUGUAUUUGAACGUAGAGCCUAUCACACCCGAUCAUCACGUGGUGUCUCAGCACGAAGAACUUUCGCAACGGUGCAUACUCAGGGAGAACACUUCUUGAUAAUUUAGUGAGAGAUCAUCUUAUAAUGCUACCGUCAAUCAAAGCAAGAUAAGAUGAAUAAAAGAUAAACAUCACAUGCAAUCAAUAUAAGUGAUAUGAUAUGGCCAUCAUCAUCUUGUGCUUGUGAUCUCCAUCUCCGAAGCACCGUCAUGAUCACCAUCGUCACCGGCGCGACACCUUGAUCUCCAUCGUAGCAUCAUUGUCGUCUCGCCAAUCUUAUGCUUCCACGACUAUCGCUACCGUUUAGUGAUAAAGUAAAGCAUUACAUCGCGAUUGCAUUGCAUACAAUAAAGCGACAACCAUAUGGCUCCAGCGAGUUGCCGAUAACUCGGUUACAAAACAUGAUCAUCUCAUAUAAUAAAAUUUAGCAUCAUGUCUUGACCAUAUCACAUCACAACAUGCCUUGCAAAAACAAGUUAGACGUCCUCUACUUUGUUGUUGCAAGUUUUACGUGGCUGCGACGGGCUUAAGCAAGAACCAAUCUCACCUACGCAUCAAAACCACAACGAUAGUUUGUCAAAUAGACUCCGUUUUAACCUUCGCAAGGACCGGGCGUAGCCACACUCGGUUCAACUAAAGUUGGAGAGACAGUCGCCCGCAAGCCACCUGUGUGCAAAGCACGUCGGGGGAACCGGUCUCGCGUAAGCGUACGCGUAAGGUUGGUCCGGGUCGUCUCGUCCAACAAUACCGCUGAACCAAAGUAUGACAUGCUGGUAGGCAGUAUGACUUGUAUCGUCCACAACUCACUUGUGUUCUACUCGCGCAAAUAACAUCAAACCAUAAAACCUAGCCUCGGAUGCCACUGUUGGGGAACGUAGUAAUUUCAAAAAAAUUCCUACGCACACGCAAGAUCAUGGUGAUGCAUAGCAACAAGAGGGAGAGUCUGAUCUACGUACCCUUGUAGAUCGCAACGGAAGCGUUGACACAACAUAGAGGAAGUAGUCGUACGUCUUCUUCCCGAUCCGACCGAUCCAAGCACCGUUACUCCGGCACCUCCGAGUUCUUAGCACACGUACAGCUCGAUGACGAUCCCCGGGCUCCGAUCCAGCAAAACUUCGGGGAGGAGUUCCGUCAGCACGAUGGCGUGGUGACGAUCUUGAUGUUCUACCGACGCAGGGCUUCGCCUAAGCACUACAAUGAUAUGAUCGAGGUGGAAUAUGGUGGCAGGGGGCACCGCACACGGCUAAGGAACGAUCUUCAAGAUCAACUUGUGUGUCUAGAGGUGCCCCCCUACCCCCGUAUAUAAAGGAGCAAGGGGGAGGCCGGCCGGCCUAUGGGGCGCGCCAACGGAGGGGGAGUCCUCCUCCUGGUGGGAGUAGGACUCCCCUUUCCUAGUCCAACUAGGAGACUUGGGGGGAAGGAAAGAGAGGGAGAGGGAGAGGGAAAGGGGGGGCCGCGCCCUCCCCUCCUAGUCCAAUUCGGACUCCCUUGAGGGGGGGCGCGCCACCUCUUGGGCUGCUGCCCUCUCUCUCCCCUCAGGCCCAAUAAGGCCCAUUACUUCCCCGGGGGGUUCCGGUAACCCCUCCGGCUCUCCGGUUUUCUUCGAAAUCAUCCGGAACACUUCCGGUGUCCGAAUAUAGUCAUCCAAUAUAUCAAUCUUUAUGUCUCGACCAUUUUGAGACUCCUCGUCAUGUCCGUGAUCAUAUCCGGGACUCCGAACUAACUUCGGUACAUCAAAACUCAUAAUAACUGUCAUCGUAACGUUAAGCGUGCGGACCCUACGGUUCGAGAACAAUGUAGACAUGACCGAGACACGUCUCCGGUCAAUAACCAAUAGCGGGACCUGGAUGCCCAUACUGGCUCCUACAUAUUCUACGAAGAUCUUUAUCGGUCAGACCGCAUAACAACAUACGUUGUUCCCUUUGUCAUCGGUAUGUUACUUGCCCGAGAUUCGAUCAUCGGUAUCCAAUACCUAGUUCAAUCUCGUUACCGGCAAGUCUCUUUACUCGUUCCAUAAUACAUCAUCUCGCAACUAACUCAUUAGUCACAAUGCUUGCAAGGCUUAUGUGAUGUGCAUUACCAAGAGGGCCCAGAGAUACCUCUCCGAUAAUCGGAGUGACAAAUCCUAUUCUCGAAAUACGCCAACCCAACAUCUACCUUUGGAGACACCUGUAGUACUCCUUUAUAAUCACCCAGUUACGUUGUGACGUUUGGUAGCACCCAAAGUGUUCCUCCGGUAAACGGGAGUUGCAUAAUCUCAUAGUCAUAGGAACAUGUAUAAGUCAUGAAGAAAGCAUACUAAACGAUCGGGUGCUAAGCUAAUGAAAUGGGUCAUGUCAAUCAGAUCAUUCAACUAAUGAUGUGACCUCGUUAAUCAAAUAACAACACCAAUUUCAUGGUUAGGAAACAUAACCAUCUUUGAUUAACGAGCUAGUCAAGUAGAGGCAUACUAGUGACACUAAGUUUGUCUAUAUAUUCACACAUGUAUUAUGUUUCCGGUUAAUACAAUUCUAGCAUGAAUAAUAAGCAUUUAUCAUGAUAUAAGGAAAUAAAUAAUAACUUUAUUAUUGCUUAUAGGGCAUAUUUCCUUCAGAGUGAUCUUGCUUUUCCUCUUAAAAGUGCAGAUUUGAAAAAAAUCUGUACUGGUUCAGUGUUUUGUCUAAUUAGAAAUAGCUCUAAUCAAUAACCAUUACGAAGCCACCUAAUUAGAAAUGACUCUAAUCAAUAACCAUUACAAAGCCUCUGUGUGUGUGACCGCUGAUCUUUCUAUUUUCUUGGCUUGCAGGUCGCUGCUAGAGCCGGACAAGGUCAUGACUUGCCUUACCUGGUGAGGUACUGGCUAGGAAGAGUGCAAGCCGCCACCACCACAUACCAGAUGGUGCCGUUAAGGACAUCGUACUGCUGAUGAUCUACAGGUCCAUUUCUCCUUCUCCCUCUCUCUCAUAUGUCAAGCUCAAUUCCUUAUCAUUUUGCACAAUGGAGGUCCCUUGAAAGCCACUUGACCGAAAUCCUGUGUCUUGUGAUAUGCAUUUCAUACAGUUGCUUUCCUUUGAUAUUUUUCUGCUUUGUAUUUGUCUAUGGAUAUGAACAAAUAUGAUUAUGAUUCCUGCGUUGCAUAUGCCUGCUUUCCAUUAAUGAUAAAUGGUGAACAACUAUGGUGUUUUUCCAGCUUAACUACAGAAAGUUGAAAUGUGCCUAGCUCGAACCCACUUGUCACUCCAGCGUCUUCCUUUCUACUUCAUAUAUGGUUCUGGUAUGUCCUUUAUACUCAGUACAUUCAUGUCUGGUUUUGAGAUCUGCUAAAUUUAAUGUUGCGCCACAUGCAAGAUAGAUUAUCUCCAUAUAUUAUUGAAGGAAAUAUGCCCUAGAGGCAAUAAUAAAGUUAUUAUUUAUUUCCUUAUAUCAUGAUAAAUGUUUAUUAUUCAUGCUAGAAUUGCAUUAACCGGAAACAUAAUACAUGUGUGAACACAUAGACAAACAGAGUGUCACUAGUAUGCCUCUACUAGACUAGCUCGUUAAUCAAAGAUGGUUAAGUUUCCUAACCAUGAACAAAGAGUUUUUAUUUGAUUAACGAGGUCACAUCAUUAGUUGAAUGAUCUGAUUGACAUGACCCAUUCCAUUAGCUUAGCACCCGGUCGUUUAGUAUGUUGCUAUUGCUUUCUUCAUGACUUAUACAUGUUCCUAUGACUAUGAGAUUAUGCAACUCCCGUUUGCCGGAGGAACACUUUGUGUGCUACCAAACGUCACAACGUAACUGGGUGAUUAUAAAGGAGCUCUACAUGUGUCUCCAAUGGUAGAUGUUGGGUUGGCGUAUUUCGUGAAUGGGAUUUGUCCCUCCGAUUGUCGGAGAGGUAUCUCUGGGCCCUCUCGGUAAUGCACAUCACUUAAGCCUUGCAAGCAUUCCAACUAAUAAGUUAGUUGCGGGAUGAUGUAUUACGGAACGAGAAAAGAGACUUGCCGGUAACGAUAUUGAACUAGGUAUUGGAUACCGACGAUCGAAUCUCGGGCAAGUAACAUACCGAUGACAAAGGGAACAACGUAUGUUGUUAUGCGGUCUGACCGAUAAAGAUCUUCGUAGAAUAUGUAGGAGCCAAUAUGGGCAUCCAGGUCCCGCUAUUGGUUAUUGACCGGAGAAGUGUCUCGGUCAUGUCUACAUUGUUCUCGAACCGUAGGGUCCGCACGCUUAACGUUACGAUGACAGUUAUUAUGAGUUUUGAUGUACCGAAGUUAGUUCGGAGUCCCGGAUGUGAUCACGGACAUAACGAGAAGUCUCGAAAUGGUCGAGACAUAAAGAUUGAUAUAUUGGAAGCCUAUAUUUGGAUAUCGGAAGUGUUCCGGGUGAAAUCGGGAUUUUACCGGAUUACCGGGAGGUUACCGGAACCCCCCGGGAGCCAUAUGGGCCUUCAUGGGCCUUAGUGGAAAAGAGAAAAGGGGCAGCCCAUAGGUGGCCACGCGCCCCCCUUCCCUUAGUCCUAUUAGGACUAGGAGAAGGGGCCGGCCCCCCCCACUCUCUCUCUUUCCCCCUUUGGGAAACCUAGUCCAACUAGGAUUGGGGGGGGGGAGUCCUACUCCCGGUGGGAGUAGGACUCCUCCUGCGCCCUCUCCCUGGCCGACGCACCCCUCCCCCUUGGCUCCUUUAUAUACAGGGGCAGGGGGCACCUCUAGACACACAAGUUGAUCAUUGAGAUCGUUCCUUAGCCGUGUGCGGUGCCCCCUGCCACCAUAUUCCACCUCGAUCAUAUCGUUGUAGUGCUUAGGCGAAGCCCUGCGUCGGUAGUACAUCAAGAUCGUCACCACGCCGUCGUGCUGACAGAACUCCUCCCCGAAGCUUUGCUGGAUCGGAGCCCGGGGAUCGUCAUCGAGCUGUACGUGUGCUAAGAACUCGGAGGUGCCGGAGUAAUGGUGCUUGGAUCGGUCGGAUCGGGAAGAAGACGUACGACUACUUCCUCUACGUUGUGUCAACGCUUCCGUUGCGAUCUACAAGGGUACGUAGAUCAUGCUCUCCCCUCGUUGCUAUGCAUCACCAUGAUCUUGCGUGUGCGUAGGAAAUUUUUUGAAAUUACUACGUUCCCCAACAAUUAUUACUUUUGACAGACAAGAAGUUCAGAUAUUGUUGCUCUGUACUGAUUAUACUGAAAUUAUUUCUCUCUUAUUGCUUUGGAUGCUGAAAUGUAUUUCUGACCCUAUACGAAAACAAUUUUUUUUGUAGAUAAUGCAUAACAUAGUUUUUCUGUCUAUAAACAAAUUUUUGAUGUAUAAGCACUACCAAAUCAGAUUACCAGACUAAGAAAUCUACCGCUCGCUCCAGUUUAGCUGCAGUUCUGGAUCAGGAUUUUAAUCUAAAACUACUUGAGGCGACAACAAAAUACAUAUACGAAUCUGUAAUUUGUAGACCACUGUGAUAGCUGUAGCAUAGUCGAGAUGUUGUUGUGUCACUAUGGGUAUUUAUAAAUGAAGAAAAAUGAUAAAUCUAACUGGUCGGAGGAGGUAAGCCAGAAGCGAGAAUUUGAACAAGCCAUGCCGCAACUGCAUUAGGAAGGCUUGCAUCACCAUUAUUUUAAGGAAGUUUAAUCCACAUAUGUUUUGGGCAUCUAAUUUAAAAUUAUUGGCUGCAUGGAAGUGGCACCUUUUAGUUCUUUGUGCUGCUACAAAAAUAAUCAUGGUUGGGCUGUACAUUUGACUGGCAACCUAAGUUGAUUUUACUAUUUUUCUUCUUGGUAAGCUUUCAGUUAUAUUAGCAAAAAUGGUGCUUGAAGGUUUCAAAUAUAUCACACCAGAACUAUUCCAAGAUUGCUAUUGAAAUCUUCCUUCUGGAAGUACUUGAAGGAAGAUUCUUGCCCAGUUCAGCCGCUUUAAUAUUCUUGAAGGACACAUCAAAGAUUUCUGGGUGAUGCAAAUUUAUAUGAAUUACACAUGGUAUUUACUUUCAGAAAUCUGGAUAGUCUAAGGACGUUAGCAAGUUGUGAUGGUUACCAAAGUAGUUAACUAAUCCUACUUAGUAUUAGCUCUUGCCAAUCACAUUGUAUACGUAUAGUCUGUAGUUCUCUAUUGGCGGCGGAAGACGAGGUGUGCGCUGAGGAUCCCAACGAGGAAGAGGUGAGCCGCCGUGACAUCAAAGCUCUCGCACCACUGCUCCCCGUCGAGCUUGCACGUGCACUGGAUCCGGUGGCCAAUACAACCCGUCCAUUUGCCGGCACCUCCAAGCAACGCCUACAGCAGCGGGUGAGCCACCCUACUCGGCAGUUUGUUCUUUGCAUCCUUUGAAACGAAUCGACACACUACUGAACUUUAUAUCCGGUCUGCUGUCCUGAAAAAUAAUACUAUCUACAAAGUUGUCUCUGUCCAAAAGAUCACAGAGAUUCCAGAUGAUAUGAAAGCAAUUUACAAGUAUGUGAAAUAUGACCACCCCAUGCUUUAAUUUAAAAAGGUGUUAGUUUUCACAUGUGUAACCUUUUCUAUAUCAUUGAACCAGGACUCUUUAGGAAAUCAAGUAGAAAAUUGUUGUUGACAUGGCUGUCGGUCGUGGCUACUACAUUAAUCAAAGCCAGGGGCUUAAUUAUCCUGUAGGUUGACUAUACCUUGGUGUUAGUAGCUCUUUGUUGAUAACUAUCAUACUUGCAUAGCUGGUUGAUUGAUUUGAUUAUAACCAAACUGCACCGACAUAAUUUUAAGAUCGUGAUUAUUCAAAUGAAAAAUGAUGGAAGAAAUAUAUGUACCAAAGUCGCAUCUGUUGAGAUCAUGAGUAGGCACAAUUGCUCCUUCGAAUUAUUGUGAUAUUGUAGUCCUCUUUAGUCUUAUAAAUUAUGUAUUGUGGUGCUCCACCUCCUUUUCUCUUCUUGCCAGGACAUAUACUCUGCAUGGGAAGUUGUGUGCUUGCUACGAGCUUAAGGCAAUGGGAUGGACCAGACAAUGCGCCAAGAUAUGUUGGCAACAGUUACAUUAUCUAUAAAGACGAUCUCAUGUUUGAUUACUCUUACAAAGAUUUGUACUUUGUUUACAUCUGGGUAAUGUGUCGAGACAGACACCACCUGUCAGCAUCAAAAUAAGAAUACGGCGCCAGAACCUGGAUUACUACUAACUUAGCAUUACCUAUUUGAACAAAACAUUGGGACCGGCACCCUUGCGCCAAGGCGCGGUCCUGAUCUAGUUCCUAUGAACACAUGCAUGCACACUACUUCUUCCGGUUCUAAAUAUUUGUCUUUCUAGACAUUUCAAAUGGACUACUACAUACAGAUGCAUGUAGACAUAUUUUAGAGUGUAAAUUCAUUCAUUUUGCUCCGUAUGUAGUCACUUGUUGAAAUAUCUAGAAAGACAAAUAUUUAGGAACAGAGAGAGUAUAUCCCUGUAAUCACCUCCGAGAUAAAUUGAUUUGCAAAAAAUGUUCCAUCGCUAACGAGCGACACAAAAACAAUGUAUGUACGCUGUUCCACAUCUAGAUACAAAUAUAAAUUAGAACGAAAUAUGUAUUUGGCAACCCUGUGCCCGAUUGCAAAACUGCCACACCACUCGGUGUCCCUUCGAGCGGCAUCGCAGCAUGAUCCUGUUGGGGAACGUAGUAAUUUCAAAAAAAAUCCUAUGCACACGCAAGAUCAUGAUAAUGCAUAGCAACGAGAAGGGAGAGUGUUGUCUACGUACCCUCGUAGACCGAAGCGGAAGCGUUGAUGCAACGUAGAGGAAGUAGUCGUACGUCUUCCCGAUCCGACCGAUCCAAGCACCGUUACUCCGGCACCUCUGAGUUCUUGGCACACGUUCAGCUCGAUGACGAUCCCCGGGCUCCGAUCCAGCAAAGCGUCGGGGAGGAGUUCCGUCAGCACGACGGCGUGGUGAUGAUCUUGAUGUUCUACCGUCGCAGGGCUUCGCCUAAGCACUGCAACAAUAUGACCGAGGUGGAAUAUGGUGGAAAGGGGCACCGCACACGGCUAAGGAACGAUCAUGAAGAUCAACUUGUGUGUCAUGGGGUGCCCCCUGCCCCCGUAUAUAAAGGAGCAAGGGAGGAAGGGGCGGCCGGCCUAGGAGGGGGCGCGCCAAGGGGAGUCCUACUCCCAUCGGGAGUAGGACUCCCUCUUUCCAUGUUGGAGUAGGAGAAGCGGAAAGAGGGGGAGAGGAAGAAGGAAAAGGGGGCUGCGCCCCUUGUCCAAUUCGGACCAGAGGGGGGGCGCAGGCCUCCUUCCUUUUGGCCUCUCUCCUCUAUUCCCGUAUGGCCCAAUAAGGCCCAUAUACUCCCCGGCGAAUUCCCGUAACUCUCCGGUACUCCGAAAAAUACCCGAAUCACUCGGAACCUUUCCGAAGUCCGAAUAUAGUCGUCCAAUAUAUCGAUCUUUAUGUCUCGACCAUUUCGAGACUCCUCGUCAUAUCACCGAUCUCAUCCGGGACUCUGAACUCCUUCGAUACAUCAAAACUCAUAAACUCAUAAUAUAACUGUCAUCGAAACCUUAAGCGUGCGGACCCUACGGUUCGAGAACAAUGUAGACAUGACCAAGACACAUCUCCGGUCAAUAACCAAUAGCGGGACCUGGAUGCCCAUAUUGGCUCCUACAUAUUCUACGAAGAUCUUUAUCGGUCAGACCGCAUAACAACAUACGUUGUUCCCUUUGUCAUCGGUAUAUUACUUGCCGGAGAUUCGAUCGUCGGUAUCCAAUACCUAGUUCAAUCUCGUUACCGGCAAGUCUCUUUACUCGUUCCGUAAUACAUCAUCCCGCAACUAACUCAUUAGUUGCAAUGCUUGCAAGGCUUAAGUGAUGUGCAUUACCGAGAGGGCCCAGAGAUACCUCUCCGACAAUCGGAGUGACAAAUCCUAAUAUCGAAAUACGCCAACCCAACAUGUACCUUUGGAGACACCUGUAGAGCACCUUUAUAAUCACCCAGUUACGUUGUGACGUUUGGUAGCAAACAAAGUGUUCCUCCGGCAAAUGGGAGUUGCAUAAUCUCAUAGUCAUAGGAACAUGUAUAAGUCAUGAAGAAAGCAAUAGCAACAUACUAAACGAUCGGGUGCUAAGCUAAUGGAAUGGGUCAUGUCAAUCAGAUCAUUCAACUAAUGAUGUGAUCCCGUUAAUCAAAUAACAACUCUUUGUCCAUGAUUAGGAAACAUAACCAUCUUUGAUUAACGAGCUAGUCAAGUAGAGGCAUACUAGUGACACUGUUUGUCUAUGUAUUCACACAUGUAUUAUGUUUCCGGUUAAUACAAUUCUAGCAUGAAUAAUAAACAUUUAUCAUGAAAUAAGGAAAUAAAUAAUAACUUUAUUAUUGCCUCUAGGGCAUAUUUCCUUCAGUCUCCCACUUGCACUAGAGUCAAUAAUCUAGUUCACAUCGCCAUGUGAUUUAACAGCAAUAGUUCACAUCACCAUGUGAUUAACACCCAUAGUCGACAUCGAUAUGUGACCAAAACCCAAAGGGUUUACUAGAGUCAGUAAUCUAGUUCACAUCGCUAUGUGAUUAACACCCAUAGAGUACUAAGGUGUGAUCAUGUUUUGCUUGUGAGAUAAUUUUAGUCACCGGGUCUGUCAUAUUCAGAUCCGUAAGUAUUUUGAAAAUAUCUAUGUCAACAAUGCUUUGUAUGGAGCUACUCUAGCUAAUUGCUCCCACUUUCAAUAUGUAUCUAGAUCGAGACUUAGAGUCAUCUAGAUUAGUGUCAAAACUUGCAUCGGCGUAACCCUUUACAACGAACCUUUUUUUCUUCCAUAAUCGAGAAACAUAUCCUUAUUCCACUAAGGAUAAUUUUGACCGCUAUCCAGUGAUCUACUCCUAGAUCACUAUUGUACUCCCUUGCCAAAAUCAGUGUAGGGUAUGCAAUAGAUCUGGUACACAGCAUGGCAUACUUUAUAGAACCUAUGACUGAGGCAUAGGGAAUGACUUUCAUUCUCUUUCUAUCUUCUGUCGUGGUCGUGCUUUGAGUCUUACUCAACUUCACACCUUGUAACAUAGGCAAGAAACUUUUUCUUUGACUGUUCCAUUUUGAACUACUUCAAAAUCUUGUCAAGGUAUGUACUCAUUGAAAAAACUUAUCAAGCCUCUUGAUCUAUCUCUAUAGAUCUUGAUACUCAAUAUGUAAGCAGCUUCACCGAGGUCUUUCUUUGAAAAAUCCUUUCAAACACUCCUUUAUGCUUUGCAGAAUAAUUCUACAUUAUUUCCGAUCAACAAUAUGCCAUACACAUAUACUUAUCAGAAAUGCUGUAGUGCUCCCACUCACUUUCUUGUAAAUACAGGCUUCACCGCAAGUCUGUAUAAAACUAUAUGCUUUGAUCAACUUAUCAAAGCGUAUAUUCCAACUCCGAGAUGCUUGCACCAGUCCAUAGAUGGAUCGCUGGAGCUUGCAUAUUUUGUUAGCACUUUUAGGAUUGACAAAACCUUCUGGUUGCAUCAUAUACAAAUCUUCUUUAAAUCCAUUAAGGAAUGCAGUUUUGUUUAUCCAUUUGCUAGAUUUCAUAAAAUGCGGCAAUUGCUAACAUGAUUCGGACAGACUUAAGCAUUGAUAUGAGUGAGAAACUCUCAUCGUAGUCAACACCUUGAACUUGUCGAAAACCCUUUGCGACAAUUCUAGCUUUGUAGAUAGUAACACUACUAUCCGUGUCCGUCUUCCUCUUGAAGAUCCAUUUAUUAUCAAUGGCUUGCCGAUCAUCGGGCAAAUCCAUCAAAGUCCAUACUUUGUUCUCAUACAUGGAUCAUAUCUCAGAUUUCAUGGCCUCAAACCAUUUCGUGGAAUCUGGGCUCAUCAUCGCUUCCUCAUAGUUCGUAGGUUCGUCAUGGUCAAGUAACAUGACCUCUAGAACAGGAUUACCGUACCACUCUGGUGCGGAUCUCACUCUGGUUUACCUAUGAGAUUCGGUAGUAACUUGAUCUGAAGUUACAUGAUCAUCAUCAUUAGCUUCCUCACUAAUUGGUGUAGUAGUCACAAGAACAGAUUUCUGUGAUGAACUACUUUCCAAUAAGGGAGAAGGUACAAUUACCUUAUCAAGUUUUCUACUUUCCUCCCACUCACUUCUUUCGAAAGAAACUCCUUCUCUAUAAAGGAUCCAUUCUUAGCAACAAAUGUCUUGCCUUCGGAUCUGUGAUAGAAGGUGUACCCAACAGUCUCCUUUGGGUAUCCUAUGAAGACAUAUUUCUCCGAUUUGAGUUUGAGCUUAUCGAGAUGAAACUUUUUCACAUAAGCAUCGCAACUCCAAACUUUAAGAAACGACAGCUUAGAUUUCUUGCCAAACCAUAGUUCACACGGUGUCGUCUCAACAGAUUUAGAUGGUGCCCUAUUUAACGUGAAUGCAGCUGUCUCUAAUGCAUAACCCCAAAAUGAUAGUGGUAGAUCGGUAAGAGACAUCAUAGAUCGCACUAUAUCUAAUAAAGUACGGUUAUGACGUUCGGACACACCAUUACACUAUGGUGUUCCAGGUGGCGUGAGUAGUGAAACUAUUUCACAUUGUUUUAAUUGAAGGCCAAACUCGUAACUCAAAUAUUUUACCUCUGCGAUCAUAUCGUAGAAACUUUUAUUUUCUUGUCACGAUGAUUUUCCACUUCACUCUGAAAUUCUUAGAACUGUUCAAAUGUUUCAGACUUAUGUUUCAUCAAGUAGAUAUCCCUAUAUCUUCUCAAAUCAUCUGUGAAGGUCAGAAAAUAAUGAUACCUGCUGCAAGCCUUAAUAUUCAUCGGACCACAUACAUCAGUAUGUAUGAUUUCCAACAAAUCUAUUGCUUGCUUCAUUGUUCCGGAGAACGGCAUUUUAGUCAUCUUGCCCAUAAGGCAUGGUUCGCAAGCAUCAAGUGAUUCCAAAAGCCCAUCAGCAUGGAGUUUCUUCAUGCGCUUUACACCAAUAUGACCUAAACGGCAGUGCCACAAAUAAGUUGCACUAUCAUUAUUAACUUUGCAUCUUUUGGUUUCAAUAUUAUGAACAUGUGUAUCACUAUGGUCGAGAUCCAACGAACCAUUUUCAUUGGGUGUGUAACCAUAUAAGGUUUUAUUCAUGUAAACAGAACAACAAUUGUUCUCUAACUUAAAUGAAUAACUGUAUUGCAAUAAACAUGAUCAAAUCAUAUUCGUGCUCAACGCAAACACCAAAUAACACUUAUUUAGUUUCAACACUAAUCCCGAAAGUAUAGGUAGAGUGCGAUGAUGAUCAUAUCAAUCUUGGAACUACUUCCAACACACAUCGUCACCUCGACUUUUACUAGUUUCUGUUUAUUCUGCAACUCCCGUUUCGAGUUACUACUCUUAGCAACUGAACCAGUAUCAAAUACUGAGGGGUUGCUAUAAACACUAGUAAAGUACACAUCAAUAACAUGUAUAUCAAAUAUACUUAUGUUCACUAUGCCAUCCUUCUUAUCCACCAAUCACUUGGGGUAGUUCCGCUUUCAGUGACCAGUCCCUUUGCAGUAGAAGCACUUAGUCUCAGGCUUAGGACUAGACUUGGGCUUCUUCACUUGAGCAGCAACUUGCUUGCCGUUCUUCUUACAGUUCCCCUUCUUCCCUUUGCCCUUUUCUUGAAACUAGUGAUCUUGUCAACCAUCAACACUUGAUGUUUUUCUUGAUUUCUACCUUCGUUGAUUUCAGCAUCACGAAGAGCUUGGGAGUUGUUUCCGUUAUCCCUUGCUUAUUAUAGUUCAUCACGAAGUUCUACUAACUUGGUGAUGGUGACUAGAGAAUUCUGUCAAUCACUAUCUUAUCUGGAAGAUUAACUCCCACUUGAUUCAAGCGAUUGUAGUACCCAGACAAUUUGAGCACAUGCUCACUAGUUGAGCGAUUCUCCUCCAUCUUUUAGCUAUAGAACUUGUUGGAGACUUCAUAUCUCUCAACUCGGGUAUUUGCUUGAAAUAUUAACUUCAAUACCUGGAACAUCUCAUAUGGUCCAUGACGUUCAAAACAUAUUUGAAGUCCCGAUUCUAAGCUAUUAAGCAUGGUGCACUAAACUAUCAAGUAGUCAUCAUAUUGAGCUAGCCAAACGUUCAUAACGUCUGCAUCUGCUCCUGCAAUAGGUCUGUCACCUAGCGGUGCAUCAAGGACAUAAUUCUUCUGUGCAGCAAUGAGGAUAAACCUCAGAUCACGGAUCCAAUCCGCAUCAUUGCUACUAACAUCUUUCAACAUAGUUUUUCUCUAGGAACAUAUCAAAAUAAACACAGGGAAGCAACAACGCGAGCUAUUGAUCUACAACAUGAUUUGCAAAAUACUACCAGGACUAAGUUCAUGAUAAAUUUAAGUUCAAUUAAUCAUAUUACUUAAGAACUCCCACUUAGAUAGACAUCCCUCUAAUCCUCUAAGUGAUCACGUGAUCCACAUCAACUAAACCAUGUCCGAUCAUCACGUGAGAUGGAGUAGUUUCAUUGGUGAACAUCACUAUGUUGAUCAUAUCUACUAUAUGAUUCACGCUCAACCUUUCGGUCUCCAUGUUCCGAGGCCAUAUCUGUAUAUGCUUGGCUCGUCAAGUAUAACCUGAGUAUUCCGCGUGUGCAACUGUUUUGCACCCGUUGUAUUUGAACAUAGAGCCUAUCACACCCGAUCAUCACGUGGUGUCUCAGCACGAAGAACUUUCGCAACGGUGCAUACUCAGGGAGAACACUUCUUGAUAAUUCAGUGAGAGAUCAUCUUAUAAUGCUACCGUCAAUCAAAGCAAGAUAAGAUGCAUAAAAGAUAAACAUCACAUGCAAUCAAUAUAAGUGAUAUGAUAUGGCCAUCAUCAUCUUGUGCUUGUGAUCUCCAUCUCCGAAGCACUGUCGUGAUCACCAUCGUCACCGGCGCGACACCUUGAUCUCCAUCGUAGCAUCGUUGUCGUCUCGCCAAUCUUAUGCUUCCACGACUAUCGCUACCGCUUAGUGAUAAAGUAAAGCAUUACAGCGCGAUUGUAUUGCAUACAAUAAAGCGACAACCAUAUGGCUCCUGCCAGUUGCCGAUAACUCGGUUACAAAACAUGAUCAUCUCAUACAAUAAAAUUUAGCAUCAAGUCUUGACCAUAUCACAUCACAACAUGCCCUGCAAAAACAAGUUAGAUGUCCUCUACUUUGUUGUUGCAAGUUUUACGUGGCUGCUACAGGCUUAAGCAAGAACCAAUCUUACCUACGCAUCAAAACCACAACGAUAGUUUGUCAAGUUGGUGUUGUUUUAACCUUCGCAAGGACCGAGCGUAGCCACACUCGGUUCAACUAAAGUUGGAGAAACUGUCACCCGCAAGCCACCUAUGUGCAAAGCACGUCGGGAGAACCGGUCUCGCGUAAGCGUAUGCGUAAUGUCGGUCCGGGCCGCUUCGUCCAACAAUACCGCCGAACCAAAGUAUGACAUGCUGGUAAGCAGUAUGACUUAUAUCACCCACAACUCACUUGUGUUCUACUCGUGCAUAUAACAUCAACACAUAAAACCUAGGCUCGGAUGCCACUGUUGGGGAACGUAGUAAUUUCAAAAAAAAUCCUACGCACACGCAAGAUCAUGGUGAUGCAUAGCAACGAGAGGGGAGAGUGUUGUCUAUGUACCCUCGUAGACCGAAGCGGAAGCGUUGACGCAACGUAGAGGAAGUAGUCGUACGUCUUCCCGAUCCGACCGAUCCAAGCACCGUUACUCCGGCACCUCCGAGUUCUUGGCACAUGUUCAACUCGAUGACGAUCCCCGGGCUCCGAUCCAGCAAAGCGUCGUGGAGGAGUUCCGUCAGCACGACGGCGUGGUGACGAUCUUGAUGUUCUACCGUCGCAGGGCUUCGCCUAAGCACUGCAACAAUAUGACCGGGGUGGAAUAUGGUGGAAGGGGGCACCGCACAUGGCUAAGGAACGAUCAUGAAGAUCAACUUGUGUGUCAUGGGGUGUCCCCUGCCCCCGUAUAUAAAGGAGCAAGGGAGGAAGGGCCGGCCGGCCUAGGAAGGGGCGCGCCAAGGGGAGUCGUACUCCCGACAUCGGGAGUUGGACUCCCUCUUUCCUUGUUGGAGUAGGAGAAGGGGAAAGAGGGGGAGAGGAAGAAGGAAAAGGGGGCUGCGCCCCUUGUCCAAUUCGGACCAGAGGGGGGGCGCAGGCCACCUUCCUUUUGGCCUCUCUCAUCUAUUCCUGUAUGGCCCAAUAAGGCCCAUAUACUCCCCGGAGAAUUCCCGUAACUCUCCGGUACUCCGAAAAAUACCCGAAUCACUCGGAACCUUUCUGAAGUCCGAAUAUAGUCGUCCAAUAUAUCGAUCUUUACGUCUCGACUAUUUCAAGACUCUCCGUCAUAUCCCCGAUCUCAUCCGGGACUCCGAACUCCUUUGAUACAUCAAAACUCAUAAACUCAUAAUAUAACUGUCAUCGAAAGCUUAAGCGUGCGGACCCUACGGUUCGAGAACAAUGUAGACAUGACCGAGACACAUCUCCGGUCAAUAACCAAUAGCGGGACCUGGAUGCCCAUAUUGGCUCCUACAUAUUCUACGAAGAUCUUUAUCGGUCAGACCGCAUAACAACAUACGUUGUUUCCUUUGUCAUCGGUAUGUUACUUGCCUGAGAUUCGAUCGUCGGUAUCCAAUACCUAGUUCAAUCUCGUUACCGGCAAGUCUCUUUACUCGUUCCGUAAUACAUCAUCCCGCAACUAACUCAUUAGUUGCAAUGCUUGCAAGGCUUAAGUGAUAUGCAUUACCGAGAGGGCCCAGAGAUACCUCUCCGACAAUCGGAGUGACAAAUCCUAAUCUUGAAAUACGCCAACCCAACAUGUACCUUUGGAGACACCUGUAGAGCACCUUUAUAAUCACCCAGUUACGUUGUGACGUUUGGUAGCACACAAAGUGUUCCUCCGGCAAACGGGAGUUGCAUAAUCUCAUAGUCAUAGGAACAUGUAUAAGUCAUGAAGAAAGCAAUAGCAACAUACUAAACGAUCGGGUGCUAAGCUAAUGGAAUGGGUCAUGUCAAUCAGAUCAUUCAACUAAUGAUGUGAUCCCGUUAAUCAAAUAACAACUCUUUGUCCAUGGUUAGGAAACAUAACCAUCUUUGAUUAACGAGCUAGUCAAGUAGAGGCAUACUAGUGACACUCUGUUUGUCUAUGUAUUCACACAUGUAUUAUGUUUCUGGUUAAUACAAUUCUAGCAUGAAUAAUAAACAUUUAUCAUGAAAUAAGGAAAUAAAUAAUAACUUUAUUAUUGCCUUUAGGGCAUAUUUCCUUCAGAUCCACUUUUUUCGGUUCUUCCACUCCUUCCCCGCACUCGUCCUCUCCAAGCUCGCCGCCUCCGACCACGUCUCCUCCGCCGCCUCCGCCCUCUCCGAGUCGCUCGCCUCGGGGGCCCUCCGCGCCUUAUCCUCCCACCGGGCCGCCCGGGGCCUGGAUCCUCCCUCCCCGCCGCUGCACAACCGGAUCUUGAACCGCCUCCUCUCCCCCGACGGCGUCGGGUUCGCCUCCGCCGUCCUCGGGAGCUUCGCCGGGAACCUCAUGCUCUCCUGCCAUGAUCCCGAGACCCGGCCCCGCGCCCCUAGCCAGGCGGACUGGCUCGCCACGCUGUGCAGCGACAGGGGCAAGGAGGCCGCCGCGGAGCUCGUCCGGGUGUUCGUCAGCACCGCCGUCGCCGCCUACCUCGAUAGGACCGCGUCACUGACCCCAAGCACGACGCCAAGCUCAAGGACCUGCUCGUGUCCGUCUACAACGACGCCGUCGAGACGUUUGUCAAGACCUCACGGCAGGUCACAAAGGAGGCCUCCAUUUCUCGAGCUGAAGCAGCAGUGGUGCAAGAGGUCUGCAAUUCUGGUCCUAGCUAUGUAAUGGAGAGAGUAUCGACCACAUUGGCCAUGCCAAGCAACCGGAGGUUUGUGCUGGAUGUCACGGGCAGGGUCACCGCAGAGAUGGUCCGGUCAUUCCUCGAGUUCUCGACCCAGCGGGUGUCCGCUAGUGCACGAAUGAGCAUUGUCGUUGCCCGUGACGAAAUCACCGAAAGGGGUCUCGUCGCCAUCAAGUACCUGAGCGCCAAGUCCAUGGCCAGCUUCACCUUAUGCCUCACAAUGUGCAUGCACAUUUCAGUUGGAAUGAGGUUCCCGUUGCCGGCCUAGGCAUAGCUUGGUGUGGACUUCAAGGUGACAUUGUUCCAGUUAUCCUGAUUGUAGUUGGAAAGUAAAGUAUGUAGAUUGCAAAUUGAUCGUUUGCUACUGCUAGCCUUUUUUCUGUGUUGUUGACUAGCAUUUGGAAGCAGAAAUCUGUUCGAUUUGUAGUUGUUGGUUUGUUGUUUGUGAUAGUCUGAUAGGGAGUAUAUAGGCCACGAAUGGAUAAUUUUGCAACUUUAGUGUAAGGUUUCAUAUGUAUUAUGGUGUUGUAUCCUAGUGUCUUCGUCGUCUUUUCUGAAGGAAGUAGGUGUUAGUAUCUUAUUGAUGCUGACUAGUGAUGUUCUUCAGCAUCAGCUCUCUGUGUGUGGAUAAGCUAUUUCAGGCAACAAUAGCAGGAAACUUGUCCACUUAUGUUUUCCAUUCCCUUUUUGCCAUGAUUUGUGGAAAAGCAAAUAUGAAUUGAUCAGAGAUUUGUGCCUGGAUAUACCCCUGAUAAAUAGCACGGUACUAUACCUCCCUCCCAUGAUAUUUUUAUGUGUAAAUAGUAUGAAAACAUAUGCACUGCGAUAACUAAACAUCAUGAUAAGNNNNNNNNNNNNNNNNNNNNNNNNNNNNNNNNNNNNNNNNNNNNNNNNNNNNNNNNNNNNNNNNNNNNNNNNNNNNNNNNNNNNNNNNNNNNNNNNNNNNNNNNNNNNNNNNNNNNNNNNNNNNNNNNNNNNNNNNNNNNNNNNNNNNNNNNNNNNNNNNNNNNNNNNNNNNNNNNNNNNNNNNNNNNNNNNNNNNNNNNNNNNNNNNNNNNNNNNNNNNNNNNNNNNNNNNNNNNNNNNNNNNNNNNNNNNNNNNNNNNNNNNNNNNNNNNNNNNNNNNNNNNNNNNNNGUGUAAAUAGCAUAAUAUUUUAAGCACUGCGGGCUUGGUAAGUUACCUAGAAUCACCAGGAUAACUUUUUGUCCCAGGGAAAAGUUGUUCAAAACAUCCCCGAUAAUUUUUGUGUGAAUAACAUGAUAAUAUAAGCACCGCGUAACCGAUAACUUACAAUAUAAACAUGAUGGUAACUUUUUACCAAAGGAAAACAAGUUGUUAAAAACAUACACUCGCCUCAUCGGGCCUCUUAGAUGAACACAACACAUGGUGUGCCACUGAAAAGCCACAUAAUAUUUAGUGUCAUGAGGGGCACACGUGCUCGUGGGUUGGCCCGAAAAACGGCCCACUUUGACCCGCUAUAGGCAUGAUAAGUUAUGCAAAAACAUCGUGGUAAUUUUUGACCCAUGAAAAAAGUUACCGAAACAAACCCAGGUUUUUAGGUAUAAGUAUCAUGAUAAUAUACGAACUAUAGACCCGGUAACUCAUGUACAAUCCCGCAUGGUAACUUUGACCAGGGGCGAGGUUGAUGUACACAUACCCUGAUAACUUAUGUGUAAGUACCACGGUAUUUUACACAUCGAAGACCUUAUAACUUGUGUACAAAACACAAUGGUAACUUUGAAAGGAGUGUGGUUGUUGAAACAUAGUACCUGGUAAGUUCUAUGUAAAUAGCACGGUAACUUACGGAUCACAGGCCUGAUAACUGGCAUGCAAAUACCAUGGUAACUUUGUCCUGAGGGGAAAUCGUGGUAAUUUUCUGUACUUUUUGUAGUAAUAAAAUUGUAAAAAAAUGGGGUCAAAACGAUUAGUUUCUUUAGUUUGAGCAACAAUUACCUAAGGGUGAGUUGGUUGUGGUGGCGUGCUUUGGUGCCAAGGAGGUGUGGGACAUGCGCAAUAUUUUUUUAUCAUGUGGUAGACGUGAAGAAGUGGCAGUUUUUUCGGGGGUGGGCGCGCGAGAUGUGCGGGAGAAGCAGGUUUCUCGGGCGAGCUUGCGGGGUCUUUCGGGAGAAGGCGGAGUCAAAGGAAGGGGAUCGUGUGGUACUUUAAAGUUAAAGAAAUAGAGGUGUGUCAGUUUUGCUUAUAUGGCACACAUGUGCCAAAUAUCACAGUCCAAAUUAGAAACAGUAAACUAUAGAAAUCAGUAGGAGCAUUUUCCCUGUAGUUCGAAACAUUUUUUUUCCUGCCCCGCAGAUAAAGACAUUUUCAUGGAGGAAAAGGGGUGCUCACAUAGUAUCACAAUAUGUUCAAUAGCACAAAAAAAAACUAAGAUUUUUUCAUUACUGCAACAAAAAUAAACCAUUAUUGCACAACUAAUAAUGUCCUUGUGGUGGUCUCUAGAUAAAAUACCCACAUAGCAGGGAAAUUAUCACAAAGAUAUCUCUACUUCCACAUUGUUUCAUUACAACAAUUUUAAUUUUUCAAAUAUCAAUGACCCAAAAUCAGAGAUCAGAGUAGAUUUUUCUUUUCCCUUCAAAUGAGCAUCACACUACAGUAUUCCAGAGGAUAUGAAUCGGCAUUUCCUCCGUUAUCAACGCUUGUUCCAGCUUCCUUGUAACGCCCCGAGACCGAUGUGCCAGGUGCCCUCCAGUUAUUCGUUGUCGUUGCCAUCUCAUUCGCUUGCGUGUUGCAUUUCAUCAUGUCAUCAUGUGCAUUGCUUCAUCAUGUUUUCAAAACUUGCAUCCGUCCCGGCCUCCUCGUUCUCUCCGUUGUCCGUUCUGAGCCCUACCACACUUGCACGCGCCCGCGGCAUGUCCGAAAUAGUAUUUUAUAAGUGGCUGGAAAAUGUUCUCGGAUUGGAUUGAAAUUUGGUGUGCGGUCUUAUUAUAGUGUAGACAGACCGCUUGUCAAGUUUCAUCGCAAUCGGAGUUCGUUUGACGCCCCAACGGAUAAAUAUAGCGGCAAUAGUAGCCGGUCAAAACGUCGGACGUUUUCGGUCUCCGGAAAUAGUCGCCGGGCCGCCCUCUCUUCUCUUCUCUCAGCUCGAGACCGUCUACACAGCUCACUACCUACCGCCAGGCCCUACCUAAUCUCUCUCGUCAGCCCGCAACCCCCCUCGCGCGCACCCGAAAGUUGUCCCGGACCCGACCCGGACUGUUGCCACCGUUGGAUCCGGAACAUCCCCAAACGUCUACAAAACGUCUCCGUUUUGUUAAUUGGACUCCCUAACCUAUUUUACCUGACCGUCCGAUUUUAAUCGGAGGGACGAUUUAGCCCCUAAUCUAACCCACUCACUGUAUAAACCUAGACCAACCCUAGAUCCUAGGCAGUUUGUCCCAUCCAUCCCAUCCGCCGCCACUCUCCUCGCUUUCCCCACCGGACCAAUCCUCUCCCAGCGCCAUCUCCUCGAUCCCCUUGCCUGCAGCCUCCUUCAACCUGGGGAUCACGAGCCAGCCAACCCAAAUCCAUCCCCUCCUCAAUCCACCUCCAACCAGCAACCGUCACCCUGCACUCCUCCUCCCGCGCGUGCCCGCAGGCGCCGAGGCCACUCCCUCUGCUCGAUCCUGUGGGAAUCACGAGAAGCUCUUCCCCGUUGCUUCGAUCUCCAACGAGCUCCAGGAUCUCCCCGGCCCUCCUUCUCCUGCCUUGGCCCGAACAUCGCCGCUGGUGACCUCGUUCCUCUCCUUUUCCCCGUUUUCUUUCAGUUUUCCCUUGUUCCUCUCCCUCACCCCGCAGCCAUGGUGCUUCACAGGAUCCCAUCACCAGGGAGCGCCGCCUCCCGGAGCUUCCCGUCCUCGCCGUCGCCAAAAAUGGACCCCGGAGCCAGAUCCGGUCCUCCCCGCGCCUCCCGACCUGCAAAACCCCGCCGCCAGGAGCUCACGUCAAGAGCCGCUGCCUCCCCUGCCGACUGGAACCCCGCCGGAUCCGAUGGCGCGCAGCACCGCUGCCGCCCGAAGACUCCUCGACCCCGCCGUCGACCAGAUCCGCGUCUUCCCUGCGCCGCCUUGCCUUCCUCACCUGCAUCUCGCCGGAUGGAGCAGCCGCUGCGCCCAUGCCGUCGCCGUUGCUUCGUCUCUGUCGAGCAGAGAAUGAGUAGCGAACGCGCGCCCCUGCCUCGCGUGGACCGCCCCGCCUCGUUGACCUCCUGCGUCAACUGCGUCGGCCAGCAGCCACCAAGGCCCAGGCAAGAGCCUCGCGGCCCAGCUGGCUCCAACGGCCUGAGCUUGGCCCGUGGUGAGGAAGCCCAGCGCGCCAGCCUCUGCACCGAGCAGGCCUCUCCAGCCGCAGCUCUCCAAGGCCCAGCCUGCCGGCCUACCCCUCCAGUUGGGCCUAGGCCCAAUGUGAGCACACCCCUGGCGCCCCAUCCUUUUUUUUCCCUGUUGUUGGGCCACCAGAUCCGGCCCGAGAUGUAUUUUUUUUUCUUUCCCGCAGAAUGUUUUAGCUAAUUUCCAGAGAACCCAGUUUUGCAAAAACCCCCCUAGACAUCAUGCAUUUAAUAACUAUUUAAUCAUGCAUCGGAUUAAAAUAAGUUAUAUAUGAAACUUGCUCAGAAUUUCGUGUAGAUUAAUAAUAUGCCACUUUCAUGCCUGUUUGAAAUAUUUAAAAUGUUGUUUGCAUUAAUUUGCUCCUAUGCCAUGCUAUUAUGAUUUAAUUCAUAAUUAAAUAACCGUAACUCCGAAUUAAAUAAACUUUAUAUGUAAAUGGGGUAGAAUUUUGCCUAGUUUGUCAUGGUGGCAUCACUUUGCAUGUUAAACAACUCUAAAAUUGUGUUUAGGACAGAUCAGGACCAAACCUAAUAUUUGCACAUGGGGAUUUUCCGGACUUGUUGUUUUGUUGUUCCGGCCUCAUUUAACCAUGCCUAGAUUAGAUAGUUUCAUCAUGUUUCACCUCUUGCCAUGUUAAUCAACAUUUAAUAUUGUUGGGUACAUAACCGAGAGAGAACUAAAUAAGCCAUGUGGUGUUUUCGUCAAUUUGCAACUCGUUGCAUAUUGAUCUCCACUUAAUUUGUAGGAUUGUUUGUGCUCUUUGCCAUGCCAUGCUUAUUUAAACCGGACAUGCAUCAUACUCGUUUGUGCAUCAUGCCAUGUUGAUGUGUUGGUUGUUUACUAUGUUGUGUGUGCUUCUUUUCCGGUGAUUGCUUCUUCGGGUUGGUUCCGAUAACGUCGUGAUUGUGAGGACCCGUUCGACUACGUCCGUUUGUCUUCUUCAUGGACUCGUUCUUCUUCCUUGCGGGAUUUCAGGCAAGAUGAUCAUACCCUCGAAAUCACUACUAUCUUUGCUAUGCUAGUUUGCUCGCUCUUUUGCUAUGCCAUUGCUACGAUGCCUACCAUUUGCUUGUCAGCCUCCCAAUUGCCAUGUUCAGCCCCUAACCCACCAAUGUCCUAGCAAACCGUUGAUUGGCUAUGUUACCACUUUGCUCAGCCCCUCUUAUAGCGUUGUUAGUUGCAGGUGAAGAUUGAAGUUUGUUCCUUGUUGGAACAUGGAGAUGUUGUUCCUUGUUGGGACAUGCUUACUUGUUGGGAUAUCACUAUAUGUCUUAUUUAAUUAAUGCAUCUAUAUACUUGGUAAAGGGUGGAAGGCUCGGCCUUAUGCCUGGUGUUUUGUUCCACUCUUGCCGCCCUAGUUUCCGUCAUAUCGGUGUUAUGUUCCCGGAUUUUGCGUCCCUUACGCGGUUGGGCUAUAAUGGGAACCCCUUGACAGUUCGCCUUAAGUAAAGCUUCUCCAGCAAUGCCCAACAUUGGGUUUUACCAUUUGCCACCUAGCCUUUUCUUUCCCUUGGGUUCUGCAGACUCAAGGGUCAUCNNNNNNNNNNNNNNNNNNNNNNNNNNNNNNNNNNNNNNNNNNNNNNNNNNNNNNNNNNNNNNNNNNNNNNNNNNNNNNNNNNNNNNNNNNNNNNNNNNNNNNNNNNNNNNNNNNNNNNNNNNNNNNNNNNNNNNNNNNNNNNNNNNNNNNNNNNNNNNNNNNNNNNNNNNNNNNNNNNNNNNNNNNNNNNNNNNNNNNNNNNNNNNNNNNNNNNNNNNNNNNNNNNNNNNNNNNNNNNNNNNNNNNNNNNNNNNNNNNNNNNNNNNNNNNNNNNNNNNNNNNNNNNNNNNNNNNNNNNNNNNNNNNNNNNNNNNNNNNNNNNNNNNNNNNNNNNNNNNNNNNNNNNNNNNNNNNNNNNNNNNNNNNNNNNNNNNNNNNNNNNNNNNNNNNNNNNNNNNNNNNNNNNNNNNNNNNNNNNNNNNNNNNNNNNNNNNNNNNNNNNNNNNNNNNNNNNNNCCCCCCCGGGCCAGUGCUCCUCUGAGUGUUGGUCCACCUGUCAGCUACCGGUGGCUACCAGGGGCAACUCUGGGCUGGCCUACCCGUACCUAGGACAAUCUGAGUGUGCCCUGAGAAAGAGAUAUGUGCAGCUCCUAUCGGGAUUUGUCGGCACAUUCGGGCGGUGUUGCUGGUUUAGUUUUACCCUGUCGAAAUGUCUUGUUGUACUGGGAUACCGAGUCUGAUCGGAAUGUCUCGGGUGGAGGUCUAUUCCUUCGUUGACCGUGAGAGCUUGUCACGGGCUAAGUUGGGACACCCCUGCAGGGAUUUGAUCUUUCGAAAGCCGUGCCCGCGGUUAUGGGCAGAUGGGAAUUUGUUAACGUCCGGUUGUAGAAAACCUAAAGUCGACCUUAAUUAAAAUGAAUCAACCGCGUGUGUAACUGUGAUGGUCUCUUUCCGGCAGAGUCCGGGAAGUGAACACGGUUGUUGGAGUUAUGCUUGACGUAGGUAGUCCAGGAUCACUUCUUGAUCAUACUUUUAUCGACCGUGCUUUGCCUUCUCUUCUCGCUCUCUUUUGCGAAUAGGUUAGCCACCAUAUAUGCUAGUCGCUUGCUGCAGCUCCACCUCAUACCUUUACCUUACCCAUAAGCUUAAAUAGUCUUGAUCGCGAGGGUGCGAGAUUGCUGAGUCCCUGUGGCUCACAGAUACUUCCAAAACCAGUUUGCAGGUGCCGAUGAGUCCGUGCAGAUGACGCAACCCAGCUCAGGAGGAGCUCGUUGAAGACCUUGUUCAUUUGUGUUGUUUCGUUCUAGUUGAUCAGUAGUGGAGCCCAGUUGGGGUCGAUCGGGGACCUUUGUCGCAUUUGGGGUUCUUCUUUUCUUUUGGCUCCGUAGUCGGGCCCUGAGUGUAUUUGGAUGUUGUAAUGUUUUAUUCAUGUAAUUGUGUGAAGUGGCGAGUGUAAGCCAACUAUGUAACCUUUUCCUUAUUAUAUUACAUGGGUUGUGUGAAGAUUACCUCACUUGCGACAUAUGCCUUCAAUGCGAUUAUGCCUCUAAGUCGUGCCUCGACACGUGGGAGAUAUAGUCGCAUCGAGGGUGUUACAAGUUGGUAAUCAGAGCCUUCCCCGACCUUAAGAGCCCCCAUUGCUUGAUCGUUUUUAGCAGCCGAGUUGUGUCUAGAAAAAUGUUUUGAGUCAUUUAGGAAUUAUAUAUCGGAGAGUUUAGGAAUUCUUUUUACUUCCCAGUCUCUUCAUCGCUCUGGUAAGGCAUCCUGACGUAGAGUUUUGACUCUUCUCUUCUUAAAUUUCACAAAAAAAAAUUAGGAUCACGCGAGUAUCUUGGUUUUGUUCCGAUGGCUUAUGAUGAGAAUACUGUCUUGGUGCCUCCUGUCAGGGGUUUAGUGAAAGUGUUCCGGGGAGUUGAGCUCUGAGGUGUUGUCAUCAUAAUUUUAUCGUUGCAAUUCUGGUAUACUUGAGAUAUGUUCGCGACAUCGAAAAUCCAGGCACAUGACUUCAUUUCAUACUCUCAGACUUUUACAUUGAUCUCGCCUUCGAACAAGGCAGGGGAGCGCCCUACCACCAUUGUGAUAAUUUCGUUACCUAGCUAUACACACAAGGAAACGAAAUUAAGAUCCAUUGGUACACAACUUGCACACAGCAGCACUACCAGCAUAUCUUCCUCGUCCUACCUGACCGACACCUUGGGCGGUGGUUAUGGUACACACAUGAUCCGUCAUUGCCAUCUCCUAUUGUCUGCCACCGAGAAAUGCCAGGGGCUGCAGCCUCGCUUGCGUCUGCAGUUGCAGCUCCGGCACUUUCCUCAGCGACCGGUACUGCAGCCGCGUACUCUCUCCGCUGUCGAGCGCCUUCACAAGAUACCUGAUCAAUCCAAAGAUUUUUAUAAUCCAAUAACAUGCAUCAGGUUCUACUUCUACAGGAGCUGCAGUGAGACGAGUGCGAACCCACAGUUCGUCCUGUGCUAUUAAAAGAGAGUGAACCAAUGCACUUAAUUACCAGCCAUUCAGACACUGCGACGUGAUGACCGCCUCCUUCCCGAUGAAUUUCUCCGGCGUCCUUUUGUUCCCCUGCAAGCGUUUAGUAAUCAGAACACACUGCUCUUGCGACCUCACUUUACUCUCAGCAGAGAAGAGCAAUGUGUUGUGUGUACCAUGAUGAGGACCCUCUCGCCCACUACAAAUGGGUACUGCACUCCCUUGAAUGCCACCGGGCUUUCAGCAUCCAGAGCAAGCUCACCGUUGUCCUGAGAAAACAACAUGAUAACUAUCCAAACAGUAUGCUACGUCGUAAAAGACUAGGUGUAUGUUCAAAGCAUUAUACACACACUUUGCGACUCCCAGUCCGCUUCGGCACAUCCUUAUGCUCGAUCACAUCUUUCCUGCGCUUCCGAAGAGCAGCGUUAUGAAACAGUCUCCUGUCAUCCUCCAUCUUCACCACCGUGGCUACUGCUCUUAAAGCUGUUCAUAGCAGAACACUGCCGAUCGUAAGUGAGCAGGUGAAACAUUUUUAAUGCUAGUCUUAAUAAGCAAGGUAAAUAUAUGGCAGAGACAUACCAAGAUUAGGAAACAAGGAGGAUGGGUCAACUUCUCCAUUGCAAAUGGUGCAUCUAGCCUGAUUACAUUACAGUGAUAAAAAGAAACAAUUUGUUGGUUGGUGACAUCCAAAAGACUGGAAUUGCAGCACACAGAAAAGAUACUAUUUCAGGCUUGUAUACUAAAGUAUGCCUUUGCUGUGAGAAGGUUCAUCGAAAUGGCACUAUUCUUCUCAGUAAGUUCCAGUUGGAUUAUCUGUUACUAUGGCACAUAUCUUGAUGUCUACUAAAUACAAAAACUGGAUGAAUACCACAAUUUAAGUUAGAAAAAUUAGUGCUAGCAUAAGUAUUAAGAAUAUAACAGUUAACUUCAGUUGUAGCUAGCCAACAGAACAUUAAGGACUGCAACUUGCAGGAAAGUGUGACCUUUAUUCUAAAAUCUACAACCAGAACACUGAUAACUAUCAGAAAGGAUGAAUGAUUUUUUAAAGCAUACCAUUUCAAUGACUUUCUUCAGCAUGACGCCACCAAAUGAGUGCCCACAUUGGAGAACCAUAGCAUCUUCAAGAAAAGCCCCACUGAAAACAGACAAGUCCAUUACUGCAUUAAUCAAGCAAAUCAGCAACUGCGAUGCCGAAUAAUGAGAUGAUCUGUAACAUUGGUUUAGAGAAACAGAACGCUAUGAACAUUCAUAUUAAGCAAUUUUGUCCCUUGCUCCCAUUAAACUUACGAUGAACUCAUAAAAAAUAGCAGAUGUAGAAGGACUAUGAAGAAUAAGGCAGUUUACUGUCUAUGUAUAUGUUGUGAACAAGUUUGUGAUGAACAGCUACAUCCAACAAGAAACAACUUACGAUAGAGGGUCUGACAGGACACUUCUGAGUGAUGGGUCACUAACAAAGUUGCCCUGAGAUUCCUGCAGUUGAAAUUGGUUAAAUAUGGGUUAUUUUUUUAAUUCAAUAAAUGAACAGGAAAUGAAAUGCACAUAACACCCAAAUCUUGUCAUUUGACAGCUCUCAUGUAUCACUGGAUGAUUGACCAUGUAGAACAUGCAUGCUACAGUAACUAUGUUGCUUCGAACUUAUGCUUACAGAAGGUUCUUCCAAGUGACUGGAAACAGCAUGCUCUUCAGCAUAAGAAUCAUCCAUAAAUUGGCUUGCAGGUAUGGGUUGGUACACCUGUCGUAUGCAAUGCCCAGCAGCUAAAAUUGGAGAGCAAUCCAAUAUAGCGUUGGCAUGAGGGACCAACCUAAAGGUGAGUGAUGCCCUACAAGAUGGAAAUUGUGCUUAGAUGGCCAAUUCAUGUGUACAGGAGCACAAGGAAUAUAAGCCAAAAAAAGUAUAUGAAAUGAGAUGGUGAGACGUUCCAGUAUUUCAUAAUUCUGACCUAUUUUCAUUAGUGACCCUGUACUGGGAAAUUGGGCAAAGACCAGCGGUAACGUGACUUAGGGCCCUUCCAGUCAGAAGCAAUAGAUUAUUUGGGCCUGAAACCCCAUCAGCUAGGUACCAAUGGCCAUUUGGGUCACAAACCUAUACCAAAGAAACAAACACUAAACAAUUAUGACUUGGGCAGAUGAACUGUAUCGAAUAAGACUGGAAUCAGUUGGACACAGUACAAAAGGAGAAAACAAGAUGUAAACAAUAGGAAAACGGUAGCGUAUUUAACCAAAAGUAAAGUAGCCAUGACUCAAAUACUCUUAUUGCUGCAUUCAAAUUUUAUAUAGGUGUAAGGAGCAGAAUCUUGUUACCUCAAUUCCUGGAUAAUCGGAAGCAACUAGCGUCACAAAUCCCCUAUCAACUUGAGGCAUUGAGGACCUGCUGGGACAUCCCAUGAGUGUGUGACCACUUUGGAGCUGUUCAUGAGAAUAUGCCACCAGCAACUCUGAUGAGGAGACCUCGUUAUCCGGCAGUGGAGUAUCAUCAAGUAAUUGGUUGAAUACGCUGGAUAACAGGGCAUGAUUAUUAGCCAGUAGAAUUCUGGGAGCGUGAAAAGCAUAUUAAUCAAUAGUAAGAGAAAUUCAACGAACGGAUAAAGGGCUAGAAUUGUACUCGGUACGUAGGCGCAGGUGCCGUGCUAUUGCACAGAGGGCGGCCCGGGCUGCUUUGCCCAAACAUCUGAAAGCAUCAGCCAUGCAAGCAGGGGACAACUCUCCAUCUUCCAAAGUCCUGACAUAGAGUACAAGAACUGAAAAAUAUCAGAAACUAACCGCAAAAUGUUGCCCACUAUGACAGAAGACGGAAAAAAAAACAUGUGCAGAGCAGUGCCGUAAUUAGCUUACAUCUGACAGCCCCCUUUGCCUAACAAUCUAGUAUAUAGAGGUUAGUUUAUCAGCAAUAGUGUCCUUACCCAUAAGACUCUAAUUCUAGGCUCCUCCUAAUUUUUCUAUAAUCAACAUGUUUUUUUUCAUUUCAUUUUUGGAUUUUAAAACAUAUACGUAAAACACAAUCUACUAUGCUAAUACUGGCAUACAUAUGAGGCAAAUUCUUGUACUCACUCCGAUCCAAAUUAAAUGCUGCAGCUUUAGUACAAAGUUGUACUGACGCUGCGUCAUUUAAUUUGGAUCAGAGGGAGUACAUCUUCUUUGGUAUAAGAGGCAAUUCUUGUACAUUUACAUUUUGAGUAUGAAGCAAUUCUUGUACAUUUUGUGUUGAUAGACCACAAAACUAAUGUAUACAGCAACAUCUGUCAGUUCACUAAGAGUCUAAUGCUAGAGUACUCAAAGAGAUGUAACCAUCACCAUUCUAUUUCAGUCACGCUCACCCUUAUGAAAACAGAGAUGUAAUCAGCCCUGGAAACAGAGGAAACAGAGCAAUAUUCCGAAUAUUCAGGAAUGUUGUGUAUGCUCAGCCAGCUCUUUCAGACUUUCACCCUUGUGGUUCCCUCACACUCGAGCGCUGAGCCAGACCGGAAUCUAAACUACUGAAUUCCAGUCAAAUCGAAGACGAAGUAGGCUGCAGAUAGGGUUGUGAGCAAGCGUACCUCCCGGCGCGGUAGAGGUAGGCAGCGUGGCGGCCGCGGAAGAAGGCGCGGGCCGACUCGAGGGCGCAGCGGAGGACGGCCGCGUCGGCGGCGGGGAGCUCGAGCACAGCGGCGCCGCGGCCGGCGAGCGAGGCGGCGAGGGCGCCGACGGCGCGCGCGUAGCCCGGGGCGGCCGCGCCGUCGUGGGGCGCCACGUCGUCGAGCCGCACCCUGGCGAGCGGCGACGGCGGGCAAGGAGGGCAUGCCAUGGCGGGGGCGGGCGAGGAUAGGCUAGGGUUCCGAGCGGGUCGAUUGCUGAUUCGCCGCCAUUGAGCUUGGGUUGGCUCAGCGCCUACUCAGCUUGAGCGACUCCAACAAAAAUGAUGCUCCUCAAAAUAAAAUGUGAACCCUACUUUUAACUAUGGUGCUACUUUCAUACUCUGUGCAUGUGUGCGUUCAUAGAGAUGAGUGUAUGCGCAUGUAUAUAAGCGUUUGUGUCUGUACUGAUGCUUAAAAAAAAUUAAGUGACUCGAGUUUGUAUUAGAGGAUUCGAUUUAAGCCAUUGUUGCCCUUCGAUAAGGAUGACCACCUGCAGCGUCACCUUAAGGAUAAUGGGGCUCUCGGAACAGUCAAUGCGGUAAAGGGUCCACACUUUUUGAAAAGGUCCUAACUUAAUGGCAUCAAGUUUCGAACCCCGAUAUGCUACGUUGCGGCGUAAUUGAAAUGGUGGUGCGGCGGCGGCGUCUUCAGUUGGUCUUGAUGAGGUAAGUGAAAAUUAUGAUAGUGAUGUAUGUUAGAAAAUAUUAUGCAUCUAUUCAUCCAUUUGUAAAUGAAAAGAAAAUUGUCACAUAACAAUACGAGCUUUUGUGAUCCGCUGCUAGCUUUUGCCUGCUUAAUUUUUCCCUUGCGUGGCUAUGGGCCUCCUAGUCUAUGCUUGAGCCCAGUCACGAGGUUGACACCAACUCCUUAAGCUGACAUCACACCGAAGUUGCAGCUCACUAACAAGCCUCUAUCCGUGUUGAUUGAAUCGUGCAGAGAUAAAUAGUAAGUCGUUUGCAAUUGUAAAGCCAGCUUUUCUCCUUCUACUGUUCACAAACAAAACCAAGUGACAUAUGAAGUUGGUAGACAAAUAGACAAAAUUUUAGUGCAAACCCUAAUGUUGAAAGCGUGAUGUUUAAGUUUAGGCAAACAAAGCACCUCCUCAUUAGCUCGCAGCAAGCAAUGAAAAACAAUUAAGAAUAUAGCAAUGCAACAACAACAACACCAAUUACAUUGUAGCAAAGUAAACAAAAAGUCCAUCGGCGCCAAACAUAGCUUAGUGCAGCGUUUGUAUAUAUCACAAUAGCAUAGAUAGCAUACAAAGUGAAUAAACAUAAAUUGGAACUCGAGCACUCUCGAGUUUGUCCUCCUCAUCGUCAUCCUUUAGACCAUGGUAGUGAGCGACCUCAAUGCGGCUAAAGUCCAUCUUCUUCCACCCAUCCUUGGCGAACACGUCCGUCUUGGCCACAUUGGCCAGGUAGUUGUAGUAGACCUCGACAUAGCCCAGCAUGUCGAUCCUCGAUCGCGUUGAUAGCCAGUGUCUUGUGAUCUAGGCUCUGGUAUGCCGCUGCCAUGGGGAUCACAACCUUGAGAGCCAUGUCGGAACCAUCGGAGCUUAGCAAUGGCCUUGGUCUUCAUCUUACAUGUCCCCUUGUUCAUAGUACACAUGUGAUUGGCGGUGGUGGAGUACAUCGUCUCAGUCAACCUGAGAAGGGGAUGAGGCAAAGGCACUAUCAGGCUUAGGUUGUGUCUGUAUUCGUAUUAGUUGAAGAUCAUCUAGUUGGUUGUCACAUGUGACUGCUAACCAGUUUUGCACCCCACCGCACGAUACCAACGAAACUCUCUUGGCCUUACACCUUCAUGUAGCAUCCCCUAAUUUAAGCAAAUGACCACCUUCAUAUGCCUCUAAACCGCAAGCAUCUCACUGAAAAGCAGCAAAUCUUCUUGAAUCAUCCCUCAACCAUUGCCUAUUGUACUAAUCCCUAUUGUCAUCAUGGUCAAGUAGCAAUAGCCAAGGUUCGGAACAUUGCAAUUGUACUAAUCCCUUUUUCAUCAUGGUGGCCAAGCAAACGCCAGCGCCGACAAGUUCAUUGAUGCUAUGUGCCCCUCCUUGGCCCCUAACGAAGUCAUCUCUCCCACUCUAACCAACCACAAGGUCUAGAUCAAACUAUGACGUGUUCAAGAAAAUAGUCACCACUGCCACACUGCCCACCGAGUUUGCUAGAGACAGCAAGAAAGUUCAUGCAGUUACCACAGCCUAUGUGAUGGCUAUUGAUGUAGCCAUUGUUGACGCGUCCGCAAACUUGUGAUCGAAAAGAGUUAAACAAGGUUGCUCGUUCAUCCAAGUACGUGUUGAAGAUUUGUUCUAUCGCCGCAAACUUGUCUACAUGUGCAACAACAAUGAGUACAUGAGUCGUCAUCAUGUAGGCAGUGGUAAUUGCAACAACCUUCUCAUGAAGCCUCGACAUUCGACAAGCAAGAUGGCAAAUUAGGAUUCGAAAGCCUCCAUGAGAACAAGAAGCAACCAGACAAGAUCCAAUUUGAAAGUGAAAGCCACGGAUUGAGGGAAAAUCAUGAUGGAACUGUUGGAUAUUUUGAUCUACAGUCUAAACUGUAGAUGGCUGCUACAAUACCAGCUAUAGUAGGUCGGUUGCUAUAGUGCAGCUAUAGUAACUUGUUGAGUUGCACUAAUCGGGGCAGCCCUCUCCAACCAGGUGUUGGCCCCUGAUGCACAAUGCACUCAUGUAUAUAAACAUAAGAGGAACUUUCUGGGGAGAAGUAACCAGCUACAACUAUACGCUUCACUCUCUCCCUCACUUAAACUCUCUCUGAAAAAGCUACCGAUCAAGCUCAAACACUGAAGAAUCAGGAAGGGCCAAACACACAUCAGAUCAAACUCAAGGUGGUGAAGGUACAAGAAGAGAAGAUGUCUGGAUCUUCAAAUCAAGGUAAAAGACCAUCUUCUCAUCUUGUUUGUUGGCUCAAGCUUAAGCUACUUAUCCUGGAGAUUAUCAUUGGUUAUGCGAAAGAUGACAGGGUCCUAACCCAAUCCUCAUUACCGUUGCCUGAUGGGUCCGAUGCCUUUUACUUAGCUAGGUUAGCCCGCACGCACACUGAUCUCUCGUCACAAGUGGGCGAUCCCAUGAUAACCACCAUUAGGAAUCACAUAUUCCCACAAAAAUGUUAAGAUUUAGCUCCUACGCCUUGAGAGAUUGAACACUAAGGCUAAUCUCCGUCCAAAAACCUUACAAGGUAUGCUCGAUCCAUGUCCUUGAUGCAACAAUGCAGGUAAGGGCAGCUGAGCUGCCGACACCUAUUAUUCACAUGCUGGGUUGGCUUGGCGUGCUCGGCAAGCUCAGCAUGUGUGGCGUGUGGGCUGACAUGGGACGCUACAAAUGCGGAAGCGUUGAGAGGUCUAGAGACUUAGGCACUGCGACAACGGUCACCUACAUAAUUAUCCUAGGAUGUCACCUAACUCCAAUCUGAUACAAAAAAAAAAAUGGGAAACUUAGUGGGAAUGUGUUCUUAUUUAUUGAUAGGCUUUUGGUUUAUACAUGACUAAUAGCAGCGAGUGCUUGUCAAAAAGCUUUUGUAACUAAUCAUGUAGGGGAUUUUGGCCUAUUAUCUAAAAUUUUAGGUUUUUUUAAUAACAUGUAGUUUAACGUUUAGGGGACUGUUCAAAAUAGCUAAUAAUUGGAUUCCUUAUAAUGAAAUUAACUCUUUUACUUACUACUUUAUGUGCUUUUUCAUUAUUCCUUGGUGCGGUUGCAAAAUCCGCACAAUUCCCUCUUCAUGCAUGGUUACCCGAUGCUAUGGAAGGACCCACUCCUAUUCCCUCUUCAUGUAAUGAUUGAAUUCUCCUACAACUAAUUUUAGAAGGCCAAACGGUGCCGCUACCUCUUCUUCACAUUACCAUCGGGUGUUCUCCUCUUUCCAUUGAUCAAAACAUCAAGGUAACAAAAAAAAUAAAAAAAAUGUGAUGAAUCUACAACAUAGUAGUAUGCUAAUUUGGUCCUCCUAACCUUUCCCCAUUACUAUUAUCCAUGAUCUAGAUAGAUAGAUAGAUGACUCACCUGAUUAACACUUUUUUAGCGGUAACAAUAAGGAAGAGGAUUACUUAACACCAAACAACAAACAGGCGAGAUCGAUCGACCGAACGAGUGACCUACUUGUCCACGGCUCCCGCCACUGGCGAAGUGGGCAUUGUAGGAUCCUUCUCAUCUUCCUGAACCGCCUUCCCCUUCUCCUCACAGUAGCCAACCCCGGGUCCGCGGACGGCGUGCAGGGUGCGGCUGAGCCUGUGAAGGCAAUUGUCGGCGGCAUGGGGGUCGGCUGACCCGAGGAGGGUGGCGGUCGUCUGAACGAGGUCCUCCGCACGGUCGCAACGCUAGUGGAAGGCAUCAAGGCGGCGCUUCAGGUCCUCCAGCGCCGCCGCAAACUAGAUUGGUUCUACAUCAUGUGGAUGGAUUUGUUGUUUACAUAAGGUAAAUUUAGAAAUUAAUUUUGCGCAAACAAGAUUAUAUAGUGUUCUUGCCACAGAAACAACACCCUCGGUGCAAAAGUAUAUGACUAGCUAUUGGUAUCUUUCAAUACUUUGAGAACUACAUUUGGUGCUACAUUAUGUUGAUGUAUUUAUUAUUAUGGCUAAACUCGAAAUUAAUCUUGUGUCAUAAACCCCAUGGGACCCAAAAACACCCUGGGGCCAACUAAUAUUCCAUCAAAUGGUUUUCCUCCAAAUUCUGAAUCGUGCAGCUGCACGACCCCGACGUGGCGAGUGCACCACUACACGACACACAAGCACCAAAGAUGGUUUUUAAAAAGUUUGUCAAACAAACCCAAAUGGGUCCAGCUUUUGAAAGGUUAGUUGAUGUAGAACCAAAGUCGAGUCAUGCAGUACCAAAGUUAGUUUUGAAAAAGUGUAUCGAAAGAUACCCAAACUGGGUCCAGAUUUCUGAAAGUUUGUUGAUGUAGCGCCAAAGUUACAUCAGGUAGCAUCAAAGUUGGUUUUGAAAAGUUUGGCAAAACAUACCCAAAUGUGGUCCAGCUUUCAAGAAGUUUGUCGAUAUAGCACCAAAGUUGGUUUUGCAAAAGUUUUUUUUUCCAAAACCAACUUUGGUGCUACAUCAACCAACUUCUUGAAGGCUGGACCACAUUUGGCUAUGUAGCACCAAAAGGUGCAUCAUGUACCACUAAAGUUGGUUUUGAAAAAGUGAUAAACUUUUUCAAAACCGACUUUGGUGCUACAUGAUAAACAUUUUCAAAACCAACUUUGGUGUUACAUGAUGCAACUUUUCAAAACCAACUUUGGUGCUGCAUGAUGCAACUUUGGUGCUACAUUAACCAACUUUCUGAAGGUUGUACCACAUUUGGGUAUGUUUCAGCAAACUUUUUUAAUAGCAACUUUGGCGCUACAUGUACCAACUUUCUGAAAGUUGGAACCCAUUCAGGUAUGUUUCGAUGAACUCUUUCAAAACCAACUUUGGUGCUACAUGGACCAACUUUGGUGCUAAAUCAACAAACCUUUUGAAAGCUGGACCCCAUUUGGGUUUGUUUCGACAAAAAAUUUCAAAAUAAACUUUGGUACUCAUGAUGCAACUUUGGUGUUAUAUCAACCACCUUUUUAAAAUCUAGACCUCAUUUAGGUAUGUUUCGACAAACUUUUUGAAAACCAACUUUGGUGCUAAAUGAUGCAACUUUGGUGCUAUGUACCAUGAUACAGAUUAAUCCCAUGGCUCCCUUCCUCCUUGUUCCAGAUCUAAAUAUGUUUAGAAAUGUUUCAUUACACACAUGUACCAUUUGUUUAGAAAAAACAUAUUUUAUGACCAUACAGCCCUAUUAUUUUGUAGAAUACACAUGAAACUGUAAAUAUGUCUGUCAUUUUAAUCUAAAGAUGUCCUCGCAGUUGCGAUGGCCACCAUGCUAGUUGUACUGAACAUCAAAAACACAUCUAGGAGGAGAGAUUACAACAUUGUCUACUGCUUCAACAAAUAAUGGCCGAAUUCUCUUACAACUGAUUUUAGAAGACCGAACUGUGCCGGCACCUGUUCUUGACAUUACCCUCGGGUGUUUUUCUCUCUCCACUGACGGAAACAUAAGGUAAAUUAUUUCGAAAAAGGAAAAUGCGAUGGAUCUAACAACAUAGGAGUAUGCUAAUUCGGUCCUCCUAUCCUUUCUCCAUUCCUAUCCAUGAUCUAGCUAGAUAGAUAGAUAGAUAUGACUCGGCCGAUUAACAAAAUUUUAAGAGUAAUAAAUAACCUAGAGGAUUAAUUACUCAACGUCACAUCCAACAACAACAGGCGAGAUCGAUGGAUGGACCGAUCGAACGAGUGACCUACUUGUCCUCGGCUCCGGCCACCACCGGCGAAGUGGGCGCCGCGGGAUCCUUCCCAUCUUCCUGAACCGCCAUCCCCUUGUCCUCACCGGGAGCACCGACGGCGUGCAGGGUGCGGUCGAGCGCGUCAAGGCGAUCGCCGGCGGCACGGGCGUCGGCGGGCCCGAGGCGGGCGGCGGCCGUGUGGACGAGGUCCUCCGCGCGGUCGCAGCACUCGUGGAAGGCGUCGAGGCGGCGCUUGAGGUCCUCCACCGCGGCGGCGCGGCCGGGCUCGCGGACGUGGGCUGCCGCGGCGUCCACCAGCGCGUCGUAGGCCGCUGCCAUUGCGUCCACGGUGCUGUCCAUCGUGAUGCGGGUGGCGGUUACCGGCCCCUUGUGGGUCUCGAUCUAGUGGUGUUGUGCUGAGUCGAUCGGCUGGCUAGCGCACCCCUAUAUAUACCCCUCCUGCUUUACUUUAUGCUGUUUUUUUAGCUUUAAUUUGUGAUGUUUAUCUCUUUAUAUGUAUGUCUAGUCAUUAGUACUUCUCCGAUCCAAAAUAAUUUUGUACUAAAGUUAGUCUCCCUCCGUCGCUAAAUAAGUUCUCAACCUUAGUAUAACUUAUUAAGUCACUAUCUAAAAAAAACUUAAGUUAGUACAAAGUUGAAACACUUACUUUAAGAUUGAGGGAGUACUAAGUAUGCGUCAAUUAAUUGGAGUCCGGGGAGUAAUAUUUUUCUACAUGAUUUCUUUUUGCGGGAACAUCUUUCUGCACGUUGAGCACUAAAUUGGUGCUACAUUAUGUGGAUGGCUUUGUUGUUUAUAGAAGAUAAAUUUGGAAAUUAAUUUAUGCUGUUUUCUAAGCUUUAAUUUGUUGUGUUUAUCUCUUUCUAUGUAUGACUAGUUAUUAGUACUUCCUCCGAUUUAAAUUAAUUAACGCACACUUAGUAUAAUUUUGCACUAAAUUUGUAUUGAGUAUGCGUCAAUUAAUUAGGAUUCGGAGGGAGUAAAAUCUUUCUGCAUGUUGAGAAUUAAAUUGGUGCUACUAUGCAAAAAGAGGAGAGAAUUAAAUCGGUGCUACAUUAUGUGGAUGGAUUUGUUGUUUACAGAAGAUAAUUUUAGAAACUAAUUUUGCGCCAAAAAGAUGAGUGCAGGGUUUCGGUGCCCAGGCCUCAUCUGCACCCGGUCAGAAAAAAUAUUACAAAAAAAUUUAAAACAAUUCUAUUUUUUGCAUGGUAGAAAAUUUAGUGCGUGAGAUCUGUUCCAAUGUUUAAAUCAUUUGGACAUCUGAGCAGCUCUCAGCAAAAAAGACAAAUCGGGUCAGAACAGUGCAUGAACAGUAAACCUUUUUAUAGACCCCGAAUUUGUCUUUUUUUUCCAAGAUCUGCUUAGAUGUCCAAAUGAUUUGAAAAUUGGAGCGGACCUCACGUAUCAAAUUAUCUACUAUGCAAAAAAUUGAAUUUCUUUGAAUUUUUCUAGUAUUUGUUUUGACUUUUUCGUCGGCGUGGGUGCACAUGAGCCUGGGCUCAGAAGCGAAUUUUCACAAAAAAAUUAUAUAGUGUCCGUGCCACAUAAACAACAUGCUCGGCGCAAAAUUAUAUGACUAGCUAUUGGUAUCUUUCUAUACUUUGAGAACUACAUUUGGUGCUACAUUAUGUUGAUAUAUUUAUUAUGGAUAAAUUUAAAAAUUAAUCUUGCGUUAGAAAAGUCAUUUAUGCCAAAAAAUAGCACCCUUGGCCCAACUAAUAUUGCAUCAAUUUUUUUUCCAAAUUGAAAUUGUGCAGCUGCAUAAUCCCGGCGUGACAAGUGCACGCGCUACAUGACAAACGACCACAGAUCGCUAAAUAAAAGCCUCUCCAUCCCUUCGAUGUCUCUCUCCUAGAAAAACACGGCUGCCUUUUCUCUGUUCAUCCGUCACCAUACCCUCUUCUCCCUCAUUCCUACCUGAUCCCCUUUCUCAUUCCAUUUGAUGUCGAGCAUGUAGGUCAAGUAGGCGUCGAUGAAGGGGAGGAGUAUGUCAGCGCCAAUCCCUUGCAGUUGAAGGGGGCGGUGGUGGACGAGAGGAGUGUGGUGAGCAAAUCGGAUGUGGAGACACUGGCUUGCUAGAGCAACAACUCCACCACCUCCUUCUUCCUUUUUUCUUGGAGCUCGAGUGAUGUUGUCGUCAGCUUCAUGCGACCUCUUGCAUCUCCAUCAGGUUGUGGUAGAUAGCGGCGCGUGUGCAUCAGCCAAGAGACACGGGGUCCACCCCUAGUCGAAAAGCCACCGCACUGGAGUCACGCACAGAGGUAAGCGGUACUCUCCUUUUCAUCCCCUCCCUCUAUGAUGUUGUACACCCACGUUUAAUUAGGAAAUUGGCAUAGGCAACAACCGAAUUUGCACAUCGACUACUAUACUGGCAAGGUAGUUGUAGUAGGAGGCUAGCAGUGAAAACUAUACAUCCAUGAGUAGGUAGCAGAACCAAGCUUUGUGCUAUGGGAGCCAACAUUUGUACUACAAGAACCAACUUUAGUGCAAUGAGAACCAACUCUUAGGAGGCUCACUAUUCAUGAAAUAAUUGGCAUAGAGCUCUUGUAAGUUGGCCACCAUGACUGCCAAAUUGACUAACAUGUACCCUAAGUUACCUAUCAUGGCUAAUGAGUAGACUAACAUCAUCGAAUUUUUGACCUACAAUAGGUUUUUAUGUCGUAUGAAUUUUAGUUUCCCUGGUAGGCAAGUUAGGAACCAUGAUAAGCAACUUUUACAAUGUUGUAGGCAAUUGAGCAUCACCGGGGUAGGUGUAAUGCCCCAGACACAUCCAUCGGUUAUUGAUCGUUACUCCUGGCUGCAUCUAGACUGACCCCAUAGAUCAACACUAGUCUUUCUUGCGCACUUUGUCCUCACUCGUGCGCACCCGAUACCAACUUCCUGGUUGGUCACCCAUCCUGAAAUUGCUUCAAGCUGAGCACGCUUAACUUUGGAGUUCUUUGCAAAUGGGCUACUGGAAAAAAAGGAAUUCCUUAUUGAUAUGAAUAGUCUAUCAUCCCUAUUAAGCUUGGCUAUCACAGUAGGCAACCCUAUAGUGAUGUGGAGGCCUUUGUUUUUGAGGUGGCUAACUUUCACAGUAGCAUGGAUAACUAAUGGGCAAUGGUAUGCAAUUCAGCAUCACUAGUAGGUAGCUUCACUCUGUAGUACUAAAGUCGGUUGUUGUACCACCAAAGUUGCACCAAGUAGCAGCAAAGUUAAUUUUGAAAAAAAGUUUGUUGAAACAUACCCAAAUGGGUUCUAUCUCGAGGAAAGGUGCAUCAUGCAACACCAAAUUUGCAUCAUGUAGCACAAAAGUUGGUUUUCAAAUAGUUUUUUUAAGCAUACCUAAUUGUGGUCUGGCUUUUGGAAAGUUAGUUUUUUUAACAUAGUCAGACGCAAGCGCUCAUAUACACGCGUAUACACUCACCCCUAUGAACGCACACACACGCACACCCUACCCCUAUGAGCACCUUCGAAAGACUGAGCCGACAUAUCAUCUUGAAAUUUACGAAGUCACCGUAGGCACCUCGCCGUCGACGGGAACAUCUCCUCCCACUGAAUGCGCAUCACCGAAAAUUCUGAAAUAAAUCCAGGCAUAAGGGCGUGUUUGGAUGGAUUCCACGCUGAGUUACGCCUUGCCUGGGCCGUGCCUGAAAAGUGUCUGGCCACUCUUUGGUUCAUGCCCUAGAAAAGUUUGUGCUAGCCUGGCCUGGUGACCUUAGCAACCUAUUUAGCCCGGAAUGUGACCAGGCAUGUUAAUUAGCCUAGACCAGGCGCUCAAAAGAGGACGCCUGGGCUACUGCCUGGCGGUAAUCAAUGCUUGUUUUGACUGCGUUUUGUGCUUGUGGGCUUUUGACAGUGCUAGUACAUCUUAUUUUAUGUUUUGCCAGGCCAGGCAACAACCAAAUGUUGGGUAACGUAGUAAUUUCGAAAAUUUUCCUACGCACACGCAAGAUCAUGGUGAUGCACAGCAACGAGAGGGGAGAGUGUUGUCUACGUACCAACGCAGACCGACUGCGGAAGCGAUCACACAACGUAGAGGAAGUAGUCGUACGUCUUCUUCCCGAUCCGACCGAUCCAAGCACCGUUACUCCGGCACCUCCGAGUUCUUAGCACACGUUCAGCUCGAUGACGUUCCUCGGGCUCCGAUCCAGCAAAGCGUCGAGGAAGAGUUCCGUCAGCACGACGGCGUGAUGACGAUCUUGAUGUACUACCGACGCAGGGCUUCGCCUAAGCACUACAACGGUAUGAUCGAGGUGGAAUUUGGUGGCAGGGGGCACCGCACACGGCUAAGGAACGAUCUCAAGGAUCAACUUGUGUGUCUUGGGGUGCCCCCUGCCCCCGUAUAUAAAGGUUGGAGGAGGGGAGCCGGCCGGCCAAGGGAGAGGAGGCGCAGGGGAGUCCUACUCCCACCGGGAGUAGGACUCCUCCCCCCAAUCCUAAUCCAAUUAGGACUCCUCGGGGGGGAAAAGAGAGAGAAGGGGGGCCGGCCCCUUAUCCUAUUCCUAAUAGGACUCUAGGGGGGCGCCGGCCAGCUAGUGGGCUUCCCUUUUUUCUUUUCCACUAAGGCCCAAUAGGCCCAUUAGUCUCCCGGGGGGUUCCGGUAACCCUCCCGGUAUUCCGGUAAAAUCCCGAUUUCACCCGGAACACUUCCGAUGUCCAAACAUAGGCUUCCAAUAUAUCAAUCUUUACGUCUCGACCAUUUCGAGACUCCUCGUCAUGUCCGUGAUCUCAUCCGGGACUCCGAACAACCUUCGGAACAUCAAAAUGCAUAAACUCAUAAUAACUGUCAUCGUAACGUUAAGCGUGCGGACCCUACGGUUCGAGAACAAUGUAGACAUGACCGAGACACGUCUCCGGUCAAUAACCAAUAGCGGGACCUGGAUGCCCAUAUUGGCUCCUGCAUAUUCUACGAAGAUCUUUAUCGGUCAGACCGCAUAACAACAUACGUUGUUUCCUUUGUCAUCGGUAUGUUACUUGCCCGAGAUUCGAUCGUCGGUAUCCAAUACCUAGUUCAAUCUCGUUACCGGCAAGUCUCUUUACUCGUUCCGUAAUACAUCAUCUCACAACUAACAUAUUAGUUGCAGUGCUUGCAAGGCUUAUGUGAUGUGCAUUACCGAGAGGGCCCAGAGAUACCUCUCCGACAAUCGGAGUGACAAACCCUAAUCUCGAAAUACGCCAACCCAACAUCUACCAUUGGAGACACCUGUAGUACUCCUUUAUAAUCACCCAGUUACGUUGUGACGUUUGGUAGUACCCAAAGUGUUCCUCCGGUAAACGGGAGUUGCAUAAUCUCAUAGUUAUAGGAACAUGUAUAAGUCAUGAAGAAAGCAAUAGCAACAUACUAAACGAUCGGGUGCUAAGCUAAUGGAAUGGGUCAUGUCAAUCAGAUCAUUCAACUAAUGAUGUGACCUCGUUAAUCAAAUAACAACUCUUUGUUCAUGGUUAGGAAACAUAACCAUCUUUGAUUAACGAGCUAGUCAAGUAGAGGCAUACUAGUGACACUCUGUUUGUCUAUGUAUUCACACAUGUAUUAUGUUUCCGGUUAAUACAAUUCUAGCAUGAAUAAUAAACAUUUAUCAUGAUAUAAGGAAAUAAAUAAUAACUUUAUUAUUGCCUCUAGGGCAUAUUUCCUUCAGUCUCCCACUUGCACUAGAGUCAAUAAUCUAGUUCACAUCGCCAUGUGAUUUAGCAGCAAUAGUUUCACAUCACCAUGUGAUUAACACCCAUAGUUCACAUCGUCAUGUGACCAACACUCAAAGGGUUUACUAGAGUCAGUAAUCUAGUUCACAUAUCUAUGUGAUUAACACCCAAAAAGUACUAAGGUGUGAUCAUGUUUUGCUUGUGAGAUAAUUUUAGUCAACGGGUCUGUCACAUUCAGAUCCGUAAGUAUUUUGCAAAAUUCUUUGUCUAUAAUGCUCUGCACUGAGCUACUCUAGCUAAUUGCUCCCACUUUCCAGAUUGUGACUUUAUAUUCAUCUGGAUCAGUGUCAAAAACUUGCAUCGACGUAACCCUUUACGACGAACCUUUUUGUCACGUCCAUAAUCGAGAAACAUAUCCUUAUUUCACUAAGGAUAAUUCUGACCGCUGUCCAGUGAUCUACUCCUAGAUCACUAUUGUACUCCCUUGCCAAAUCAGUGCAGGGUAUACAAUAGAUCUGGCACACAGCAUGGCAUACUUUAUAGAACCUAUGAAUGAGGCAUAGGGAAUGACUUUCAUUCUCUUUCUAUCUUCUGCCGUGGUCGGGCUUUGAGUUUUUACUCAACUUCACACCUUGUAACACAGGCAAGAAACUUUUCUUUGACUGUUCCGUUUUGAACUACUUCAAAAUCUUGUCAAGGUAUGUACUUAUUGAAAAACUUAUCAAGCGUCUUGAUCUAUCUCUAUAGAUCUUGAAGCUCAAUAUGUAAGCAGCUUUACCGAAGUCUUUCUUUGAAAAACUCCUUUCAAACACUCCUUUUAUGCUUUACAGAAUAAUUCUACAUUAUUUCCGAUCAACAAUAUGUCAUUCACAUAUACUUAUCAGAAAUGCUGUAGUGCUCCCACUCACUUUCUUGUAAAUACAGGCUUCACCGCAAGUCUGUCUAAACUAUAUGCUUUGAUCAACUCAUCAAAGCGUAUAUUCCAACUCCGAGAUGCUUGCACCAGUCCAUAGAUGGAUCGCUGGAGCUUGCACAUUUUGUUAGCACCUUUCGGAUUGACGAAACCUUCUGUUGCAUCAUAUACAACUCUUCUUUAAUAAAUCUAUUAAGGAAUGCAGUUUUGUUUAUCCUUUUGCCAGAUUUCAUAAAAUGCGGCAAUUACUAACAUGAUUCGGACAGACUCGAGCAUAGAUACGAGUGAGAAGCUCUCAUCGUAGUCAACACCUUGAACUUUGUCGAAAACCUUUUGCGAUAAUUCUAGCUUUGUAGAUAGUAACACUACUAUCAACGUCCGUCUUCCUCUUGAAGAUCCAUUUAUUCUCAAUUGCUUGCCGAUCAUCAGGCAAGUCAACCAAAGUCCAUACUUUGUUUUCAUACAUGGAUCCCAUCUUAGAUUUCAUGGCCUCAAGCCACUUUGCGGAAUCUGGGCUCACCAUCGCUUCUUCAUAGUACGUAGGUUCAUCAUGAUCUAGUAGCAUGACUUCCAGAACUGGAUUACCGUACCACUCUGGUGCGGAUCUCACUCUGGUUGAUCUACGUGGUUCAGUAGUAUCUUGUCCUGAAGCUUCAUGAUCAUCAUCAUUAGCUUCCUCACUAAUUGGCAUAGGUGUCGCAGAAAUAGUUUUCUGUGAUGUACUAAUUUCCAAUAAGGGAGCAAGUACAGUUACCUUGUCAAGUUCUACUUUCCUCCCACUCACUUCUUUCGAGAGAAAACUCCUUCUCUAGAAAUUUUCCGAAUUUAGCAACAAAAGUCUUGCCUUCGGAUCUGUGAUAGAAGGUGUAUCCAAUAGUUUCCUUUGGAUAUCCUAUGAAGACACAUUUCUCCGAUUUGAGUUUGAGCUUAUCAGGAUGAAACUUUUCAUAUAAGCAUCGCAACCCCAAACUUUAAGAAACGACAGCUUAGGUUUCUUGCUAAACCAUAGUUCACACGGUGUCGUCUCAACGGAUUUAUAUGGUGCCCUAUUUAACGUGAAUGCAGCUGUCUUUAAUGCAUGACCCCAAAAACGAUAGUGGUAAAUCGGUAAGAAACAUCAUAGAUUGCACUAUAUCCAAUAAAGUACGGUUAUGACGUUCGGACACACCAUUAUGCUAUGGUGUUCCAGGUGGCGUGAGUAGUGAAACUAUUCCACAUUGUUUUAAUUGAAGACCAAACUCGUAACUCAAAUAUUUGUCUCCGCGAUCAGAUCGUAGAAGCUUUAUUUUCUUGUCACGAUGAUUUUUCACUUCACUCUGAAAUUCUUUGAACUUUUCAAAUGUUUCAGACUUAUGUUUCAUCAAGUAGAUAUACUCAUAUCUGCUCAAAUCAUCUGUGAAGAUCAGAAAAUAAUGAUACCUGUCGCGAGUCUCAAUAUUCAUCGGAUCACAUACAUCAGUAUGUAUGAUUUCCAAUAAAUCUUUUUCUCGCUCCAUUGUUCCGAAGAACAGAGUCUUAGUCAUCUUGCCCAUGAGGCAUGAUUCGCAAGCAUCAAGUGAUUCAUAAUCAAGUGAUUCCGAAAGCCCAUCAGCAUGGAGUUUCUUCAUGCGCUUUAUACCAAUAUGACCUAAACAGCAGUGCCACAAAUAAGUUGCACUAUCAUUAUUAACUUUGCAUCUUUUGGUUUCAAUAUUAUGAAUAUGUGUAUUAUUAAGAUCGAGAUCCAAUGAACUAUUUUCAUUGGGUGUGUAACCAUAUUAGGUUUUAUUCAUGUAAAUAGAACAACAAUUUAUUCUCUUACUUAAAUGAAUAACCGUAUUACAAUAAACAUGAUCAAAUCAUAUUCAUGUUCAACGCAAACACUAAAUAACACUUAUUUAGGUUCAACACUAAUCCUGAAAUUAUAGGGAGUGUUCGAUGAUGAUCAUAUCAAUCUUGGAACCACUUCCAACACACAUCGUUACUUCACCUUUAACUAGUCUCUGUUUAUUCUGCAACUCCCGUUUCGAGUUACUACUCUUAGCAACUGAACUAGUAUCAAAUACUUAGGGUUUGCUAUAAACACUAGUAAAGUACACAUCAAUAACAUGUAUAUCAAAUAUACUUAUGUUCACUUUGCCAUCCUUCUUAUCCGCCAAUCACUUGGGGUAGUUCCGCUUCUAGUGACCAGUCCCUUUGCAGUAGAAGCACUUAGUCUCAGGGUCAAGAUCAGACUUGGGCUUCUUCACUUGAGCAGCAACUUGCUUGCCGUUCUUCUUGAAGUUCCCCUUCUUCCCUUUGCCCUUUUCUUGAAACUAGUGGUCUUGUCAACCAUCAACACUUGAUGUUUUUCUUGAUUUCUACCUUCGUUGAUUUCAGCAUCACGAAGAGCUUGGGAGUUGUUUCCGUUAUCCCUUGCAUAUUAUAGUUCAUCACGAAGUUCUACUAACUUGGUGAUGGUGACUAGAGAAUUCUGUCAAUCACUAUCUUAUCUGGAAGAUUAACUCCCACUUGAUUCAAGCGAUUGUAGUACCUAGACAAUCUGAGUACAUGCUCACUAGUUGAGCGAUUCUCCUCCAUCUUUUAGCUAUAGAACUUGUUGGAGACUUCAUAUCUCUCAACUCGGGUAUUUUCUUGAAAUAUUUAACUUCAACUCCUGGAACAUCUCAUAUGGUCCAUGACGUUCAAAACGUCUUUGAAGUCCCGAUUCUAAGCCAUUAAGCAUGGUGCACUAAACUAUCAAGUAGUCAUCAUAUUGAGCUAGCCAAACGUUCAUAACGUCUGCAUCUGCUCCUGCAAUAGGUCUGUCACCUAGCGGUGCAUCAAGGACAUAAUUCUUCUGUGCAGCAAUGAGGAUAAAUCUCAGAUCACGGAUCCAAUCCGCAUCAUUGCUACUAACAUCUUUCAACACAUUUUUCUCUAGGAACAUAUUAAAAUAAACACAGGGAAGCAACAACGUGAGCUAUUGAUCUACAACAUGAUUUGCAAAAUACUACCAGGACUAAGUUCAUGAUAAAUUUAAGUUCAAUUAAUCAUAUUACUUAAGAACUCCCACUUAGAUAGACAUCCCUCCAAUCCUCUAAGUGAUCACGUGAUCCAAAUCAACUAAACCAUAACCGAUCAUCACGUGAGAUGGAGUAGUUUUCAAUGGUGAACAUCGUUAUGUUGAUCAUAUCUACUAUAUGAUUCACGCUCGACCUUUCGGUAUCCGUGUUCCGAGGCCAUAUCUUCAUAUGCUAGGCUCGUCAAGUUUAACCUGAGUAUUCUGCGUGUGCAAAACUGGCUUGCACCCGUUGUAGAUGGACGUAGAGCUUAUCACACCCGAUCAUCACGUGGUGUCUGGGCACGACGAACUUUGGCAACGGUGCAUACUCAGGGAGAACACUUCUUGAUAAUUUAGUGAGAGAUCAUCUUAUAAUGCUACCGUCAAUCAAAGCAAGAUAAGAUGCAUAAAAGGAUAAACAUCACAUGCAAUCAAUAUAAGUGAUAUGAUAUGGCCAUCAUCAUCUUGUGCUUGUGAUCUCCAUCUCCGAAGCACCGUCAUGAUCACCAUCGUCACCGGCGUGCCACCUUGAUCUCCAUCAUAGCAUCGUUGUCGUCUCGCCAAUAUUAUGCUUCCACGACUAUCACUACCGUUUAGUAAUAAAGUAAAGCAUUACAUCGCGAUUGCAUUGCACACAAUAAAGCGACAACCAUAUGGCUCCUGCCAGUUGCCGAUAACUCGGUUACAAAACAUGAUCAUCUCAUACAAUAAAAUCAGCAUCAUGCCUUGACCAUAUCACAUCACAACAUACCCUGCAAAAACAAGUUAGACGUCCUCUACUUUGUUGUUGCAAGUUUUACGUGGCUGCUACGGGCUUAAGUAAGAACUCAUCUCACCUACGCAUCAAAACCACAACGAUAGUUCGUCAAAUAGACUCCGUUUUAACCUUCUCAAGGACCGGGCAUAGUCACACUUGGUUCAACUAAAGUUGGAGAGACAGUCUUCCGCAAGCCAUCUAUGUGCAAAGCACGUCGAGGGAACCGGUCUCGCGUAAGAGUACGCGUAAGGUUGGUCCGGAUCGUCUCAACCAACAAUACCGCCGAACCAAAGUAUAACAUGCUGGUAGGCAGUAUGACUUGUAUCGCCCACAACUCACUUGUGUUCUACUCGUGCAUAUAACAUCAAACCAUAAAACCUAGGCUCGGAUGCCACUGUUGGGUAACGUAGUAAUUUCGAAAAUUUUCCUACGCACACACAAGAUCAUGGUGAUGCACAGCAACGAGAGGGGCGAGUGUUGUCUACGUACCAACGCAGACCGACUGCGGAAGCGAUCACACAACGUAGAGGAAGUAGUCGUACGUCUUCUUCCCGAUCCGACCGAUCCAAGCACCGUUACUCCGGCACCUCCGAGUUCUUAGCACAUGUUCAGCUCGAUGACGUUCCUCGGGCUCCGAUCCAGCAAAGCGUCGAGGAAGAGUUCCGUCAGCACGACGGCGUGAUGACGAUCUUGAUGUACUACCGACGCAGGGCUUCGCCUAAGCACUACAACGGUAUGAUCGAGGUGGAAUUUGGUGGCAGGGGGCACCGCACACGGCUAAGGAACGAUCUCAAGGAUCAACUUGUGUGUCUUGGGGUGCCCCCUGCCCCCGUAUAUAAAGGUUGGAGGAGGGGAGCCGGCCGGCCAAGGGAGAGGAGGCGCAGGGGAGUCCUACUCCCACUGGGAGUAGGACUCCUCCCCCCAAUCCUAAUCCAAUUAGGACUCCCCGGGGGGGAAAAGAGAGAGAAGGGGGGCCGGCCCCUUAUCCUAUUCCUAAUAGGACUCUAGGGGGGCGCCGGCCAGCUAGUGGGCUUCCCUUUUCUCUUUUCCACCAAGGCCCAAUAGGCCCAUUAGUCUCCCGGGGGGUUCCGGUAACCCUCCCGGUAUUCCGGUAAAAUCCCGAUUUCACCCGGAACACUUCCGAUGUCCAAACAUAGGCUUCCAAUAUAUCAAUCUUUACGUCUCGACCAUUUAGAGACUCCUCGUCAUGUCCGUGAUCUCAUCCGGGACUCCGAACAACCUUCGGAACAUCAAAAUGCAUAAACUCAUAAUAACUGUCAUCGUAACGUUAAGCGUGCGGACCCUACGGUUCGAGAACAAUGUAGACAUGACCGAGACACGUCUCCGGUCAAUAACCAAUAGCGGGACCUGGAUGCCCAUAUUGGCUCCUACAUAUUCUACGAAGAUCUUUAUCGGUCAGACCGCAUAACAACAUACGUUGUUUCCUUUGUCAUCGGUAUGUUACUUGCCCGAGAUUCGAUCGUCGGUAUCCAAUACCUAGUUCAAUCUCGUUACCGGCAAGUCUCUUUACUCGUUCUGUAAUACAUCAUCUCACAACUAACAUAUUAGUUGCAGUGCUUGCAAGGCUUAUGUGAUGUGCAUUACCGAGAGGGCCCAGAGAUACCUCUCCGACAAUCGGAGUGACAAACCCUAAUCUCGAAAUACGCCAACCCAACAUCUACCAUUGGAGACACCUGUAGUACUCCUUUAUAAUCACCCAGUUACGUUGUGACGUUUGGUAGUACCCAAAGUGUUCCUCCGGUAAACGGGAGUUGCAUAAUCUCAUAGUUAUAGGAACAUGUAUAAGUCAUGAAGAAAGCAAUAGCAACAUACUAAACGAUCGGGUGCUAAGCUAAUGGAAUGGGUCAUGUCAAUCAGAUCAUUCAACUAAUGAUGUGACCUCGUUAAUCAAAUAACAACUCUUUGUUCAUGGUUAGGAAACAUAACCAUCUUUGAUUAACGAGCUAGUCAAGUAGAGGCAUACUAGUGACACUCUGUUUGUCUAUGUAUUCACACAUGUAUUAUGUUUCCGGUUAAUACAAUUCUAGCAUGAAUAAUAAACAUUUAUCAUGAUAUAAGGAAAUAAAUAAUAACUUUAUUAUUGCCUCUAGGGCAUAUUUCCUUCACCAAACAGCCCUAGUCUACGGCAACCUGACCAGGCAGGAAAUCGAGUAAAACCAGGCUGGAGCCAGGCAACAUUUUUUCCCAGGCACGAAGCUGAGGGUAUGAACCAAACUGACCCUAAAUGCGAGCACUAGGAUUUGAACCCUGGUGGGCUGGGGAUACCACAAUCCCUUUAACCAUCCAACCACAGGUUGGUUCACUUGGAAAGUUGGUUGGUGUAACACCAAAGUUGCAUCAUGUAGCACCAAAGUUGGUUUUCAGAAAUUUGUCGGAACAUACCCAAAUGGGGGUCUAACUUUUGGAAAGUUGGUUGAUGUAGCAUUAAAGUUGCAUCAUGUGCCACCUAAGAUGGUUUUGAAAAAGUUUUUCGAAAGAAACACAAACGGGGUGCAACUUUUGAAAGGCUAGUUGAUGUAGAACCAAAGUUGGGCCAUGUAAUACCAAAGUUGGUUUUGAAAAAGUUUGUGGAAGUAUAUCCAAAUGGGGUCCAGCUUUCGGAAUGUUUGUUGAUGUAGCACCAAAUUUACAUCGGGUAGCACCAAAGUUGGUUUUGAAAAAGUUUGCCAAAACAUGUCCAAAUGCAGUCCAGCUUCAAGAAGGAUGUGGCACCCAAUUUUCAUCUUGUAGUGCCAAAGUUGGUUUGCAACAGUUUGUGGCACAUUUUUUAGGAAGUUGGCAAAAUAUUUCAAACACAACUUUGGUGGUACAUCAACCAACUUCCUGAAAGUUGAACCAUAUUUGGCUAUGUAGCACCAAAGUUGGUUUCGAAAAAAAACUUUUUUCAAAACCAACUUUGGUGCUACAUGAUGCAACUUUUCAAAACCAACUUGGCUUGCCGCAUAUGGUCCUAGCCACGAUAUUAUCAGCAUAAGAAUUUUAUUUUAUUUAUUAUCAGGUUGCCUAAAAAAUAGUACCCUCAUUAUUCAAUGUCAAUGAUAAUGAUAAUAAUAAUGUCAAAGAUUGUAUGUCAUGAAGUACUAAAGAUUUCAUGCAUCAUGUUUGCAUGGUGAGUAUUUUGAAUCGCAUAUUCUCAUAUAUGUUGGUUGUGAAGGAUGGUUGUGACCAAUACAUAACUUUUGUUACACCAGCUCAAAUAUAAUGCAAAUAAAGUUGAAGAAAAUGUUUCUGAUGAGAACAUCUUAAAGCUACAAAAGGAGCAUAUUUUAGUUAAUAAGAGAUUGUAAUUAUUUGGGAUAAUGCUGAAUAAUAUGAGAAGUGAAAUCUUAAUGUUUCUGGAGUACUACAUGGUUACAAUUUUCUAUGUACGUGGUGAUCACGUGUAGUUUAAGUUUUUACAUGUAUGUCAUGUACGACUAACAAAGAAACUAAGGGCCUGCUCGGAACUCCUCCCACUCAGAGCUUCUCCAACUCCACGUGCAGAGCCGGGCCGAACGUCUCAGCUCCGUGGAGUGGGCUUCACGAAGCCUUCUGAUUCUCUAGUGCAAAAUCCCGAAGCUGCUCAAGCCCAUCUUCAUGAAAAUGGAGAAGCGAGGAGUUCUGCAUAAUUACAGUGCAUAAUCCCACUGCCAAGUCGAAAAAUGAUUCGCAAGGCUCGUCCCGGACGCAUCUCUCUCGACAGUUCCUUUGUUCCUCUUCCUAGCGCUAACCCUAGCCGCUGGCACGACCACUGCGACCACCGCUGCCAGUCCGUCACCUGCCGCUGCUCCUAUCUGGUGGCAGCUCAAGCCGUUCCAGGCCCAUCCCCGCCAGACCCCGUCCAUUCAGGGUAGUUAUCUCGAUGCCAGCCAAGAGCAGCGAGCUCACCGGAAAGCCCAACCCGACGUGGCUACGCCAUUGACGCCCGAGCCAGGAGUAGUAUCCUGAACAGGGCUGGUUCCAGCGGGCCAAAAGUGGUGCUGAAAAGGCCAACUGUCUCCACAGUGCCAGCCGAAGGUGGCGAGGGGGAGAAGCUGCACUCGGUGCAGAACGGAUGGGAUUUGCCAGGUGAAGUGGGAAGCUACAUCGAGAAGCUCAAUUUGAGGAGUUUUGUGAAGCUGGAGGGGAUCCGAACACGCCCUAAGAAGCCAAGCUUUCUGCGACCCAGUGAGCUAUGGAUUGCAUUGUGUGCUCAACCCUGCCAUGCACUGGUAAAAAUUAACAUUGUAGCCAAAGUGUCUGUUGUUAUAACCCUUGUGGUGUCUAAUUCCUAGAGAGAGAUAGAGAGCCUUAGUAGCUCUGAGUGGGUAGUAUGUAUUCCCCUGUCCGGCUCUGCUGACAAGUAAUUUGUGAUGGAGGGAGAAAUAUCUAGGAAGCCGUGUGUGGAGUUUGCCAUAUGUCACCAACAGCACAAAAAAAGAAAUUAAUUUUGCAAUACUAGAGCAGAAACUCUACAAUAAGUGAUGAUGCUUCUAAAGGGUUGCAGCAAGACAUUAUUUCAAGAAAACAAUCUAGGGUUUGCCUCGGCUAACAUUUGAUCAUCUAGUCCCUUGAGCAAAGAAUAUAUAUACUGCCAGUAAAAUGAGAUAGAUCUAGACUAAAACUGCAAGGUACUACUACUACUCAGAGAGACAAAAAUUAAAACAGAUUUGCCUCAAUUUGGUGCCAAACUGGAACAAACAAUACGCACACCACCUGAAAUAUGUCGGCUAGAUGACUAAUUAGAGGAGUAUAAAGGUUCACCCAAACUGGAACAAACAAUACGCACACCAACCAAAACUUCAGGCAGGCAGCUUAAGCAUCAAUCAAAUGUUCAGCAUCGAUCCAACAGAUGACUAAUUUAGAGGAUUAUAAAGGUUCUAGAUGGAACAAAAUACAAUAUGACGACACAUGUUACUGAUAAAUAGAUGGUGGUUUUCAUCAGAUGAGCCAUGUAUGUGUGUGCUUAAUUUAUGUCAUCCAAUGGCACGUCCUCUUGGAGUCCAGGGUCGCAGGUGUAAUCGCCGUAGAUCCGGUCCUCCUCCAGAUUAUCCAAACUCAAGGUUAUAUAAUAGCUGCCAGAGAUCAUUUCAUUGUUGGCGCGUUGUCUUUCCCCGCAGAGCAUCUUCUCAAACUCUUUGUCACGCCCCAGGAAACUCUCCUUGGUCGGGUGCACGAUGGUCCUCCCUCUGGACUCACAAUAAAGGCAACGGACUUGCUCUGCCACGCAUACACACACAUGCAACAGACGGACUUUAUUAUAUGGGUGAGAUUUAACCAAGUCUUAAUCAAGUGAUAUAACAUGCAAGACUGUUAGACUUCAUUAAGUCUUAGUCUAGUGAGACUGGAUUUUCUACUCUCGGGUGUACUACACCCGAGUUAGCAAAAAAUUUGAAAUAAGUUUAUCAAACGAAAUUUAAAAAAAUCUGUAAUUUUGCUACAUCAAACUUUAUCAUAUGUUUGAGGUUCUUGUCAAGUUUCAUCGAAAAAUAACAUCCGAGGAGCUCUCGCUGGGUUCCUCAGAUGUUAUUUUUGGUGAGAGCUCCUCAGAUGUUAUUUUUAGAUGAUAAUUUUUCAUGUCCCAAAAUUUCAGAUUUUUUGGACAAUGUUUGAUCACAUUUUUUCAAUCUUUUGCUAACACUCGGGUGUACUACACCCGAGAGUAGCCACUACUUUCCGCUGUUAUUACAUAUAUACUAGUUCUGGAUUGUAUAAAAACUAAACUGAUGACAGAGAGCAAAGCUAAACGAUAGAUAGAUAACAUCAUACCAGUGCCUGGAAGUGGCAUAGCCACAGGGCAGCACAACAGCACCUCCUUAGAGCCGAUGUUGCUACACUCGGCAAAGAAGAGCUCUGGAGAUGUGCCUGCUGCUGCAGUCUGGGUGGCGAGGAAGUUGAUGUGGGAGCAAAGGCACGUGGCAUCGAAGGGCUUCGUUGGGUUCGCACAGCCACCCGCGUACUCAUUGACACCGCACACAACAUGGACCUCGUAGCUGGGCUGUACCUGCUAGCAAUCAAGUUGUUGCAGAUUGUUUUGAUGAUGUACAUCCAGCAAGUCGAUCUGUGUAAAAGAGCAAGCAAGUUACCUGGAGUUUCUUGUUGUACAUCUCGAUUGCAGAUUUCGCCAUUCCCACGGCGCUAUUGUGCUCGAUCCAGAAGUUGACUAUCGUUCUCAUUACACCAUUGUAAGCCCAGGGGCCUAACACGUUGGUGUUUUUUGUUUCUUGUGCAGGUUUGCAGUUGGCAAGAGAUUGGAAGUAGGCCGGAAACAAUGGGCGGACGUUGGCAGGUUCUUUGUGCUCGAGGAGAUCCGAGAAGCCUUUCAGCAUGGAAUUAGAUGGCCCGAGGAAGUUGGCCUGUUCAAGAGGCUUGGGGUGGCGUGCGGCAUUGGCAGCGGCCACGUAGGCUUCGGCUUCUUCGACACCGCCAUCGUGAUCAUCGGCCUUUUGGAGAUAGGCCCCGGCCAGCUGCAGUCGUUGCAUGGCUUCGCCCGGCGUGAGGGCGGGGUGGCGGGUGCAAAGGAAGGAGAUGAGGCCAUAUAGGGACCGGAGUGCGACCCGCAGCAGGGCUCUGGUGCUGAUGGCCUCGAUCUCCAUCUUUUUCUCUAGCUUUAGAGGGUAGGCUUGGGCAUACCAGAGGGUAUUAACGAUGAUGUUGGAGACGGGGUCGAGCGGCCCGUAGCAGUGGCCGGCGUGGAGCAGGCUGUAAUGGUACUGGUGCGAGCCCCGCAGCUUGUCCUUGGGCAGCCAGGCAAGGGCCUCCAGAUAGUAUCCAUGGAUGGUGGUGAGAAGCACACGCCUCAGAGUCGGCAGCAGCGGUACUUGCAUCUCCAUCUCUGCAUGGUUAUUCAGGUUGCUUCCAUGUCGUUUAGAGGCAAGCUUCCAGGCUUCCUCCAGGACAAGAGCAGGUGGUUCAGGUUGCUCAAGUAGUUCCCAGAUGUCGAUGAUCAGACCGGGGUCUCGGGCUGCGUAGGGUGAUGAAAGCAGUGUGUUGAUCUUGCACAGAGAAGGGGACAGUAUCUUCCACGCCAGAGCAAACUUGCGCGGGUCGUGGUGCUGGGCGGCGGCGGCGGCACACCUGAGCGCCAUUCCGACGGCGGCCGCGGUGGUGUCAGACUGGAAACCGAAGGUCCGCUCCAUCCCGCGGUGCUUGAUGACGAGGCCGGCGGCGACGAGGGGGUCCAGAUCGGCCUUGUUGAGAUACCACACGGCCCUGUAGUUGGUGAGGUAGGGGAAGAGGGCCACCAGGAAGGCGACCAGGCCGUCGACCGACCGCUCGAAAAUGCACCGUAGCAUCGGCCGCCGACGACCACGCGAGUAGUCCUCCUCUUCCUCCUCCAACGCUAGGGCCAGGUCGGUUUGGGCGAUUGCUUCGCUGACGACGAUGUUGGAGACCGGAUCUAGUAGGCCGAAGCAGAAGCCUUCGUCGAUGAUCUUCACCCGGUCGUAGUAGCGCUGGAUCUUGGCGAUGAGCUCCUUUUUCAUCCCCCCUUCCAGAUCUUGGUCCGCCGCUGAUUCGUCGUCCCAAUGACCUAGAUUGUCUGGACCAUAGAUCCGUUGCUGGGUUAUGGGGUCAUCAGGGAUGCCAGUGCCGGUGCCCGUGCCGGUGCCGGUCUGGCGGUUGAGGAAGCAAAGGCGGCUGCCGGCGUCAGGGCUCCUGCUGCGGCGGAACAUAGCGGCCGGGGGGGUCGAGGAGGGUGGGUGGGUGACGAGUACGUUUGGGAAACGCUGCCUGUCAGCCGUCUGGUGGGUAGUUUUUCGCCAUGUCCGUUCAUUUUUCUUUCCAUCCAACGGGUGCAUGUGCCGUCCAUACCUAAACUAUAAUCCCAUAAAUCACGCUGAUUGCCGUUUAUUGCUAGCGGAGACCAUAUAUAUGUCGUUCAACCAAAAAGAAACUGCCUCCUCCAUCUAUUUCUUCGGCAGCUGGGUAUUAUUUGACAAAUCUGGCCCUUUAUUGAAACUAAUGUCACGUCCGGCCCAAGACGACCUCGCCUAGAGAAUCUGUUCAUCGACUUUCUCUCCCCUAAGGAAAAAGCUAGGGUUUUCUCUCCCCUAGCGAAAAAGUUAGGGUUCUCUCGCUACCGGCGGCCACACCGGAAUUUCCCUCUCCCCCGGACGGAUCCCCUCCGCUAUCCCUCCUCUCACUCGGGCUGCUCCGCGGCCUUGUAUACGAGAGGGAUCGGGGGUGGGUUUGGGACAGGAAGACACUAGGGUUUGUGCAUCACGAUCUGUUCGGCGACCAUGGAGGACGAAGUGCCUGGUUCGCAGAGGAAGGGGACGAAGGAGAGUACAGAAGAUCUCUUGGCUCGUCUGAAUCUACAGGAAGAAGAGGAUGACGACUUCAUCUGGGAAGAGGAGCUCCCUGAUCUAAGGUCUGCAACUAAGUGGCUAGCGAUUGCUAGGGUUCAUACCCCAAAAACUUUCAGUCCGAGCGCGCUCUAUGGGGACAUGCGAGCAGCGUGGAAUCCAGCAAAAACUGUGAGUUGGAGGAGGAUCAAUGAGAACCUUUUCACUGCGCAGUUCGGGUGCUUAGCAGAUUGGAACAAGGCAAUGUUUGAAGGACCAUGGCUUUUCAAGGGACAGACAGUCAUAAUGAAGGAGUAUGAUGGAUUUAAAAAUCCUGAGUCAAUCCAGUCGGACAAACUCACAGUGUGGGCGCAGAUCCAUCGCCUCCCAGAUAACUUCUUAAUUGAACGGGCAGUUCGAGGUAUGGCUUCGCGCAUUGGUGAGGUGGAGGAGAUUCAGUUAAGGCUACCAGCUGGUUUCUUCGGGGAAUUUGUCCGCGUAAAAGUUAGUAUUGACAUCAAUGCCAAGAUAAAGCGUUUUGUGACGGGAAAGAAGGGGGACGAAAGAGUUCGCUAUCAAGUGAAGUAUGAGAAGCUACCCACCUUCUGUUUCAAUUGUGGCGAAUUCGGUCGCUGGUAUGAAGAGUGUGGGGACGGUGAGCAUGAUGUAUCGUCUUUUGAAUGGGGGGAGUUUGUGCUAGCUGAUGCUUUCAGAGCGGGGCAUGAUGGCCGUGGUGUGGCGGGACCCCAGAGAGGUCGUGCUACAAGAGGUGGGGCAGGAGGCAGAGGAAGGGGGAGAGGCACAUACAACCCCAACCAGAGCUGGCGUUUUAACGCACAAAAUCAGACUCCGGUGAAUGCUGGGGGGAGAAUGGAAACUGAUAAGGGAACGGUUGAUGUUGAUGCUGCUGGCCAAGAGAAUGUCUCAAGGAUAGUAAAGGAUAGUAUGCAGCCACAGAAGCGCCUCUCUGUUGAAAAUACUUCAAGUUCUAUCUCGGCAGGGCAAAGUGAGCUUAAUUCUGGAGCAGGGGUCGAUGGGGCAAAUCCAUUGGCAAUGGUGGUGGCGACGGCCCAGCUUUCUGUACCCCCACUACCCCCAGUUUACGUCUCACCACGCAAACAAAAUAAGAGAUACAAACAUGGGGAGGAAGGCAAAGGACAAGCGGGUGUAAAUGUUGGUACUAGCGUUGGGGGCCCUGGAAUGGCAACUUCUUCAAAUACAUCGGCGACCUCUGGACGGGAGGAUCGCCGGGACCAAUGAAAACCCUAGCGUGGAAUUGCCGUGGGAUGCUCUCUCCCAUGGCAAUUCGAGAGCUCUUGGACCUCCAAGGGCGGCUGAGAGCAGAUGUGGUCUUUCUGUCGGAAUCACAUCUAAAUAAUGACAAGGCGGAGAUUUUAAGGGUUAAGUUAGAUUUUGAUUGUUUCCAUUUAGUGGCUAGUGACGGACGUGCUGGUGGGCUUGUACUCUAUUAUAAUUUAUCAAAUGAAGUGAUUCUGAAUUACUCCUCGGAUAAUGUUAUAGAUGGCAUAGUGAUGGACAGAAACUCACCAUCUUGGCGUAUUACAGGGUUCUAUGGAGAACCGAGCUGGGAGAGAAAGUAUCUCUCAUGGACGUACAUCAAAGAUAUUCAUGCAAACAAUUCUGGGCCAUGGAUGAUCCUUGGCGACUUUAAUGAAAUCACCAACAUGAGUGAAAAGGAAGGUGGUAAUAACCGGCCUGAUCACUAUAUGCGGGACUUUAGAGACUGUAUUGAUGACUGUGGGUUACAGGAAGUAAUGGUGAUAGGAGAUACAUUCACAUGGAGUCGUGGACCGAUCAGAGAGCGACUUGACAGGGCUCUAUGUAAUGAAAUGUGGGCAGAAAAAUUUCCUUUUGCAGGACUGGUACACGAACACCAUACCCACUCUGACCAUAGGCCUAUUCUGCUCGAUACGGAGUAUUUCAAACCGAUGUUGAUGCAGCAGCAGCAGUAGACCCGGAAAAGAAUGUUCAAAGCACGGUGGUUGGAAGAAGGGAUAGUGAACGAGAUAGUAAACACAGCUUGGGAGCGAGCCAAGUUAGCUGGGCUAGGCCCGUCCCUUGCGGGUCGGACCAAGGCAGUAUUGAAGGACUUGCAUAUGUGGGAUCGUGAGACCCUAAAGAGCCCUAAGAAGAGAAUAAAUAAGUUAAAGAAAGAUCUGGAGAAAUUAAGAAGCGGACCGAACACUCCUGAAAACAGACAGAGAAUGAAAGAUAUCCAAGUCCUAAUUGAAAACCUACUGGAUCAAGAAGAGUUGAUUUGGCUCCAACGUGGAAGGGCAAACUGGUUGCUGCAUGGGGACCGUAAUACAACUUUUUUCCAUAGAGCGGCUGCGGCUCGCAAGAAGAGGAAUUGCAUUAAGAGGUUGUUGGAUGACACUGGAGUAUGGAAGGACAGAGAGGAGGACAUCAAUCUAAUUAUCUCAGAAUACUUUUCAGCUUUGUUUACAGCACAGGUUCAGCAGCCGGACCUUAAUGUGUUGUCAAAGGUACAACCUCGUGUUACUGCUGCCAUGAACGAAGCUCUUAUGGCCCCCUAUACGGCAGAAGAGGUUAGGAAAGCUUUGUUCUCGAUCGGUGAUUUUAAAGCCCCUGGACCUGACGGGCUACAUCAGUUUUCUAUAAGAGGUUUUGGCCAAUGUUAGGGGAUGAUCUUGUUAUGGAAGUUCUGGGUGCAGUUAACUCACAGGAGAUCCCACCGGGAUGGAAUGAAACUACUAUUGUGAUGAUCCCUAAGGUAAACACUCCUGAGCAAGUCACACAAUUUAGACCUAUUAGUUUGUGCAAUGUGGUCUAUAAAGUUAUCUCAAAGAUGAUUGCUAUAAGACUGAAAAGUUUGCUUCCUGAAAUCAUUAGUCCCACACAAAGUGCUUUUGUUCCGGGGAGACUCAUCACGGAUAAUGUCUUGAUAGCUUAUGAGAGCCUCCAUGCAAUUAAACAGAAGAAAAAAGGCAAGGAGGGAUGGUGUGCAGUUAAAUUGGACAUGCACAAGGCCUAUGAUCGUGUAGAAUGCGUUUUCUUGGAGGCAAUGCUUCUAAAAGUGGGGUUUAGAGCUGAUUGGGUCCGAAUGAUUAUGGCCUGUGUGUCGUUUGUGGAAUACAGAGUGAGGUACAACUCGGUUGAAACAGAUACAAUCAAACCAUCACGUGGACUCCGCCAAGGUGACCCUCUGUCACCCUACUUAUUCUUAUUGGUUACGGAGGGUCUGUCAGCACUUCUUAAUCAUGCAGAGCAAUCAGGCUGAAUUGUGGGAAUCCAGGUUUGUCGAAAUGCGCCCUCAGUUACAAAUCUCUUGUUUGCAGAUGACUCCUUAAUUCUUAUGAAAGCAAAUGUUUCGAAUGCGAUAUGCUUAAAAUCUGUCCUGGAUGCUUACUGUGGGGCUUCUGGCCAGUUGGUGAGUUUGGGUAAAUCUAGUAUUUUUUUAGCCCUAGCACAGAUACAAACACCAAGACUCAGGUGUGCACUACUCUGAAUAUUAUGAUGGAGGCGCUGAAUGACACAUAUUUGGGAUUACCCACUACCCUAGGACUGGAUAAAACAGACAGCUUUCAAUACUUGAUUGAUCGGUUGAUUGUGAAACUUACAGGAUGGAAGGAAAAGUGUCUGUCUUCGGGAGGCAAGGAAGUGCUUAUCAAAUCUAUUGCACAAGCCAUACCAACGUACGCGAUGUCGGUUUUCAAAAUUCCUAAGAAAAUUUGUAAAGGAAUUAUAGACGCGAUAUCUCGUUACUGGUGGGGCGAUGACGCAUCACAUAAGAGAAUGCACUGGUUUGCCUGGUGGAAGAUGUGCUUACCAAAGUGUAGAGGAGGAAUGAGGUUCAGAGAUAUUCAUUGCUUUAACUUGGCAUUGCUGGCAAAACAAGCAUGGCGACUUAUUGAAAACCCCGAAUCUCUUUGUGCACAGAUUCUUAAAGCAAAAUAUUACCCUGAUGAGGAACUUAUGAAUGCUAGUCUGAAAAAGAAGGCCUCUUAUACAUGGCAAAGUAUAAUGGCUGGUGUGGAGACCUUGAAACAUGGGCAUAUUUGGAGGGUGGGAGAUGGUCAAAAAAUAAAAAUUUGGGAAGAUAGUUGGAUCCCACAAUCUCCCACCAGGAAAGUAAUCUCUGUUAGAGGGAAUCAUCUCCUCUCUCGGGUGUCAGAGCUUAUAGAUCUAGUGUCAGGUGACUGGGAUUCGGGGCUGAUAAACCAAACAUUUUGCAGUGUUGAUGCUCAGAGAAUUCUUGCAAUUCCACUACCAAUAUAUGAAAUGACAGACUUUUUAGCUUGGAGUUUCACUAAAACAGGUGGGUUCACCGUAAGAUCAGCAUACCACGCCACCUGGGAGUCAAAGUUUGGGGGCAAUCUGCAAGGUGCAGCGAGUCUUCCUCGCCAACACCUACAUGGGAUUCGGUGUGGAGCUUGAGCUGCCCAGCAAAGGUAAAAAAUUUUGUUUGGAGAGCACUUCUUAGUGUUGUUCCAUGCCGUGCAAUAUUGGCUGAUAAACAUAUCAAGAUCAAACCAAAUUGUCCCGUAUGCAACAAAGGACCGGAGAGUAUCUGUCACCUGUUUUUUGAAUGUACAGUUGCGGUUCAGGUUUGGAAACUGCUUGGAGUGUGGGAUGUAGUACAGAGGAGAUUGGCGAUGAAUACUUGCGGGGAGGUUGUGUUGGAUUAUCUUCUCAGCCUACCGGACGAUCAUAUCCAUGUGCUAGGAUUGUCAAAAUUGCGAGAAACGGUUGCUAUAUGCUGUUGGUACUUGUGGUGGGAAAGGAGAAAAAUUACACAUGGAGGUGAUCCACAAACGGCGCCACAGAUCAAUCUUGCUGUACGUUCCUUGGCAGAGAACUUUAUAGCAGCGAAUUCACCACGGCCAAGAGUUCAUUUGGGAGGUUGGAUGAGACCAAGGACCGGGUAUGUCAAGCUAAAUGUGGACGCGAGUUUUGAUCAGGACUUACUUGAAGGUUCAGCAGGUGCUGUCAUUAGAGACCACAAGGGCAAGUUUAUAGCUGCAGCAAAUGAAAAACUUGGAGUCUAUUAUGAUGCUUUUACUGCUGAGGCAAUUGCAAUCAGAUUCGGCCUAAAUCUUGCUCGCACAACUGGAUGUAGCAAAGUUGAGGUGAAUUCAGAUAAUUCGGACGUGGUUGAAGCGCUCAGAGAAGGCUACUCAGCUUCGGUAGCCAGUGCGAUUUUUGAUGACUGUUAUUUCAUGUCUUUAGAAUUCAGUCAUAUUGUUUAUGAGCAUUGUUUUAGAGAGAAUAAUAAGGUAGCACAUGAAUUAGCUAGUCUAGCUAGAUUCAAUCCUCCUGAUGUAUGGAUGGAUGAUCCCCCAUCGGCUAUCAUCCCCUUAAUUGUAUCAGAUGCUACUAUUGUAGCCAAUUAAUAAAGGAGGUGUUUAUCAAAAAAAU
rnacentral:lncRNA from 1 species